CGUCGCGCUACCUUCCACCUAUAAGUACUGUUUCCCGGCCUUCUCCGGUGGCACCCUGACCCAACUAGCCCUAUCCUCAUAAGCUCCCACUGGCCCGACAUCGCUCGCCACUUAUCCUCGCUCUCACCACCUCUGCCAUGCCCCCGCCCGUCCGCGAUAGGCGAGGCCGGAGGUUAUCACCGCCGGAACUAGUGUUCGCUUUUUCACCGGAAGGCAGACGGAGGGAGGAGGCAUUCUAUCGGUCUUUAGAUGGCAAUGCGGAGAUUGAGGACUUGUUGGAGCGCGACCGCCUGGCGGAGGAGCAGGAGUUGUUGGAGCGUGACCGCCUGGCAGAGGAGCAGCGUAUCCCUGAUUUGCGCCGCCAGUGGGACAUGGAGCAGCAGCGCACCGACGCUCUGAGUCGAGAGGCAGAGCACCCACAACUGGGCCGACUACAUGGAGGUUGGCGCCUGGCAAAUAGCCCUGGAGGCUGUCGGGCAUGCACGCGUUCGCGACACCGAUUUUUACUACCAACUCCUCAAGUGGGUUUCCUGCUUAGAAGCUAAACCUUUGGUGGACCACGCCUGCAUGGAAAGGGCCAACACGCGCGCGCAACGCGCCCUAUCGCACCUCUGGCAAGUCCGAGGCGAGGCAGAGGAUGCCGGUGCCAGCGUUUAGCGUAUACCCCAGAUGGCGGUCGGCAUCGUCUAGUUAGCUAAGAGUACUUGUAUGCUACUAGAGUAUUAGUGGGAGUAGAUAGUUAACUUGGCUAUGAUUUUUUUUACUAUAAACAGUAGGGGAACUUGGCUAUGAUGGUUGUCAACGUGGAAGUUCAGUACUAUAUAUGUGGAUCAGACCUGUUACUUUGCUCUGAAUGUUGAACUUUCCAUUUGAACGUAUGGAAUGGGCUGUUAUUUUUUUAAAUGGGUUGUAUUUGUCCUCCACAGGUUUAGAGGCUGACUUGUGGGCCUACCAAGUUGACGCGUACACAAUCAGGAGAUGAUUGUACGUGGAGAGGAGGACAGCAGGGACCCGCCAAGGUCAUGGCAGUAUGCAAGCAAGUGCCUCCUUAUUUCAAGCCAAUAAAACAAUGGCUCCUCCUAAUGGAUUUCUGACACCUGGGUCCCAUGCCAUUGUCAACGUAGUCAAUAAACGAGAGAAUUGCACAACGAGCGGGUAACACCAGGGACCCAGCAGCUCGCCCAGUUAUUUUUGUUUUGGGUUAAUUUGAUAAAUGCCACUCCAAAUCUGGUGUUUCCGAGAAAUGCCACUGCAAUUUCCAAACUUUGAAAAAUGCCAUUUCAUGCCAUUUCCAGUGGCAUUUUUCGAAGUCUGGAGUGGCGUUUUUCAAUGUUUGCAAAUUGUAGUGGCAUUUUUCAAAGUUUGCAAAAAUUGCAGUGGCAUUUUUUAAAGUUUGGAAAUUGUAGUGGCAUUUUUAUGAAUCGCCAUAAUUGGAGUGACAUUUAUCUAAUUUGUUUUUGAGACGGAAGCAGGGUGUCAACUGGGCUGUGCGGGGCACUCUGGCCUAUCUAGACAGCCUUUUCUUUUAUAUUUACCACAGACCAGCCCAGUACUUUUUUUUUCUUUCUGAAAAUGGCUAGCCCAGUUUUUUUGUGAUUUGUCAAGUAAGUCGCUUUGCCAGGCCUGUUGGUCUGCAAAUCUUUCAAGACAAGGAGAGCUUCAUUCGGCUGGCCGAGAAAAUGGCCUAUCAGUAAUGAGAAAUGGGUUGUACAUUUUUAAAACACAUCAAACCGGCAAUUAGUUUCAAGUUUAUCUUUUUCAUUUCAAGAUUUUAAAUUGCAUUGAUUUUUAUGCAUGGACAAUCUGUUGGAUUUUAUACUGAUAUACAUUUAUUUUUUUUAAACAGUUUGAAUGUGACUCGAAAUUUCAAGAUUAAAAAUAGUUCGGACCGCACCGAAAUAUGAAAAUUUUCGUAUAAUUUCUUAACUGUGGCCACAAUAUGGGUUGUAAUGCUAACAAAAAGAAUAUGGGCUCCAAAAAAACCUAAAGAAUUAGCAAAUGAGCUGUAAAUUAUUAGAAAUAAUGGCAGAUGGGUUGUAUGUUGUUUUCCGCAGAUUUGAGGUUUUCCUAAAGAAAAGGUUGACGCACAAGCACUGACUAUUGGAUGUCCAUCCAACGGCCCUCGUGCUUCUUCAAUCUCUACUCUUCCUGCUCCAACCACUCAAACAAGCGCCGGUGGGACUGCCUGCUCCCUCCUCCCUGCGGCCGGCUGUGCUACCGCGCAGGCCUCACCGUCCCAUCGUACUCCCAUCGCUGACCUAGCCAUCCCUCUACUCACCCACACCUCCUAUUAUUCUCUGGCGACGACAGACGAACCAGUAAACCCUCGUAUAGUCGUACUCCCCUCCGCGUGAGAAACAACUGCCGAGUCUUUCCUGGCUCUGUGUCGUUCCCUUCCUAGGCCUCGCCAUCGUCCACCAUCCUGGUGCUCUCGGCGUUGCGUGGUCAACAUGGUCAAUGACCGACAUGCAUCUGAAGUGGACUGUACGUGGAGAGGCUGACAGUUGGGUCCACGGCCGCACGCAAGGAAAUGCCUCCUUAUUACGUGCAAAAUAAUGAUUCCUCCACCUGGUAUCUGGGACCCAUCGAAAGGGCCUCUGUAUUUCAUGAAAAAAUGUUACCGCCGCUGACAGCUCGGACUCACCAGCUAUAUCUUCACAUGCAAGGAAGUGCCUCCUUAUUACUCACAAAAAAUGAAUACUCCCCCUGCUAGCUGGGACCCUGUAUAGUGGGAGGCUGACAUGUGGGCCUACUAAGUUGACGGGGACGGAGGGCUUUGUCAACUUAGUCAAUAUGCACGAUUCUAGCUCCGGUGACCGUACGAUGUCCAUCCAACGGUCGUAGUGCUUCUUCAACCUCUGGUCUUCUUGGUCCAGCCGCCCAAAGCAGCGCCGGUCGUGCCGCCUGCUCCUGCCUCCCAUGGCCGGCUGUGCUGCCAUGGAGGCCUCACCGCCCCCUACUACUCCCACCGCUGGCCAGGCCAUCCCUCCACUCACCCACACCCACACCCUGUUAUUCUGCGGCGACGACAGCCUCACACCGCAGUCCAAAUCAGUGAACCCUCGUACUCCUCUCCGCGUGAGCAUCCACUACCGCGUCUUCCCUGGAUCCACGGCAUCCCCUUCCUAGGCCUCAUCGUCGUCCACCGCCAUGGUGCUCUCGGCGUGGCAUGGUCAAUGUGGUCAACGACCGACUUCCAUCGUAAGAGUACUGUACAUGGAGAGGCUGACAACUGGGUCCACGCAGCCGCAAGGAAGUGCCUCCUUAUUAUGCGCAAAAUAAUUAUUCCUCCACCUGACAGUGGGGACCCAUCGGACGGGCCACCGUAUUUCACAAAAGAAAUGUUUCCCCCCUGACUACUGGGACCCACCAGCUACAUAUUUGCAUGCAAGGAAGUGCGUCCGGGCAAAAAACGAUUUGCCCCCCUGACUGCUGUGACCCACCAGCUACAUCUUCGCACGCAAGGAAGUGCCUGACAGUCGGGACCCACCUGGUCGAAGCGUAUGUAGCGUUGUCAUUCUAGUCGUGAACGUGUACAUACAUACUGGUCGAUGUAGAGGAGCGCACGUGUCGCAGUAGAGGCACGCACGUAGCAUGUACACGUACGUACAAUAGCUAGUGUGCAAGAAAGAAAAUACGGCCAUGUAUGUCGUGGAAUUGUCACGUCAGAUGCCCUAGCGAAAGAACUUAGUCGUGGAGCCAUCGGAACUAGGAAGCUUGAAGGGGUUAAUCAGGACAAGAGACAUGAGAGGUUUAUACAAGUUCGGCCCCUUACGAUGAAGGUAAAAGCCUACGUCUAGUUGUGAUUGGGAUUAUGUAUGUCUCGAUAACCAGGAGGCAGAAUCGCUUGACCUAGCUCUCGAGUUGUUGUUUCGUGUCUUGAACCGCCGCCGGGUCGUCCCUUUAUAUACUGAGGUUGACGCCCAACGGCUCUACAGAGUCCCGGCCGGCUUAUAGUUUGUAUCCGGCUCGGUCUCUUAACAUUUAUGCCUUACAGUACAAGUUACAUGAAUAAGGCGGUUUAACACUACAGGCCUUAAGUCGUCCCUGGGCCUUUGGGCCUUUACUAAACCGCCGUCUUCAACCUUGAGCUUUAGUCUUCAAGAAUGCUUAUAGGUAUAACCCGGCUCCCUCCGGCAGGUCAUACCUAGUAGUUAUAUCCCCAACAUUAGGCCCCAGACUGAUUUGAACUAGUUCAUGUCAGUCUUCAAAAAGUCUUCUGCUCCUUACUUAAGAAAGUUCAUGUAACCCGCCAUGACGUCACCCUUCAGAUUUGUGGUAACCCGCCAUGUCAUCACCUGUCAUAAAUGCAUGCUUUGUCCAACAUAUCCUAAUAGAUCUCUGUCUUAAUAACCAUCCGAAAAUCAAGGCGCCCUUGUAGCUGGAUAAAUUUAUUUUUCGGCCUCCUCGUUUUUGCACCCACUCAACAGGUUUUCCUUAUAAAUAGCCCCGACUAGGCAUCUUUUCCAUUCUCCGUACGCAUCUUCUUCCUCUCACCCCAUCUGCCACUGGAGCUCCGCCGCUGUCGCCACUGCGCCCUUCAUUCUCGUCGAGCUUUGGCCGCUGCAUCACCCUGACCUUGACCAGAGAACAGCGGUGCUCCUCCUCUGUGGAUCCCCCGCAGUAAGUGUUUCCCUUUCCGCACCAUAGAUCUGCAUUAGGAUUAUCGUGUUCUUCUACGCAGACAUAGUUCAUUCGAGCUCUUGCUCUUUUUCCUUGCCACGGCGUCGCCUGACCCAAAGAACCCCAUGAAUCUGAUGCGGUCCAUGCUCCGCAUUCAUUUGAUUAGCUAUGGACUUCCUUCCCUUGUAAGAAAACCUCACCGUAGCAUAUGAACUUCUCUGCGUCCUAUUUUUAGGUCUAGUAAUUUUUCUUUUCUGAACCUUUGUUUGAUCCAAAAUAAUUACUGCAAACUAUGAAACUUGUUUGUCCUACACUUAGGAAAAAUCCAUAACUUGUUAGACUUGCCAGUCAUGGCGGCUCUAACCGCCGGCUUAAAGAAGCAAUAAUAUGAACCUCCCCUGUUAGUUUAAAUAAUACUGAUGGCUUUAAAACACUUAUGGCGGCUUACGUAACCCAGCGUAAGUAUCCUUAUACCAGUAGGCCCCUUCAUAAGUCGCCAUACUUCAUUCCACUAAUAUUUUUUCCUGUCCGGCUUAAAUUUGAACCGGCCUUGUUUACUUUGUAUUUAGGCUUUCAAACAUAAUGGCGCCCAAGGCACCUACCUCUUGCAACUGGGUGAAAUCCAUUGCCACUGAUGGCACUUUAGAUGACUUCGUGAAAACCGGCUAUCUGCCAAACAAAGAAGUCAUGCCUUACCGUGCUCCUAACCCGGAUGAAGAAAUUCCUCAACCCAAAGACAGAGAGGUGGUUGUCUUUACAGAUCAUAUGAACCGGGGUUUUACUCCUCCCGGUUCAAAAAAAUUCAGAGUUGUACUGAAGUUUUUUGACCUUCGCCCACAAGACAUUGGACCCAAUUCCGUGUCUAACAUCUGUAAUUUCCAAGUGUUCAGCGAAGUUUAUCUUAGCGAAGAACCAAACUUACUGCUUUUCAGAGAGUUGUUCUAUUUGAACCGCCAGACAGAGCGUGCCAAUGGUGAGAGCUUGGAACUUGGUGGGAUUUCAAUUCAGCGCCGCAGGGAUGCACUUUUCCCCUAUGCCAACCCGCCAAGCCAUCCAAAAGAUUGGAACAUGACAUGGUUCUACUGCAAGGACACCUCCCCGGUUGACGAGAAUCCUCUGCCCGGCUUUCAUGCCCUUCGUCUUGACACCAAUAAUCAUUUGCCCGACAAGAUUACUGCCGCAGAACGCAGAUCCCUCUCUCCUACUCUGGCCAAGAUCAAAGCUCUGUUGGGGAAUAGGUUGACGGGCAUUGACCUGGUUCGAGUCUGGCUUGCUUGGAGAGUUAUCCCAUUGAGCCGCCGUACCGUCUAAAUGUGUGAAUAUACUGGUGCCAAGAAUGACCCCCUGCGCCAUAGCCCUGACAAUUUACCUGCUCAUGUUGUUGAUGACAUGACCAAAUCUCUUCUCAACGAGAGUCCGGCGGAUUGUGGCAGAGUGGGUCUCGCCCCGUUCUGCAAAGAUAACCCGGCUCCAAAGGUAAAAACCCUCGUAUAAAAAUGUUUACCUUAUUUUCUUAAUGCUUCACCCAUACUCAUAAUAUACUUAAUCUUUGCAGGCGGGUGAUAAAUUUUGGAAUGUUAAAUAUGAUCAUGAAGCGGCCAAGAAAGCCAGGAAAGAAAAGAAAGCCGCCAGGAAAGAAGCUGCCCAAAGGAAGGGCAAGAAAGCUACUGCUUCGGACUUGCUUCGGCUAGCAGACUCUUCUGAGUCAUAGGUAUCCCUUGACUCCCUUGUCUUAUUCUUUAAUCAUCUUAUUGACACUGAUCAUCAGUAGGAGGACACUGGGACAAGCCGUAGCAAGGCUGACGAGGUAACUAUCCUUUCCUCUGACUCCGAGCCUUUGCCAAGACAGAAAAUCCGCAGAGUGACCCGGAAAGUAAGAUUUUCUCAUCCUCUAGCUCAUCAUGAUCCUCAAUUUCUUUUGAAGCGGCAAAUUCAUGAGAGCCGGAGCCAGACCCGGACCAGCAAGGAUGCGGAGCUCUCCUCCGGCUUACCAAAUACUCCAAGAAAACGCCAAAACAAGGUUACCUAUAUUUUAACUAAGUUUUACCCCUUGGCGGGUCUCUUUCGUCAACCACUCAAUUCCUCUAACUCGGAUUAUCAGGAUACUUCCCCUUCCUCCAGCGAGUCAUUGCAGUCCAAUCUGCCAACUUUUAAGACUAUACCAGGGUAUAAUAAGCCACUCACUUUUGUAGUUAUUGUAAUCUUCUUACUUCUGUAUUAAUCUUUUUAUUUGAAUGCAGUGGUCAAGCUAAACUCAGCAAGAGGGUUAGAAAGAAUAAACCGACUGAAGAAAGAGUCGCCGCUGAUGAGCCGAUUCUUGAGACGACCGUGCCGGAGUUAAGCACUCUUGAAACGCCACCUGAACCAGCACAAGAUGUGUCACCUCCUACUGACCUGCCCACUGACUAAGGUGCUACCGACUUAGAAAAUCCCAAACCUCCAAGCCCAACCCGGACAGCUGAUCCUUCCAAUGCUGAUGUUGAAAUCACCGGAACCGGCCAUGCUGACUCGGGGAGGCCAACCAUGCUGGCCAAAUGCCCCGCCAAGGAAGAACUUCUGGACUAGCGCCGAGUCAAGAUGGAUGUCGCCAAAUAUGCUCAUAUGAGUAUUGGAGAUGUCUUCUCUGGCUAUAUGAGCCAAGUGCACAACAGCCGGAACCUCGAGAUUGACAUGGUGAAGCAAAUGCACCAUAAAUUCGAGGUAUAACCCGUUUUCUCUUGUUCCUUAUCCUCCAAUAUGUUAGCCCCCAAGUCUGCUGCUUAAGAUACUUAUGCUGUAGACUUAGAAACAAAUUUGACAACAUAAAGAAAGAAUAAACUUCUAGCUUACCUUGUAGUCCCCAAGGGGCAGCUUAACCAAUAUGGUUGAGCCGGCUCUUUAUAGAGAAAUUCAUAUGUGUCUUUAAACAACAAUAUGCAUUAGCCCCCAAGUGCCAAGUGUUAUUGCUUGCAGAAAUGCUUGGGACUUAAUCAUAUGAAUCACCAUAUAAUGAACUGUCGUAGAAGAGAAAAAACUCUACAAGACAUUAGCCCCCAAGUGCCAAGUAGUAUUGCUGGCAAAAUGCUUGGGACUUUAAUACUGCAUAAAUAACUUACUUGAUUUUAUACUUGCACAGGCUACCACGAGUCAACUCGAGUCUGAGGUGACCAAUUUGAAGAGCCGCCUUGAAUUCCAAGAGUCAGAACUUGAGAAGGCCAACAGUAAGUUUGAAUACAGUGUUUUUGAACAGGAUAAACGAAAGAAAGAUUUUGAGACUAAAAAGAAAGCCUGGGCGGAUGAGAAGACCGCAUUGAUAAGCCGAGCUGAAAAAGCAUAAGCGGCUCUUGAAGAAGUCACUGGAGAAUUGUCCGGGUUAAAGCGCCAUAUUUCACAAAUGGUCGCAGCCAUCUUCGGUAAGUCGCCUUUCCGUUUUUUACAUAUCAUAAGCCGUGCAAUAGAGUACGUGGCAGAAAUUAACUAUUCUGAGUAUGCUUUGUACAGGCCCCAGAAGCGCAAAUUUAAACCACAACAUGCUGACGAAGCUGAAAGCUGUGUAUACAUUGGUGGAGCAAUUGUACACUGGGUCACAACGUACACUUGCUUCAGUGGCCUUAUCCAAUGAGAUUCCAACCCUCCUACCACGGGUCUUGAGUAAGCUUUCAGUCCUUCCUCAACGGAUCAAUGAAUUGAGACGGUCAGCUGCAAGAGCCGGAGCAAAUAAUUCUCUAAGCCGGGCUAAGGCCUGGCUACCUGAAUUAGACCCGGAGGAUAUCGCCAUUGGUUACCCAAGUCAGAAGGAAGACGGCACGCCAUUUGAGGACACGGAUUUUCUUGCUUGUGUCAAAGAGAUACGCCCCGUGGCGACUCUGAUAGCUACUGAGGUAGAUCUUACCAAGUACCAGGCGGGUUAUGAUGAACAAAAUUGAAGAAUUCCGACACCUCAAUAUGACGUGACCAGUCUGAUUCCCCCAAUUCAUAAGCAUACCUUUGCUCCUGAAGUUGACCUGGCCGGUCUUGUUGAUGAUGAAGCAGAAUUUGAAGCCUUAAACAACAUUGACUGGUCAUCAUCAACCUUCCAAGAAAAGGAGCAGAGCGCAAGUGCGUAGAGGGCUAACCCAGACACUUUCGGCCAAUCCUGAAGGUGAACCUGUCAUGGCGGCUCAUUACCUGGCGUGAAAAACAAUGCAAAUUAUUUGGAUUUAAUGAGUCCUGUAAUAGGAUAGAGAUAACUCUGUUGUGGCCAUGCCAUCGUGCAUGUUUUGAUGCUUAACAUUCUUAAGCCGCCUUGCUGUAUUCGUGCAACAGUUGAUCAUUUUUGAAAAACUGUCCUUCAAAUAAACUGCUAGGCGGGUCAAAAAGGUUAUCAAAAUAAUCAUAGAUUAUCUGGUUGAUAAAAACACAACUAUGAUAAAAUUUCACAACUUGCACCACCGGUUCAUAUAACCCGGCCGGUAAGGAUGAAGAUCCAAUAUUUGGAUACCCGGAAAGUACAACGAUGCUUAUGGGUCGGUGACUCAUCAGUCGAUAUUGAACCGGGCUACAGACAUCAUAUUUAUAGUAGUAAGCCUUAGGAAAAAUCUUAAGUCAAAUAAUGGGGCUUCCAAAGAGAACUUCAACCAAAAAGAGAAGUAACAAGGCUACUGAUUCGAAUGCGACCAGUGAACCGUCCCAGAGGGGUUUAAACUAGGAUUCGAAUACGAUCAUGUAGCCCCCAAUGGCUUUGGCAUUGCGCCGAUCAAGAGGGUACCGACAGCUGUGUUCUCUUUGGUUCGAAUACGACCUAUGUUUAAACAGGAAGCCCCGAUCUUGAGAGUUUUUUAACGACUCUGAUUCGAAUACGAUCAAAGUCGGUUCCCAAAUGGGGUUAAGCUAUGAUUCGAAUACGAUCAAGAAACCCCCAAGUGAGCUCGGCAGUGUGCCAAUCAAAAGGGUAUCCACAGUUAUGUUCUCUUUGGUUGGAAUACGACCUAUGUUUGAAUAGGAAGCCCCCUAGUGAUCAUAAUUUUUUAACAGCUAGAUUCGAAUACGAUCGUAAGGCGGAUCAGAACGGGCUGAGCCGGAUCAAAUAUGACCCGCCCCCGAGCGAUCAUGCGAGAAAAUGAUGACAAUGAUAAUAACAAAUUUACCUUGUGAAGAGGGAAAAAAGGACAGAGGUCCUGCUUUAUUAUUUAUCAUAAUAUAUACAUUGGCAAGAUUAUACAUCAGUGGAGCCUAUGGCUCAAGUGUAGUAGGGCCGGAGAUGAGCAAUAUUCCACGGCCUCCGGGUCUCUUCCUCUGACUUACGUGAGUCUUUGUGCUCUCGAAUGUCAAUAAGGUAAUAUGACCCGUUGUUCAAGUUCUUGCUGACCACAAAUGGCCCUUCCCAAGGUAGGGAUAACUUGUGAGCAUCAGUUUGAUCCUGGAUGAGCCGGAGCACUAAAUCACCUUCCUGAAAGGAUCUGGACUUAACUCGGCGGCUGUGAUAACGGCGCAAGUCUUGUUGAUAAAUCAUCGAACGAGCUGCUACCAAGUCCCGAUGUUCAUCUAACAGAUCAAGAGCAUCCUGGCGCGCAUGUUCAUUGUCUUCCUCGACAUAAGCCGCCAAACAAGGUGAAUCAUGACGGAUGUCACUAGGGAGAACCGCCUCAGCUCCGUAGACCAUGAAGAAAGGCGUAUAACCCGUAGAUCUGUUAGGAGUAGUGUUGAUGCUCCAUAACACAGAAGGUUACUCCUCAAUCCAACAACCCAACGUCCGUUGCAAGGGGACAAAAAGCCGGGGCUUAAUGCCUUUCAGAAUCUCUUGAUUGGCUCUCUCGGCUUGACCAUUGGACUGAGGGUGAGCCACUGAUGAAACAUCAAGCCGGAUAUGCUCACGUUGACAGAAUUUCUCCAUGGCGCCUUUAGACAGAUUAGUGCCAUUGUCAGUUAUAAUGAUGUGUGGAAAACCAAAAUGAAAUAUCACCUUCUUCAUGAAUUGAACCGUCAUGGAUGCAUCACACUUGCUGACCGGCUCUGCCUCGACCCACUUUGUGAACUUAUCAACUACCACCAAGAGGUGAGUCUUUUUAUCUUUGGAUCUCUUGAAAGGUCCAACUAUGUCAAGCCCCCAGACCACGAACGGCCAAGUAAUUGGAAUCAUCCUCAACUCUUGAGCCGGCACAUGAGCCCGUCUUGAGAACUUCUGACAACCGUCAUAUUUACUGACCAGAUCCUCUGCGUCAGCAUGAGCCGACAGCGAGUAAAACCCAUGACGAAAAGCCUUAGCCACGAGAGAUUUUGACCCGGCGUGAUGACCACAAUCUCCUUCAUGAAUCUCACGGAGAAUUUCUUGGCCUUCUUCAGGAGAGAUGCAAUGCUGAAAAGCCCCUGUAACACUGCAAUGAUGCAACUCGCCAUUGAUAAUUGUCAUGGACUUAGACCGCCGGGUUAUCUGCCUGGCCAAGGUUUCAUCCUCAGGCAACUCGCCCCGUGUCAUAUAAGCCAGAUACGGCACCGUCCAAUCUAGAAUGAUAUGAAGAGCCGCCACCAACUAUGCUUCAGGGUCAGGAAUAGCCAAAUCUUCCUCUGUAGGUAGCUUGACAGAAGGGUUAUGCAAAAUAUCCAAGAGAGUAUUAGGCAGCACCAGCUUACGCUGAGAUCCCGGCCGGCUUAAAGCGUCAGUCGCCUCGUUCUUUCGACGGUCAAUGUGUUCCACCUGAUAACCCUUGAAGUGCCCCGCAAUUGCGUCAACCUCCCGGCGGUAAGCCGCCAUAAGAGGAUCCUUUGAAUCCCACUUGCCUGAUACUUGCUGAGCCACUAGAUCUGAGUCUCCGAAGCACCUUACCCGGCUUAAAUUCAUCUCUUUAGCCAUCCAGAGACCGUGGAGCAAGGCUUCAUACUCAGUUGCAUUGUUAGUACAAGGAAACAUCAACCGGAGUACAUAACAAAACUUAUCACCCCGACGGGAAGCCAAAACAACUCCAGCCCCCGAGCCUUCCAAUUGUCUAGACCCGUCAAAAUGAAUUGUCCAAUAGGUAUUGUCCAACUUUUCCUCAGGCAUCUGCAACUCUGUCCAAUCAUUGAUGAAAUCCACCAGCGCUUGAGAUUUAAUAGUUGUGUGUGGCACAUAUUUUAAACCAUGAGGCCCAAGCUCAAUGGCCCAUUUUGCGACUCGCCCUGUCGCCUCUCUGUUCUGAAUAAUAUCCCCCAAGGGGGCAGAACUAACCACAGUGAUGGGGUGGCCCAAGAAGUAUUGCUUAAGCUUCCGGCUGGCCAUGAAUACCCCAUAGACAAGCUUCUGCCAGUGCGGAUAUCGCUGCUUGGAUUCAAUCAGUACCUCACUGAUGUAGUAAACCAGCCGCUGAACCGGGUGCUCCUUGCCAGCCUCCUUGCGUUCCACCACAAUAAUAACGCUAACAGCACGCAUGUUAGCAGCCACGUAUAGUAACAAGGGUUCCUUGUCAAUGGGAGCAGCAAGAACCGGUGGCUCAGCCAACUGUUUCUUCAGAUCUUCAAAAGUAGUAUUGGCGGCGUCACUCCAAGUAAAGCAAUCCGUCUUCUUCAUCAUCUGAUAUAGCGGCAUAGCCUUCUCCCCUAAUUGGCUUAUGAACCGGCUUAAAGCGGCGAUAUGACCCGCCAAAUGCUGAACAUCAUUGAUACAUGCCGGCUUGGCCAGAGAGAUGAUGGCUUUGAUCAUCUCCGGGUUAGCUUCGAUGCCUCUGUUAGAAACUAGAAAGCCCAAAAGCUUGCCUGCAGGCGCACCAAAAACACACUUAGCCGGGUUAAGCAUCAUCUUGUAAACCCGAAGACUAUCAAAGGUCUCCUUGAGAUCAUCAAUCAAGGUCUCUUUCUCUCUGGAUUUAACCACAAUGUCAUCCACAUAAGCAUGAACAUUGCAUCCAAUCUGAUUAUGAAGACAAUUCUGCAUGCAUCGCUGGUAAGUCGCCUGGGCACUCUUGAGCCCAAAAGGCAUUGAAACAUAGCAGAAGGCUCCAAAUGGAGUAAUGAACACCGUCUUCUCCUGGUCCUUAACAGCCAUCUUGAUCUGAUGAUAACCAGAGUAAGCAUCUAGAAAGCUCAAAUGCUCACAAACCACCGUAGCAUCGAUGAUCUGAUCAAUACGAGGGAGAGCAAAAGGAUCAGUAGGACAAGCUUUGUUUAAGUCCGUGUAAUCCACACACAUACGCCAAGUACCAUUUUUCUUAGGAACAAGCACCGGGUUAGCCAGCCACUCUGGAUGAAACACCUCAAUGAUAAACCCAGCUGCCAAGAGCUGGGCCACUUCUUCACCGAUAGCUUUCCUUCUCUCCUCAUUAAACCGCCGAAGAAACUGCUUGACCGGCUUAAACUUUGGAUUGAUAUUAAGAGUGUGCUUAGCGAGUUCUCUCGGUACACCCGGCUUGUCAGAUGGCUUCCAUGCAAAAAUGUCCCGAUUCUCACGGAUGAACUCGAUGAGCGCGCUUUCCUAUUUAGGAUCCAAAUUAGCACUGAUACUGAACUGCUUGGAUGAAUCGCCUGGAACAAAAUCAACAAGCUUAGUCUCAUCCGAUGACUUAAAUUUCGUGACCGGCUCAUGCUCUAUAGUUGGCUUCUUUAAGGAUGUCAUAUCCGCCAGGUUAACAUUGUCCUUGUAGAAUUUUAACUCUUCCAUCGCGCAGACUGACUCAGCAUAAGCCGCGUCACCCUCUCCACAUUCCAGAGCCACCUUGCGGUUCCCGUGCACCGUAAUGGUUCCCUUAUAAACCGGCAUCUUGAGCUUCAAGUACACAUAACACGACCGUGCCAUGAACUUGGCAUAAGCCGACUGCCCAAAUAGAGCAUUAUACGGGCUAUUGAUCUGAACUACUUCCAAAGUUAAUUUCUCGGCUCUGGAAUCGUAUUCAUCCCCAAAUGCUACCUCCAACUCUAUCUUGCCGACCGGAUACUCCGACUUACCAGGUACAACUCCAUGGAAAACAAUGUUGGACUUCUUAAGUCUCUUAUCAGUCAGCCCCAUGCGACGGAAGGUCUCAUAAUAAAGGAUAUUGAUGCUGCUGCCUCCAUCCAUCAGCACCUUCGUGAACUUGUAUCAACCCACUUGAGGGGCCACGACCAGGGCUAAAUGACCCGGAUUGUCAACCCGGGGAGGGUGAUCCUCUCUACUCCAUAUGAUAGGCUGCUCAGACCACCUCAAAUAACGAGGAAUUGCCGGCUCAACCGGAUUCACGGCCCUCUUAUGAAGCUUCUGGUCCCGUUUACAUAAACUGGUGGUAAACACAUGGUAUUGCCCACUUUUUAACUACUUUGGAUUUCUCUGGUAUCCACCUUGCUGCUGCUGCUGACUGCCCUGGCCAACCUGUGUGUUAUGUCCACCCUGGUUUCCCUGGGAAUUUCGAAAAUUGGGAUUUGACCCGCCGCCCGAGCCAUGAAAACCGCCGCCACCUGAGCCGCUCGGGCCAUUGUUACCCUCAAGCAUGUUGGAAUUUUUGAAAGCCUUCAUAAUCGUGCAGUCCUUCCACAAAUGUGUAGCCGGCUUCUCCUUAGUACCGUGUCUCGGACAAGGUUCAUUCAACAACUGCUCAAGUGUGGGUCCUGACCCGCCGGAUCGAGGAGGUGGCCUUCCCUUGCGUCGCUGGUUAUGACCCUGUGUAUUGGUGUUAGCCAUAAAAUCCAAACUACCGUCAGCCUUACGUUUGUUACCUCCUUGAUUGGCCGGGUUGUGCUCAGAGCCCUUGCCAUUGCCAUUCCUCUUUCCCUUCCCUGCCUUCUCAUCAUCAGACUCGGGAUCCUUGGUACUAUCAGAAUCGGCGUGCUUGACCAGAGCCGCCAUCAGCGUGCCCAUAUCAUUGCACUCAUGUUUGAGCCGCCCCAGCUUUUGUUUCAAAGGUAAGAAACGGCAAUUCUUCUCCAACACUAAGACUGCAGAGUCGGCAUCCAUCUUAUCAGAUGAAUGUAUUAUGGCCUUAACCCGGCGUACCCAAUGGGUUGUAGACUCACCCUCUUCCUACUUACAAUUCGUCAGAUCCACGAUCGACAUGGGUUGCUUGCACGUGUCUUUGAUGUUCUGGAUGAACCGGGCCUUUAACUCCGCCCAUGAACUGAUUGAAUUAGGUGGCAGGCCUUUCAACCAGGUGCGGGCGUUUCCAUCCAACAUCAUGGUGACGUACUUAGCCAUUGAUGCGUCAGUAACCUCCAACAACUCCAUAGCCAUCUCAUAGCUCUCAAUCCAUGCCCCGGGCUGCAAGUCGGCUGUGUAAUUCGGCACCUUCCUUGGUCCUUUAAAAUCUUUGGGCAACCGCUCGUUACGUAGAGUCGGCACUAGACACGGGACUCCUCCAGUCCGAGUGGCUAUACCUGCCUCAACAGAAGUCGUCGGAUAAAUCGGAUACGGCUGAUAAGCCGUCAACUGAGCCGCUAGCUCAGCCGCCCGUUCAGCCUCUUGUCGUAGUCUCUCUUACUCUACCAAGUUAAUGGCCUCAUGACGUGGCGGGUUACCGCCACCUGGCUGGUCACGGCGUCUAACAUUGCUUGACAUGGCCACUGAAUCCAUGUGCCUGCUAUAACUCGGGCUUCGGCUAGGACGAGGGGUCGAGUGGAUCCUGUCUGGGCUAUAUGAGUAUGCCUCCUGCUGUGAUAAGGCCGUCUGAAGAAGCUCCCUAACCCGACGGGUUUCAACUGUAGCCGGAGAGUCGCCAUCAAUUGGGAGAUCCACCAAUCGGGUUGCUGCGGCUAUCAUGUUUUCCAAGGGGUUAGAGUAAUGACCCGGAGGGGUUGGUACGUACUAAGGUGGCGCCAUGUUCACGCGGGGAGGUCCCAUCACUGGUGGCUGAAAUGGUGCUCCGUCCCCGGGUGUUGCAACAUGGUCUGUUCCUGUGCGCGGAGGGAGCCAUGGCGGGUUGCCUAUCUGCGGGGUAAGCCACGCCGGGUUACUGGGCAAUGCUCCUGGCGUGUUAAAAAGAUUCCGAGGGUCAUAAACCGGGGGAAGUCGAGACUGAGUCUUUUGAUACCUUCUCCUCAUGACCUCAUUAGUCGCGUUCUGGUCUUGUGUGAGCCGAAAAGCGUGCGCCUGGAUCUGCUAAGCCUGAACGUCCAGAGCCGCCCGCUCUGCGGUUAUCCUAACAUCUUCUGCUGCCAUGUCCUCCUUAGCUUGUGCCAUAUCCAACUUUAACUAUGCCACCUCUGCAUCAUAACCGGCUUUAUCCGUCGGGUUGACUAUGGCAGUUAAUAGGGUGGUCAACUUGUCGGUGAGAUCCAUUAACACCUAGGCCGGUGAACGCACAGGGCCUCCUGCCCUGGCUGCCGCUGACCCGGAAGUUACGGCUGCUGCAGUUGUAGAGUCUUGGAUGGGUUGGGUGCCGGCGCUGAAGAUCCCGACCCUGCUCGGCGGCUCAAGACAAUCCGGAAUACUGCAGCCAUCGGAACAGCCCCCAAGCCUGCCAUCCUGCAGUUGGUACAACGAACCUGUCUCACCUGUGGAUGACUCACCAUCAGAGUAGAUGGCCGUCUCACCACCAGAGGCAGAUCCUUCAGAGAGUCCUCCAUGGAUGCAUCCCACGAAGGCAUGCUUCACAGCCGGCGGAGCCCGGGCGGGUCUCGCACGCUGAGCCGUCUCGACGAGGUCGGUGCAGAUGUCCGGCUCAGGGCCCGGCUCGCCGAUCUUGCAGAUGAAGACGUGGAUUCCGCCGAAGGGGACCCAGUACCCGUACUCAAUUGAACCGGCCUCGGGGCCCCAGCUUGUGUCGUUGAUGUAGAGCUUGCCGCGAUGACUCUUGGUCAUCCGGCCCACAGCGUAUCCCUUGAGCCAUUCGAAGCUGCCCUUCAAGAACUCAAAUCCACCAUGCGCUGGCCCCACGGUGGGCGCCAACUGUGGUGGAAUUGCCACGUCAGAUGCCCUAGCGAAAGGACUUAGUCGUGGAGCCAUCACAGCUAGGAAGCUUGAAGGGGUUAAUCAGGACAAGAGACACAAGAGGUUUAUACUAGUUCGGCCCCUUACGAUGAAGGUAAAAUCCUAUGUCUAGUUGUGAUUGGGAUUAUGUAUGUCUCGAUAACCAGGAAGCAGAAUCGCUUGACCUAGCUCUUGAGUUGUUGUUUCAUGUCUUGAACCGCCGCCGGGUCAUCCCUUUAUAUACUGAGGUUGACGCCCGGCAGCUCUAUAGAGUCCCGGUCGGCUUAUAGUUUGUAUCCGGCUCGGUCUCUUAACAUUUAUGCCUUACAGUACAAGUUACAUGAAUAAGGCGGUUUAACACUACGGGCCUUAAGUCGCCCCUGGGCCUUUGGGCCUUUACUAAACCGCCGUCUUCAACCUUGAGCUUUAGUCUUCAAGAAUGCUUAUAGGUAUAACCCAGCUCCCUCUGGUGGGUCAUACCUAGUAGUUAUAUCCCCAACAAUGUACGUACAUACGGGCAGGGUCUCGAAUGCCUACUCGCGCAUACGUACGGCCAGGGCUCGUGUACAUGGCUGGGUCGGAACGGAGAAACAUCGUCGUCAUCAUGUUCAUGGGGAGCACACGGGCUGGUCGGAACGGAAUGCGUCGUCGUGUUCAUUGGGAGGGCUUGGACGGAACAGCCGAUGGAAAUGAGGCCUGGCGUACCGCACAACGGAGGAAAUGGCCUUGUGUUCGACCGGCCACGGUCGAAACGGGAUCCUGUUCAUUGGGAGGGGUCUGGCGUACCGCAAAAUGGAGGAAACAGACUUCUGUUGGACCUCCUACGGUCGAAACGGGGUCCUGUUGAUCGGGAGGGGUGUGGCGUACCGUAAAACGGAGGAAACGAACUUGUGUUGGAGCGCUACGGUCAAAACAGGGGUCCUGUUCACCAGGAGGGGUGUGGCAUACCGCAAAAUGGGACUCCACGGGAUACUGUUCAUCUCCACCGUCGACCUCCUCCAGCCUCCACGGGUUACUGUUCAUCCACCGUCGACCUCCUCCAGCCUCCACAUGUGACUGUUUAUCCACGGGCUCCUGUUCAUCCAGCCUCCACCGCGCGCUACGCCACCGGCUAUUGUUCAACCAGCCCUCUCCACGGGUUCCUGCUCAACCACCCCUCCACAGGCUACUGUUCAUCCAGCCCUCCACCGGCUACUGUUCAACCAGCCCUCCACGGGGUCGUCAUGUUCAUCCAGCCCUCCACGAGGUCCUGUUCAUCCAGCCCCAAUAGGCUCGAUCGAUCGGGGUCCUGUUCGUCCAGAGGCAACACCACAGGGUCUUGUUCAUCCACCCCCACCGCGAACUGUUCAUCCAAACCCCCCAGCAACGCUCACUGUUCAUCCACCCACCCCCCAACAACGCUCAUUGUUCAUCCAGAGGCAGCAUCAAUCGGCUUCAGUUAGCAGCAGUAGCGGAGGAAUCGCUCGAUCGCUCAGGUUCAGUAACACGUAGCCCGCAGUGCAAUCACUUGGGUUCAGUUAGGCGACGCCUUGCUCGGGUUCAGUUAGAGCCCAAUGCCUCGCACCCACGCGCGUACAUGUACGAGAGAAACGAGCUUCGUUCAGCCCCCGACCACCCACCGUAACCGGGAACUCCCCGAUAUUUUCCUCGCCCUCGCUUCUACCAUGGUUUUUUCCAUCAUGGGCGGCCCAAAGAAUGUCAUGCAGCUGUGUCUCCGGCCUGCCCAGGACGAAAAGCCCAUUUUCUGUCAUGAUUUUUUGUCAUAGAAGUAGGAGCCUACCACAUCUAUGAUGAUACCGGGUUUUGUCACAGUUAUCGUCAUAGAAGUGUCAUAAGUAUGACAGAAUUUUUUUUGUUCGGCCCAAAAUGUUACAGAUGUGUCUUUUUUUAGUGCAUCCUCCUACUUCCCCGUCCCACAUGCCCCGACCGACGGUGUGACACAUUCCGUCGAAAUCACUUCCCUCCUCCACUUAAGCGCCACCCAUAGCUAUUUUGCACGCAGUAUAACAUGGAAAUCAGUAGCAUUUGGCAGUGGAGAAGCAAAUCACGGCCGCACGCAUGCACGAGGUCACUAUGGCUGCUAUGCAUGCCAACCGCCAGAUCUUGGAGGAGCACCUCGUCUUCGAGGCCACCAUCGACACCGCCACGCGGUUGUCUACUAUAAAACAGAUUUCAUGCUAUUUUCUCAAGGCCACCGCCAGUGCCUUCUAGUGAUUUGUCCUCUGUAAUGUUAAUAUGCAAUCUGAUGUUCAGUUAAAAGUUUAGUCCUCUGAAAUGUGAUGUUCAGUUAACAGUUUGGUCCUCUGAAAUGUAAUGUCCAGUUAACAGUUUAGCCCAACAAUUGCUACAUUUCGUAGUACUGUUCUCAAGCAUUCUUUGUUUUGUUAACUAUCUUAUCUUCUAGUACAUGUUUCUAUUCUGCAAUGUCGUGCUCAGUUAACAGUUUUGGUUCAUUUGGUCUGCUGUCCAUUUAACUGUUUGGUUCAAUUCUUCAAUUUGAUUUUCAUUUGUUGUGGGUACAAUUUUGUAUUGUUAUGCAUGUGAAAUAAAUCAAAUUUGGCUGUACUCAAUACAUAUUCUACUGACAGUAUGACAACUCUCAGUUAACCUGAUCAAGAUCUUCCUUAUGUGUGUUGCAGCGGAACAAUGGGAGACACUCUGGUUUACCAUCGAGGUAUGCUCAUGCAUGGUCCUUUUGCUAAUAGCACAUUAUUGUGCAGUUGCAGGAAUCAUUCUAAUAUUUAGGUUUCUUACAAUUUGGUCUUGCACAUGUAGGUCCUGCUGUCAGAGGCUUAGACCCACUGUUCGACCCAGUUUGCAUAUCGGGAAAUGAGAUGUCCAUGAAUAUCAGUCAAGUCAAUAAACUCAGAAAGAUUGUUAGGAUGAAGAAACUUGCGAUGAAUAACAGCAAGAUCUUUGUUUGCACAAUGAAGAAGACAUCAGUCAACUAUAGGAUGGUACUAACUCUUUUACCUUGUUUUUACCCCUUGCGCCAUUUCAAAAUUUAUAACCACGGUCUAUGCAUAUCUUAGUUUUUGGUACUUUUCAAAGCAGUUCACCGAUGAUUACCUCUCAAACCACCUACAUGGUCAAGAGGCGAGGAAGGUAUUCAUUCAACACACAUGGUACAAUAUUAAGUCUUCCUGAAGAGGACGAAGGUUGGGCGGGCAAUUAUCCAUAGCCACUGGCCUAAAGUUGCAAGGACAUUCAACAUCACUGAAGGCUAAAUAUUUGCCUUCCGCUUCUGCAGUUUCCCAGAUGAGAUUCAUCUGUCUAUUUACCAUGUAUGAUGCUACUUCCCAAAGGUUUUCGAUGUUUCAUGUGAAACUUGGUGAUGUUGUGUAAUGGCGUAACUGAGUGCCGAAGCUAUCUGAUGUAAUUCAAUUAUGAAAUCUUGGUUGCCGUCAUACGGAUAUGAAAUAUCUGGUGUGUUUUGUAAGAAAUAUCAAUUUGAUUACUACAUGGAUUAUCAAUAAUAGGCUAAUUACCCUGCUUAUUGGGGUUUUCUAUUGCAGACAGAUACUCAGACAGCACCGUGGGCGAUGAACUCAAACAACCCACACGGAUCCUAGAAAGUAGGCGUGUUCGAUCAAUUAACAAUCACACACGGCUUCCAGCAGAGAACUAUUUGCGUUAGGCCACCUUGCACAAACGUUUCCACGCCAAAAACUAUGUGUGCUAAACAUACGAAUGGAAAUGGUUUUCUAGGAUUCGGCGUGUGGGAUGUACAUACGAAUGGAAACGAUUGGGUUUCAAUGCCUCGCCAGAUCACACACGAGCUCAUUUUUGUGCCAGGAGGGCAUAUCCCCGACGGUUUCUGGGUCGUGUGGGAAGGACCCCCUAUCGCCCACACUCACUUGGCGAUGGUUCUAAGAGCCGUCGCGGAAAGGGGUUAAAAAUCGUUUGUAUAGCAGGUCUCUGCACCAGUGAACCAUAGAAAACUGUUUUCAUGGCUAUGUUUUGAUUGUGUAGGUGACAAAAGAUGAGGGGAAAAAGAAUGUCCAAGAUAUUGCUAGUGCAGAUGCUAAGAGGGAUAUGUUCAUGCAGAUAAUACAAAUGACUUUUAUGUCUCAUGAUGUUGCGUUUGAUUUCUACAACAGCUAUGCUAGAGAAAAUGGUUUCAACAUUAGAAAAGGCAAGGUCAGUUAUAGCAAAACCGAGUUACAUCAUAUGCGUUAUAGGUGGUUUUUUUGUUCCAGAGAAGGGAAACGUGACAGCAAGUUGCUAUCCGAGGAAGGAAACAGCCGUAGGCUCAAAACCGAGACACGCUGCAACUGCGAAGCACACCUGACCAUCAAGCUUGACCAAAAGCGUGGGGUUUGGUAUGUUGAAAGUUUUGAAGAAAAGCAUAGCCAUAUGAUGGCAAGACCGGAUGAGGUACCUUUUCUUUGGUCCCAUAGAAAAAUCAAAGAGUACCAGAAAGCUGAGAUAUUGUCCAUGGGAGCUGCAGGGAUUAGAAUUCACGACAUUAUGGAUUCCUUCCUCGGCAAACAUUUAUGGUAUGGCAGUGUUGGUUUUACCAGGCGUAAUAUAUACAACCUUUGCUCCUGGGAGAAGAGGAAGCUGAUUUCGAAAGGUGAUGCUGCCACAGCCAUAGGCAUCAUGGCCAGUAGGAAAGUGAGGGAUCCUAGCAUCUUUUUCGAGUACAAGCUGUUGGGGAACGUAGUAAUUUCAAAAAAAAUCCUACGCAAACGCAAGAUCAUGGUGAUGCAUAGCAACGAGAGGGGAGAGUGUCGUCUAUGUACCCUCGUAGACCGUAAGCGGAAGCAUUAUGACAACGCGGUUGAUGUAGUCGUACGUCUUCACGAUCGACCGAUCCUAGUACCGAAUGUAUGACACCUCCGCGAUCUGCACACGUUCAACUCGGUGACGUCCCACGAACUCACGAUCUAGUAGAGCAUCGAGGGAGAGUUCCGUCAGCACGACGGCGUGAUGACGGUCUUGAUGAAGCUACCGAUGCAGGGCUUCGCCUAAGCACCGCUAAGAUAUGAUCGAGGUGGAUUAUGGUGGAGGGGGGCACCGCACACGGCUAAAGAUCAAUGAUCAACUUGUGUGUCUAUGGGGUGCCCCCCUCCCCCGUAUAUAAAGGAGUGGAGGAGGGGGAGGGUCGGCCCUCUACUAUGGCGCGCCCUGGGGAGUCCUACUCCCAUCGGGAGUACGAUUCCCCCUUCCAAGUAGUAGGAGUAGGAGAGAAGGAAAGGGAAGAGAGAAGAGAAGGAAGGAGGGGACGGCGCCCGGGAGAUCCUAUGGGGCUCUCUUUGCGUCAAAAAGUUGACACUUCGCACAGGGGUGGCUCGCCUGGGCCGGCCCAUUUGACGUUAGCGUGCUGGAAAAUGGAAAAGCGACAAAAACUAAGAGCGUUGCCGCCGCGAUUCGAACCACCGACUUCCUAGUUUUCUACGUGUUGUGCGAGCUGCUGCGAUACAAUAGCUCUUGUGCUAGAAAGACAGCGCAACACAUGAAGAAACGACCAACAGUGGCCAAAAUUUGAACAUUCGCCCACUACUACUGAUCAUGGUCGCUAGCCACUGUAACUCUAGCGUAUCUACGUCUAAAAUGGCAGCCCCUUCAGUACGAACUAUAAGCAGCAGAUUUACCCUAAAAAAAGCAGCAGCAGAUUUAACUUUAUUGAAAUUUUGAACAUGAAUUUCCUUUUUUUAAGGAAAAUAUAUUUUUAAAGUCAAAUUUUCAAAAUUGCGAACAAAAUUUAAAAAAUCAAACAUUUUAUGAACAAGCAGAAUUUUUCGGAAUCUCAACAGAAAUGAAAAAGGAAAAAAAUAGAAAAACAGUACAUUCUUUGAAAUUACGAACAAUUUUAAAAAAGAUGCAAACAUUUUCUAUAAAACAUGAACAUUUUUUGAAAUUGUGAACAAAUUUUCCAAAAUACGACCUUUUUUGGAAUUUGUGAACAAAAUUUGAGAACAUGAAUAUUUUUUACAAAUUUGGAAAGCUGGAACAUUUCUUUGAAUUUGCGACAAAUGUUCAUGUUUCCUUGUGCACAAAAUUUGAAAGUAGGUACACUUUAAAAAAUUGUUAGGCAAUAUGUACAUUUUUUUAACUUUUUGAACAAAUUUUUUAAAUGGGUUCCACACAUUUUCAAAACAAGAAUUUUUUUAAAUUGUUGAGAAAAAUUUGAAAGCGGGAACAUUUGUUGAAAUUCCCGAACAUUUUUUGAAUUUGCACAUUGUAUUUUCAAAACAUGAACAUUUCUAAAAUUGUGAUUAUUUUUGGAAAGUAGGAACAUUUAUUGAAAUUCCUGAACACUUUUUGAAUUUAUAAAUAUAUAUUCAAAAACAUGAACAUUUUUUAAAUUUGUGAACAAAUUUUGCAACUAGGAACAUUUUCUGAUUUUUUUUAAACGUGAAACUUUUAAAUUUUCAAAUUCUAUAUAGAAAUUUUUGGAACAUUUUUUAUAAGAAGCGAACAAAUAUUUGAAAUCCUAAUUCUUCUGGAAUUUUGUAAAAAUAUUGCAAAAUAGGAACAUUUUAAAAAUAUAUACAAAAUCUAAAAAAGGAAACAUUUUUAAAUUUCUGAAAAUAGGUUGAAAAAAGAAAAAUAAACUUGAAAAUGAAAAUAAAAUAAAAAAGGAGCUAAAAGAAAAGAAAAAGUGAAAAAUGAAUGAAAAUAGCAAAGGGAAAGGAAAAUAAAAAGGAAAAACUAAAAAUAAUGGAAAAGAAAAGGAAACAGAAGAAAAACGAAACAGAAACAGAAAAAAUCUGGUUCAGGAACCUUCUAGAAGGUUCCCAAAACCGGGAAAACCGACUGGAAAUUUCUAGAAGGUUCCUAAAACCAGGAUCGAUACAACGCACGCUUGUCUUUUAAAUGGGCUGGCCCGCCUCGGUCGAGACCUGUGCGGCGUCCCGACACUUUGCCGCAGCGGGCGUCCAAUAGGGUUUUCCGCGCCGCCCCUCCCCCUAGUCCAAUUCGGACUAGGCCUUGGGGGCGGGGGGGGGGGGCGGCCUGCCCUCUCUCUCCCUUAAAGCCCAAUGAGGCCCAUAUACUCCCCGGCGAAUUUCCGUAACUCUCUCGUACUCCGAUAAAUACCCGAACCACUCAGAACCUUUCCAAUGUCUGAAUAUAGCCUUCCAAUAUAUCGAUAUUUACGUCUCAAACAUUUCAAGACUCGUCGUCAUGUCCAUGAUCUCAUCCGGGACUCCGAACUACCUUUGGUGCAUCAAAUCACAUAACUCGUAAUACAAAUCAUCAUCGGACGUUAAGCGUGCGGACCCUACGGGUUCGAGAACUAUGUAGACAUGACCGAGACUCAUCUCCGGUCAAUAACCAAUAGCGGAACCUGGAUGCUCAUAUUGGCUCCCAUGUAUUCUACGAAGAUCUUUAUCGGUCAAACCGCAUAACAACAUACAUUGUUCCCUUUGUCAUCGGUAUGUUACUUGCCUAAGAUUCGAUCGUCGGUAUCUCAAUACCUAGUUCAAUCUCGUUACCGGCAAGUCUCUUUACUCGUUCCGUAAUGCAUCAUCUCGCAACUACCUCAUUAGUCACAUUGCUUGCAAGGCUUAUAGUGAUGUGCAUUAACGAGAGGGCCUAGAGAUACCUCUUCGACAUUCGGACUGACAAAUCCUAAUCUCGAUCUAUGCCAACUCAACAAACACCAUCGGAGACACCUUUAGAGCACCUUUAUAAUCACCCAGUUACGUUGUGACGUUUGGUAGCACACAAAGUGUUCCCCCGGUAUUCGAGAGUUGCAUAAUAUCAUAGUCCGAGGAACAUGUAUAAGUCAUGAAGAAAGCAAUAGCAACAUACUAAACGAUCAAGUGCUAAGCUAACGGAAUGGGUCAAGUCAAUCACAUCAUUCUCUAAUGAUGUGAUCCCGUUAAUCAAAUGACAACUCAUGUCUAUGGCUAGGAAACUUAACCAUCUUUGAUUCAACUAGCUAGUCGAGUAGAGGCAUACUAGUGACAUUAUGUUUGUCUAUGUAUUCACACAUGUACUAAGUUUCCGAUUAAUACAAUUCUAGCAUGAAUAAUAAACAUUUAUCAUGAUAUAAUGAAAUAUAAAUAACAACUUUAUUAUUGCCUCUAGGGCAUAUUUCCUUCAGUCUCCCACUUGCACUAGAGUCAAUAAUCUAGUUCACAUCACCAUGUGAUUUAACACCAAUAUUCACAUCUGUAUGUGAUUAACACCCAUAGUUCACAUCGUCAUGUGACCAACACCCGAAGGGUUUACUAAAGUCAAUAAUCUAGUUCACAUCUCUAUGUGAUUAACACCCAAAGAUUACUAAGGUAUGAUCAUGUUUUGCUCGUGAGAGAAGAUUAGUCAACGGGUCUGUCACAUUCAGAGCCUUAUGUAUUUUGCAAAUAUUCUAUGUCUACAAUGCUCUGCACGGAGCUACUCUAGCUAAUUGCUCCCAAUUUCAAUAUGUAUCCAGGUUGAGACUUAGAGUCAUCUGGAUCGGUGUAAAAGCUUGCUCUGAUGUAACUCUUUACAACGAACUCUUUUAUCACCUCCAUAAUCGAGAAACAUUUCCUUAGUCCUUACUAAGGAUAUUCUGGACCGCCGUCCAGUGAUCUACUCCUAGAUCAAAAUUGUACUCCCUUGCCAAACUCAGAGCAAGGUAUACAAUAGGUCCGGUACACAGCAUGGCAUACUUUAUAGAACCUAUGACUGAGGCAUAGGGAAUGACUUUUCAUUCUAUUUCUAUUUUUUGCCAUGGUCAGGUUUUGAGUCUUACUCAACUUCACACCUCGCAACACAGGCAAGAACUCCUUCUUUGACUGUUCCAUUUUGAACCACUUCAAAAUCUUAUCAAGGUAUGUACUCAUAGAAAAAUCUUAUCAAGCGUCUUGAUCUAUCUCUAUAGGUCUUAAUGCUCAAUGUGUAAGCAGCUUCAUCGAGGUCUUUCUUUGAAAAACUCCUUUCAAACACUCCUUUAUGCCUUCCAAAAAAUUCUACAUUAUUUCUGAUCAACAACAUGUCAUUCACAUAUACUUAUCAGAAAGGCUAUAGUGCUCCCACUCAUUUUCCUGUAAAUACAGGAUUCACCGCAAGUCUGUAUAAAACUAUAUGCUUUGAUCAACUCAUCAAAGCGUAUAUUCCAACUCCGAGAUGCUUGCACCAGUCCAUAGAUGGAUCACUGGAGCUUGCACACUUUGUUAGCACCUUUAGGAUUGACAAAACCUUCUGGUUGCAUCAUAUACAACUCUUCUUUAAUAAAUCCAUUAAGGAAUGCAAUUUUGACUUCCAUUUGCCAUAUUUCAUAAAAUGUGGCAAUUGCUAACAUGCUUCGGAGGGAUUUAAGCUUCACUACAGUUGAGAAAAUCUCAUUGUAGUCAACACCUUGAACUUGUUGAAAAACCUUUUAUGACAAGUUGAGCUUUGUAGAUAGUAACACUACUAUCAACGUCCGUCUUCCUCUUGAAGAUCCAUUUAUAUUCUAUGGCUUGCCGAUCAUCGGGCAAGUUCACCAAAGUCCACACUUUUUUCUUAUACAUGGAUCCCAUCUCAGAUUUCAUGGCUCCAAACCAUUUCGCGGAAUCUGGGCUCAUCAUCGCUUCCUCAUAGUUCAUAGGUUCAUCAUGGUCUAGUAACAUGACUUCCAGAACAGGAUUACCGUACCACUCUAGUGCGGACCGUACUCUAGAAGACCUACGAGGUUCUGUAGUAACUUAAUCUGAAGUUUCAUGAUCAUCAUCAUUAGCUUCCUCACUAAUUGGUGUAGGAAUCACUGGAACUGAUUUCUAUGAUGAACUACUUUCCAAUUCAGGAGAUGGUACAAUUACCUUAUCAAGCUCUACUUUCCUCCCACUCACUUCUUUUGAGAGAAACUCCAUCUCUAGAAAGGAUCCAUCUUAGCAACGAAUAUCUUGCCUUCGGAUCUGUGAUAGAAGGUGUACCCAACAGUUUCCUUUGGGUAUUCUAUGAGGAUGCACUUCUCUGAUUUGGGUUCGAGCUUAUCAGGUUGAAUUUUUUUCACAUAAGCAUUGCAGCCCCAAACUUUAAGAAACGACAACUUUGGUUUCUUGCCAAACCAAGGCGUCGUCUCAACGGAUUUUGAUGGUGCCCUAUUUAAAGUGAAUGUAGAUGUCCCUAAUGCAUAACCCAAAAAUGAUAGUGGUAAAUCUGUAAGAUACAUCAUAGAUCGCACCAUAUCCAAUAAAGUGUGGUUAUGACAUUCGGACACACCAUUACGCUGUGGUGUUCCAUGUGUCGUGAGCUGUGAAACUAUUCCACAUUGUUUUUAAAUGAAGGCCAAACUUGUAACUCAAAUAUUCUCCUCUACGAUCAGAUUGUAGAAACUUUAUUUUCUUGUUACGAUGAUUCUCCACUUCACUCUGAAAUUCUUUGAACUUUUCAAAUGUUUCAGACUUGUGCUUCAUUAAGUAGAUAUACUCAUAUCUCCUCAAAUCAUCUGUGAAGGUCAGAAAAUAACGAUACCCGCCAUGAGCAUCAACACUCAUUGGACCGCAUACAUCGGUAUGUAUUAUUUCUAACAAGUCAGUAGCUCGUUCCAUUGUUCUGGAGAACGGUGUUUUAGUCAUCUUGCCCAAAAGGCACGAUGCUCAAGCAUCAAAUGAUUCAUAACCAAGUGAUUCCAAAAGUCCAUAUUUAUGAAGUUUCUUCAUGCGCUUUACACCGAUAUGACCCAAAUGGCAGUGCCACAAAUAAGUUGCACUAUCAAUACCAACUUUGCAUCUUUUGGUAUCAAUAUUAUGAAUAUGUGUAUCACUACAAUCGAGAUCCGACAAACUAUUUUCAUUGGUGUAUGACCAUCGAAGGUUUUAUUCAUGUAAACAGAACAACAAUUAUUCUCUCACUUUAAAUGAAUAACCAUAUUGCAAUAAACAUGAUCAAAUCAUAUUCAUGCUCAACGCAAACUCCAAAUAACAUUUAUUUAGGUUUAACACUAAUCCCGAAAGUAUAGGGAGUGUUCGAUGAUGAUCAUAUCAAUCUUGGAACCACUUCCAACACACAUCGUCACUUCACCCUCAACUUGUCUCUGUUUAUUCUGUAACUCCUGUUUCGAGUUACUAUUUUUUUAGCAACCGAACAAGUAUCAAAUACCCAGGGGCUACUAUAAACACUAGUAAGGUACACAUCAAUAACUUGUAUAUCAAAUAUACCCUUGUUCACUUUGCCAUCCUUCUUAUCCACCAAAUAUUCAGGGCAUUUCCGCUUCCAAUGACCAUUUCCUUUGCAGUAGAAGCACUCAGUUUUAGGCUUUAGUCUAGCUUUGGGCUUCUUCACGGAAGUGACAACUUGCUUGCCAUUCUACAUGAUGUUCCCUUUCUUUCCCUUUGCCCUUUUCUUGAAACUAGUGGUCUUGUUAAUCAUCAACACAUGAUGCUCUUUCUUGAUUUCUACCUUCAUCGAUUUCAUCAUCAUGAAAAACUCGGGAAUCAUUUUUGUCAUCCCUUGCAUAAUAUAGUUCAUCACGAAGUUCUACUAACUUGGUAGUGGUGACUAGAGAACUCUGUCAAUCACUAUCUUAUCUGGAAGAUUAACUCCCACUUGAUUCAAGUGAUUGUAGUACCCAGACAAUCUGAGCACAUGCUCACUGCUUGAGCUAUUCUCCUCCAUCUUUUAGCUAUAGAACUUGUUGGAGACUUCAUAUCUCUCAACUCGGGUAUUUGCUUGAAAUAUUAACUUCAACUCCUGGAACAUCUCCUAUGGUCCAUGACAUUCAAAACGUCUUUGAAGUCCCGAUUCUAAGCCGUUAAGCAUGGUGCACUAAACUAUCAAGUAGUCAUUAUAUUGAGCUAGCCAAACAUUCAUAAUGUCUGCAUCUGCUCCUGCAAUAGGUCUAUCACCUAGCGGUGCAUCAAGGGCAUAAUUCUUCUGUGCAGCAAUGAGGAUAAACCUCAGAUCGCGGACACAGUCUGCAUCAUUGCUACUAUCAUCUUUCAACUUAGUUUUCUCUAGGAACACAUAUAAAAACAUAGGGAAGCAACAAGGCGAGCUAUUGAUCUACAACAUUAUUUGCAAAAUACUAUCAGGACUAAGUUCAUGAUAAAUUAAAGUUCAAUUAAUCAUAUUACUUAAGAACUCCCACUUAGAUAGGCAUCCCUCUAAUCAUCUAAGUGAUCACGUGAUCCAAAUCAACUAAAUCAUGUCCGAUCAUCAUGUGAAAUGGAGUAGUUUUCAAUGGUGAACAUCACUAUGUUGAUCAUAUCUACUAUAUGAUUCACGCUCGACCUUUCGGUCUCAGUGUUCUGAGGCCAUAUCUGCAUAUGCUAGGCUCGUCAAGUUUAACCCGAGUAUUUCUGCGUGUGCAAAACUGGCUUGCACCCGUUGUAUGUGAACGUAGAGCUUAUCACACCGGAUCAUCAUGUGGUGUCUCAGCAUGACGAACUUUGGCAACGGUGCAUACUCAGGGAGAACACUUGUACCUUGACAUUUAGUGAGAGAUCAUCUUAUAAAGCUACCGCCGAACUAAGCAAAAUAAGAUGUAUAAAAGAUAAACAUCAUAUGCAAUCAAAAUAUGUGACAUGAUAUGGCCAUCAUCAUCUUGUGCCUUUGAUCUCCAUCUGCAAACUACCGUUAUGAUCUCCAUUGUCACUGGCAUGACACCAUGAUCUCCAUCAUCUUGAUCUUUAUAAAUGUGUCAUCAUAUGGUCGUCUUGCCAACCAUUUCGUUUGCAACUAUUGCUAUCGCAUAGCGAUAAAGUAAAGCAAUCAUAUGGCACUUGCAUCUUAUGCAAUAAAGAGACAACCAUAAGGCUCCUGCCAGUUGCCGAUAACUUGAACAAAACAUGAUCAUCUCAUACAACAAUUUAUAUUUCAUCACGUCUUGACCAUAUCACAUCACAACAUGCCCUGCAAAAACAAGUUAGACAUCCUCUACUUUGUUGUUGCAAGUUUUACGUGGCUGCUACGGGCUGAGCAAGAACCGUUCUUACCUACGCAUCAACACCACAACAAUAUUUUGUCAAGUUAGUGUUGUUUUAACAUUCAACAAGGACCGGGCGUAGCCACACUCAAUUCAACUAAAGUUGGAGAAACUGACACCCGCCAGCCACCUGUGUGCGAAGCACAUCGGUAGAACCAGUCUUGCGUAAGCGUACGCGUAAUGUCGGUCCGGACCACUUCAUCCAACAAUACCACCGAAUCAAAGUAUGACAUGCUUGUAAGCAGUAUGACUAUUAUCACCCACAACUCACUUGUGUUCUACUCAUGCAUAUAACAUCUACGCAUAAACCUGGCUUGGAUGCCACUGCUGGGGAACGUAGUAAUUUCAAAAAAAAUCCUACACACACGCAAGAUCAUGAUGAUGCAUAGCAACAAGAGGGGAGAGUGUCGUCCAUGUACCCUGGUAGACCGUAAGCGGAAGCGUUAUGACAACGCGGUUGAUGUAGUCGUACGUCUUCACGAUCGACCGAUCCUAGUACCUCCACGAUCUGCACACGUUCAGCUCGGUGAUGUCCCAUGAACUCAUGAUCUAGUAGAGCUUCCAGGGAGAGUUCCAUCAGCACGACAGCGUGAUGACGGUGUUGAUGAAGCUACCGACUCAGGGCUUCGCCUAAGCACCGCUAUGAUAUGACCGAGGUGGAUUAUGGUGGAGGGGGGCACCGCACAUGGCUAAAGAUCAAUGAUCAACUUGUGUGUCUAUGGGGUGCCCCCCUACCUCGUAUAUAAAGGAGUGGAGGAGCGGGAGGGCCGGCCCUCUACUAUGGCGCGCCCUGGGGAGUCCUACUCCCACCGGGAGUAGGAUUCUUCCCUUCCAAGUAGUAGGAGUAGGAGAGCAGGAAAGGGAAGAGAGAAGAGAAGGAAGGAGGGGGCGCCGCCCCUCCCCCUAGUCCAAUUCGGACUAGGCCUUGGGGGGCCUACCCUCUCUCUCUCCCUUAAAGCCCAAUAAGGCCCAUAUACUCCCCGGCGAAUUCCUGUAACUCUCCGGUACUCCGAUAAAUAGCCGAACCACUCAGAACCUUUCCGAUGUCCGAAUAUAGCCUUCCAAUAUAUCGAUCUUUACUUCUCGAACAUUUCGAGACUCCUUGUCAUGUCCAUGAUCUCAUCUGGGACUCCGAACUACCUUUGGUACAUCAAAUCACAUAACUCAUAAUACAAAUCGUCAUCGAACGUUAAGCGUGCGGACCCUACGGGUUCGAGAACUAUGUAGACAUGACCAAGACUCAUCUCCGAUCAAUAACCAAUAGCAGAACCUGGAUGCUCAUAUUGGCUCCCAUAUAUUCUACGAAGAUCUUUAUCGGUCAAACCGCAUAACAACAUACAUUGUUCCCUCUGUCAUCGAUAUGUUACUUGCCCGAGAUUUGAUCGUUGGUAUCUCAAUACCUAGUUCAAUCUCGUUACCGGCAAGUCUCUUUACUCGUUCCGUAAUGCAUCCUCUCGCAACUAACUCAUUACUCACAUUGCUUGCCAGGCUUAUAGUGAUGUGCAUUACCGAGAAGGCCCAGAGAUACCUCUCUGACAUUCGGAGUGACAAAUCCUAAUCUCGAUCUAUGCCAACUCAACAAACACCACCGGAGACACCUGUAGAGCACCUUUAUAAUCACCCAGUUACGUUGUGACGUUUGGUAGCACACAAAGUGUUCCUCCGGUAUUCGGGAGUUGCAUAAUCUCAUAGUUUGAGGAACAUGUAUAAGUCAUGAAGAAAGCAAUAGCAACAUACUAAAUGAUCUAGUGCUAAGCUAAUGGAAUGGGUCAAGUCAAUCACAUUAUUCUCUAAUGAUGUGAUCCCGUUAAUCAAAUGACAACUCAUGUCUAUGGCUAGGAAACUUAACCAUCUUUGAUUCAACGAGCUAGUCAAGUAGAGGCAUACUAGUGACAUUAUGUUUGUCUAUGUAUUCACACAUGUACUAAGUUUCCGAUUAAUACAAUUCUAGCCUGAAUAAUAAACAUUUAUCAUGAUAUAAGGAAAGAUAAAUAGCAACUUUAUUAUUGCCUCUAGGGCAUAUUUCCUUCACAAGCUAGAUAAGGAAGGACAUAUUAAUAGAAUGUUCUAGUGUGACUCCCAGUCUCGUCAUGACUAUGAGGAUUUCGGCGACGUGCUUGUAUUUGAGAGCACGUACAAGAUGAACCGCUAUGGUAUGCCAUUCAUACCUUUUGUUUGUAUUAAAAAUCACCGGAAGACCACUGUUUUUGGUUGUGCCAUAGUUUCAGACAAGACCGGACAGACAUAUGUGUGGCUGCUGCAGACUUUUUUGUGGUCCAUGUGUCAAAAGCUGUCGAAGUGUGUAAUCACGGGCGCCGACAUUGCGAUGAUCAUGUUGGGGAAUGCCGUAAUAUCAAAAAAAAUCCUACGAUCACGCAAGAUCUAUCUAGGUGAUGCAUAGCAACAGGAGGGGAGAGUGUGUCCAUGUACCCUCGUAGACCGAAAGCGAAAGCGUUUAGUUAAUGUGGUUGAUGUAGUCGAACGUAUUUGCGAUCCAACCAAUCCAAGCACCGAACAUACGGCACCUCCGUGUUCAGCACACGUUUAGCUCGGGGACGUCCCUCGUACUCUUGAUCCAAUUGAGGCUGAGGGAGAGUUUCAUCAGCACGACGUCGUGGUGACGGUGAUGAUGAAGUUACCGGCGCAGGGCUUCGCCUAAGCACUACGACGAUAUGACCGAGGUGUGUAACUGUGGAGGGGGGCACCGCACACGGCUAAACAAUGUCAACUUGUGUGUCUAUGGGGUGCCCCCCUCCCCCAUAUAUAAAGGAGUGGAGGAGGGGGAGGGCCGGCCCUCUAUGGCGCACCCUGGAGGAGUCCUACUCCCACUGGGAGUAGGAUUCCCCCCUUUCCCUAGUUGGACUAGGAAAGGAAGGAAGGGGGAGGAAGGAGGAAGGAAGGGGGGGCCGGCCCCCCCACCCAAUUCGGAUUAGGCUUGGGGGGGCGCCCCCUCCUAGGCUCCCUUCUCCUCUCUCCCACUAUGGCCCACUAUGGCCCAUAUACUUCCCGGGGGGUUCCGAUAACCUCCUGGUACUCCAGUAUAUGCCCGAACUCACCCGAAACCAUUCUGAUGUCCAAACAUAGGCUCCAAUAUAUCGAUCGUUAUGUCUCGACCAUUUCGAGACUCCUCGUCAUGUCCGUGAUCACAUCCGGGACUCCGAACUACCUUCAGUACAUCAAAACACAUAAACUCAUAAUACCAAUCGUCAUCGAACGUUAAGCGUGCGGACCCUACGAUUUCGAGAACUAUGUAGACAUGACCGAGACAAGUCUCCGGUCAAUAACCAAUAGCGGAACCUGGAUGCUCAUAUUGGUUCCUACAUAUUCUACGAAGAUCUUUAUCGGUCAAACCGCAUAACAACAUACAUUGUUCCCUUUGUCAUCGGUAUGUUACUUGCCCGAGAUUCGAUCAUCGGUAUCUCAAUACCUAGUUCAAUCUCGUUACUGGCAAGUUUCUUUACUCGUUCCAUAAUACUUCAUCCUGCAACUAACUCAUUAGUUACAAUGCUUGCAAGGCUUAUGAUGAGUAUUACCGAGAGGGCCCAGAGAUACCUCUCCGAAACACAGAGUGACAAAUCCUAAUCUCGAUCUAUGCAAACCCAACAAACACCUCCGGAGACACCUGUAGAGCACCUUUAUAAUCACCCUUUUAUGUUGUGACGUUUGGUAGCACACAAAGUGUUCCUCCGUCAUUCAGGAGUUGCAUAAUCUCAUAGUCCGAGGAACUUGUAUAAGUCAUGAAGAAAGCAGUAGCAAUGAAACUAACAUGAUCAUAAUGCUAAGCUAACGGAUGGGUCAUGUCCAUCACAUCAUUCUCCUAAUGAUGUGAUCCCAUUCAUCAAAUGACAACACAUGUCUAUGGUUAGGAAUCAUAACCAUCUUUGAUUAACAAGCUAGUCUAGUAGAGGCAUACUAGGGACUAUAUGUUUUUUCUAUGUAUUCACACAUGUACAAAGUUUCCGGUUCGUACAAUUCUAGCAUGAAUAAUAAACAUUUAUCAUGAAUUGAGGAAAUAAAUAGUAACUUUAUUUUUGCCUCUAGGGCAUAUUUCCUUCAGUCUCCCACUUGCACUAGAGUCAAUAAUCUAGAUUACAUAGUAAUGAUUCUAACACCCAUGGAGCUUUGGUGCUGAUCAUGUUUUGCUCGUGAGAGAGGCUUAGUCAACAGGUAUGCAACAUUCAGAUCCGUGUGUAUCUUGCAAAUCUCUAUGUCCCCUUCUGACACUUGAUGACGGAUGGAAUUGAAGCGUCUCUUGAUGUGCUUGGUUCUCUUGUGAAAUCUGGAUUCCUUUGCCAAGGCAAUUGCACCAAUACUGUCACAAAAGAUUUUCAUUGGACCCGAUGCACUAGGUAUGACACCUAGAUCGGAUAUGAACUCCUUCAUCCAAACUCCUUCAUUCGCUGCUUCUGAAGCAGCAAUGUACUCCGCUUCACACGUAGAUCCCUCCACGAUGAUCUGCUUCGAACUGCACCAACUAACAGCUCCUCCAUUCAAUAAAAAUAUGUAUCUGGUUUGCAACUUAGAGUCAUCUGGAUCAGUGUCAAAGCUUGCAUCGACGUAACCGUUUACGACGAGCUCUUUUUCACCUCCAUAAACAAGAAAUAUAUCCUUAGUCCUUUUGAGGUAUUUCAGGAUGUUCUUGACCGUUGUCUAGUGCUCCACUCCGGGAUUACUUUGGUACCUCCCUGAUAUGCUUAUAGCAAGACAUACAUCAGGUCUAGUACACAACAUUGCAUACAUGAUAGAACCUAUGGCUGAAGCAUAGGGAAUGACUUUCACAUUCUCUCUAUCUCUUGCGGUGGUUGGGCCUUGAGUCUAACUCAAUUUCACACCUUGUAACACAAGCAAGAACCCUUUCUUUGAUUGAUCCCUUUUGAUCUUAUUCAAAACUUUAUCAAUGUAUGUGCUUUGUGAAAGUUCAAUUAAGCGUCUUGAUCUAUCUCUAUAGAUCUUGAUGCCCAAUAUGUAAGCAGCUUCUCCAAGGUCUUUCAUAGAAAAACUAUUAUUCAAGUAUCCCUUUAUGCUAUCUAGAAAUUCUAUAUCAUUUCCAAUCAACAAUAUGUCAUCUACAUAUAAGAUUAUAAAUGCUACAGAGCUCCCACUCACUUUCUUGUAAAUACAAGCUUCUCCAAAAGUCUGUAUAAAACCAUAUGAUUUGAUCACACUAUCAAAACGUUUAUUCCAACUCCGAGAGGCUUGCAUCAGUCCAUAAAUGGAUCGCUGGAGCUUGCACACUUUGUUAGCACCCUUUGGAUCGACAAAACCUUCCGGUUGCAUCAUAUACAACUCUUCUUCCAGAAAUCCAUUCAGGAAUGUUGUUUUGACAUCCAUUUGCCAAAUUUCAUAAUCAUAAAAUGCAGCAAUUGCUAACAUGAUUCAGAAAGACUUAGGCAUCGCUACGGGUGAGAAAGUCUCAUUGUAGUCAACUCCUUGAACUUGUCGAAAACCUUUCGCAACAAGUCGAGCUUUGUAAACAGUAACAUUACCGUCUGCGUCGGUCUUCUUCUUAAAGAUCCAUUUAUUUUCUAUGUCUUGCCGAUCAUUGGGCAAGUCCACCAAAGUCCACACUUUGUUCUCAUACAUGGAUCCCAUCUCAAAUUUCAUGGCCUCAAGCCAUUUCGCGGAAUCUGGGAUCAUCAUCGCUUCCUCAUAGUGCGUAGGUUCAUCAUGGUCUAGUAACAUGACUUCUAGAACAGGAUUACCAUACCACUCUGGUGUGGAUCUUACUCUGGAAGACCUACGAGGUUCGGUAGUAACUUGAUCUGAAGCUUCAUGAUCAUCAUCAUUAGCUUCCUCACUAAUUGGUGUAGGAAUCACUGGAACUGAUUUUUGUGAUGAACUACUUCCCAAUAAGGGAGAAGGUACAGUUACCUCAUCAAGUUCUACUUUCCUCCCACUCACUUCUUUCGAGAGAAACUCCUUCCCUAGAAAGGAUCUAUUCUUAGCAACAAAGAUUUUGCCUUCAGAUCUGUGAUAGAAGGUGUACCCAACAGUUUCCUUUGGGUAUCCUAUGAAGGCGCACUUCUCCAAUUUGGGUUCGAGCUUAUCAAGUUGAAGUUUUUUCACAUAAGCAUCACAUCCCCAAACUUUAAGAAACGACAACUUUGGUUUCUUGCCAAACCACAGUUCAUAAGGCGUCAUCUCAACGGAUUUUGAUGGUUCCCUAUUUAAAGUGAAUGCAGCCGUCUCUAGAGCAAAACCCCAAAACGAUAGCGGUAAAUCAAUAAGAGACAUCAUAGAUCGCACCAUAUCUUAUAAAGUACGGUUAUGACGUUCGGACACACCAUUUCGCUGUGGUGUUCCAGGUGGUGUUAAUUGUGAAACUAUCCCAUGUUGUUUCAAAUGAAGACCAAAUUGGUAACUCAAAUAUUCUCCUCCACGAUCAGAUUGUAGAAACUUUAUUUUCUUGUUAUGAUGAUUUUCCACUUCAAUAUGAAAUUCUUUGAACUUUUCAAAUGUUUCGGACUUAUGCUUCAUUAAGUAGAUAUAACCAUAUCUGCUCAAAUCAUCUGUGAAGGUAAGAAAAUAACGAUACCCACCACGAGCAUAAACACUCAUUGGACCACAUACAUUGGUAUGUAUUAUUUCCAAUAAGUCAAUAGCUCGUUCCAUUGUUCCGGAGAACGGAGUUUUAGUCAUCUUGCCCAUAAGGCACGGUUCGCAAGCACCAAGUGAUUCAUAAUCAAGUGAUUCCAAAAGUCCAUCAGUAUGGAGUUUCUUCAUGCGCUUUACACCGAUAUGACCCAAACAACAGUGCCACAAAUAAGUUGCACUAUCAUUAUUAAACUUCAAUCUUUUGGCUUCAACACUAUGAAUAUGUGUAUCACUACUAUCGAGAUUCAAUAAAAGUAGACCACUCAGCAAGGGUGCGUGACCAUAAAAGAUACUACUCAUAUAAAUAGAACAACCAUUAUUCUCUGAUUUAAAUGAAUAACCGUCUCGCAUCAAACAAGAUCCAGAUAUAAUGUUCAUGCUCAACACUGGCACCAAAUAACAAUUAUUCACCUCUAAAACUAAUCCUGAAGGUAGAUGUAGAGGUAGCAUGCCGACCGCGAUCACAUCGAAUUUGGAACCAUUUCCCAUGUGCAUCGUCACCUCGUCCUUAGCCAAUCUUCGCUUAAUCCGUAGCCCCUGUUUCAAGUUGCAAAUAUGAGCAACAGAACCAAUAUCAAAUACCCAGGCGCUACUGCGAGCAUUAGUUAAGUACACAUCAAUAACAUGUAUAUCAAAUAUACCUUUCACUUUGCCAUCCUUUCUAUCCGCCAAAUACUUGGGGCAGUUCCACUUCCAGUGACCAGUCCCUUUGAAGUAGAAGCACUCAGUUUCAGGCUUAGGUCCAGACUUGGGUUUCUUCUCUUGAGCAGCAACCUUUUUGCCAUUCUUCUUGAAGUUCCCUUUCUUCCCUUUGCCCUUUUUCUUGAAACUAGUGGUCUUAUUGACCAUCAACACUUGAUGCUCCUUUUUUAUUUCUACCGCAGCUUUUAGCAUUGCGAAGAGCUCGGGAAUCGUCUUGUUCAUCCCUUGCAUAUUAUAGUUCAUCACGAAGUUUUUGUAGCUUGGUGGCAGUGAUUAAAGAACUCUGUCAAUGACACUAUCAUCAGGAAGAUUAACUCCCAGUUGAGUCAAGUGGUUGUGGUACCCAGACAUUCUGAGUAUGUGUUCACUGACAGAAAUAUUCUCCUGCAUUUUACAGCUGUAGAACUUAUUGGAGACUUCAUAUCUCUCAAUCCGGGCAUUUGCUUGAAAUAUUAACCACAACUCCUGGAAUAUUUCAUAUGCCCCAUGACGUUCAAAAUGUCGUUGAAGUCCCGGUUCUAAGCCGUAAAGCAUGGCACACUGAACUAUCGAGUAGUGAUCAACACACGUCUGCCAGGCAUUCACAAUGUCUACAGUCGCGGGCAGGGGUGGUACACCUAACGGUGCUUCCAGGACGUAAUUCUUCUGUGCAGCAAUGAGGAUAAUCCUCAAGUUACGGACCCAGUCCGUGUAGUUGCUGCCAUCAUCUUUCAACUUAGCUUUCUCUAGGAAUGCAUUAAAAUUCAAAGGAACGGUACCAUGGGCCAUUGAUCUACAACAACAUAGACAUGCAAAAUACUAUCAGGUACUAAGUUCAUGAUAAAUUAAAGUUCAAUUAAUCAUAUUACUUAAAAACUCCCACUUAGAUAGACAUCCCUCUAAUCUUCUAAGUGAUCACGUGAUCCAAAUGAACUAAACCAUGUCCGAUCAUCACGUGAGAUGGAGUAGUUUUCAAUGGUGAACAUCACUAUGUUGAUCAUAUCUACUAUAUGAUUCACGCUCGACCUUUCGGUCUCAGUGUUCCGCGGCCAUAUCUGCAUAUGCUAGGCUCGUCAAGUUUAACCCGAGUAUUCUGCGUGUGCAAAACUGGCUUGCACCCGUUAUAUGUGAACGUAGAGCUUAUCACACCCGAUCAUCAUGUGGUGUCUCGGCAUGACGAACUGUAGUGACGGUGCAUACUCAGGGAGAACACUUGUACCUUGAAAUUUAGUAAGGGAUCAUCUUAUAAUGCUACCGACGUUCUAAGCGAAAUAAGAUGCAUAAAGGAUAAACAUCACAUGCAAUCAAAAUAUGUGACAUGAUAUGGCCAUGAUCAUCUUGUGCUCAUGAUCUCCAUCACCGAAGCAUCGUCAUGAUCUCAAACAUCACCGGCGCGACACAUUGAUCUCCAUCGUAGCAUCGUUGUUGUUUCGCCACCUAUUGUUACUACGAAUAUCGCUAUCGCUUAGUGAUAAAGUAAAACAAUUACAUGGCGAUUGCAUUGCAUACAAUAAAAGCAACAACCAUAUGGCUCCUGCCAGUUGCCGAUAACUUUGUUACAAAACAUGAUCAUCUCAUACAACAAUUUAUAUCACAUCAUGCUUGACCAUAUCACAUCACAGCAAGCCCUGCAAAAACAAGUUAGACGUCCUCUACUUUGUUGUUGCAAGUUUUACGUGGCUGCUACAGGCUUCUAGCAAGAACCGUUCUUACCUACGCAUCAAAACCACAACGAUUUUUCGUCAAGUGUGUUAUUUUAACCUUCAACAAGGAUUGGGCGUAGCCACACUCGAUUCAACUAAAGUUGGAGAAACAGACACUCACCAGCCACCUAUGUGCAAAGCACAUCGGUAGAACCAGUCUCGUGUAAGCGUACGUGUAAUGUCGGUCUGAGCCGCUUCAUCCAACAAUAUUGCUGAAUCAAAGUAUGACAUGCUGGUAAGCAGUAUGACUAUUAUUGCCCACAACUCUUUGUGUUCUACUCGUGCAUAUAACAUCUACGCAUAGACCUGGCUCUGAUACCACUAUUGGGGAAUGCGGUAAUUUCAAAAAAAAUCCUACGAUCAUGCAAGAUCUAUCUAGGUGAUGCAUAGCAAUGAGAGGGGAGAGUGUGUCCUUGUACUCGUAGACCGAAAGCGGAAGCGUUUAGUUAACGCGGUUGAUGUAGUCGAACGUCUUCACGAUCCAACUGAUCCAAGCACCGAAUGUACGGCACCUCCGCAUUCAGCACACGUUCAGCUCGAGGACGUCCCUUGUACUCUUGAUCCAGUUGAGGCUGAGGGAGUGUUUCAUCAGCACGACGGUGUGGUGACGGUGAUGAUGAAGUUACCAGCGCAGGGCUUCGCCUAAGCACUACGACGAUAUGACCGAGGUGUGUAACUGUGGAGGGGGGCAUCGCACACGGCUAAACAAUGUCAACUUGUGUGUCUAUGGGGUGCCCCCCUCCCCCGUAUAUAAAGGAGUGGAGGAGGGGGGAGCGCCGGCCCUCUAUGGCGCGCCCUGGAGGAGUCCUACUCCCACUAGGAGUAGGAUCCCCCCCCCCUUUCCCUAGUUGGACUAGGAGAGGAAGGAAGGGGAAGGAAGGAGGAAGGAAAGGGGGUCGUCCCCCCACCCAAUUCGGAUUGGGCUGGGAGGGGCGCCCCAUCCUAGGCUCCCUUCUCCUCUCUCCCACUAUGGCCCAAUAAGGCCCAUAUACUUCCCGGGGGGUUCCGUUAACCUCCCGGUACUCCGAUAUAUGCCCGAACUCACCCGGAACCGUUCCGAUGUCCAAACAUAGGCUUCCAAUAUAUCGAUCUUUAUGUCUCGACCAUUUCCAGACUCCUCGUCAUGUCCGUGAUCACAUCCGGGACUCCGAACUACCUUCGGUACAUCAAAACACAUAAACUCAUAAUACCAAUCAUCAUCGAACGUUAAGCGUGCAGACCCUACGGGUUCGAGAACUAUGUAGACAUGACCGAGACACAUCUCCGGUCAAUAACCAAUAGCGGAACCUGGAUGCUCAUAUUGGUUCCUACAUAUUCUACGGAUAUCUUUAUCGGUCAAACCGCAUAACAACAUACGUUGUUCCCUUUGUCAUCGGUAUGUUACUUGCCCGAGAUUCAGUCGUCCGUAUCUCAAUACCUAGUUCAAUCUCGUUACUAGCAAGUCUCUUUACUCAUUCCAUAAUAAUUCAUCAUGCAACUAACUCAUUAGUUACAAUGCUUGCAAGGCUUAUGAUGAGUAUUACCGAGAGGGCCCAGAGAUACCUCUCCGAAACACGGAGUGACAAAUCCUAAUCUCGAUCUAUGCCAACCCAACAAACACCUUCGGAGACACCUGUAGAGCACCUUUAUAAUCACCCUUUCAUGUUGUGACGUUUAGUAGCACACAAAGUGUUCCUCCGGCAUUCGGGAGUUGCAUAAUCUCAUAGUCCGAGGAACUUGUAUAAGUCAUGAAGAAAGCAGUAGCAAUAAAACUAACACUAUCAUAAUGCUAAGCUAACGGAUGGGUCAUGUCCAUCACAUCAUUCUCCUAAUGAUGUGAUCCCGUUGAUCAAAUGACAACACAUGUCUAUGGUUAGGAAACAUAACCAUCUUUGAUUAACGAGCUAGUCUAGUAGAGGCAUACUAGGGACUAUAUGUUUUGUGUAUGUAUUCACACAUGUAUUAAGUUUCCGGCUAAUACAAUUCUAGCAUGAAUAAUAAAAAUUUAUCAUGAAUUAAGGAAAUAAAUAAUAACUUUAUUAUUGCCUCUAUUGCAUAUUUCCUUCAGAUCAAGGCAAUUUGUGAAGGCUUGCCAGACAUGUGGCACUGCAUAUGUACGUGGCAUAUAGAAAAAAUAUGAAGAUUCAAGUCAUAAGUCCUUGAAGGAGUUACGAACUCUUUUGUACUACAGCACGUCCACAACCAUGUUUGAGAAGAUAUGGCACGCGUUUUCCAAAAGAUGGCAGUCGGAAAAAAUGGUAACAUGGUUGAGAUGGAUGUAUAAGAAGAGGAGACUGUGGGUCGCAACUUAUCUGACAGAGGGGUCUUGUCUUGGCAUGAAAAGCAACCAGAGGAGUGAAAGUCUAAACUCAUGCCUUUACCUCCACCUACACGGUGAAAUGACCCUGAUGGAUAUGAUUUUGCACUAUGAGAACGCCGUUGUACGUAUUCGUGAGAACGAGGCGCGAGAUGACUGCACGGCCUCACAGAGUUUACCGGUGCCAGUUACUAGCUCGAGGGAACUUGAGAUAGCUACUUCUCAUGUCUUCACUCCAGCAAACUUCUAUAUGUUGCAAGAUGAUCUUAGAAAAAUUGGCGGCAUGGAGUUUGUAGAAAUAAAGCUCGGAGACGGAUCACAGCAGUACAUCGUGGCCUGGAAGAAUAACCGAAAGAGCCGUUUUUGGGUGGAGUAUACACCAGUAAAUUCCGCAAAAACUAUAAGGUGCAACUGCAGAAGAAUGAUUUGAAAGGGUCUACCUUGCAAGCACAUAUUCCAUGUACUGAAGUACUUGAAUAUAUCUGAAAUACCAAAGAGUUUAGUUCUUGUUCGAUUCACGAAAGAAGCAAGGUUGGGACUGCCCGCGAGGCGCACAAGCGAUCUGUUGGGAUUUGGUUAGACUGGGGCAGGUGAAAGAAUGAAAUAUAUCCAGGUCAGUGUGUUGGCUUCAAAAGCUAUGCAUGCGGCAUGCAAACACCCAGCUUUAUGGGAUCAGUUACAGGAGAGUUUGAAGGUCGUGAUAGCUAAGAUCCAUGCGUAUGAUCAGCUAAAGGAAAAUUUGAGAAGGAAAACGGCUGAUCUCAGUAGAUGUGCAAUUGAAUAUGUAGACAAUGGUGAAGGCAACAUAGUUGAAGUUCAAGAUCCUAUUAAAGUAUCAACGAAAGGUGCAACUAAGUAUGCCACUUUCAUACUAUGAACUCAGAAUCAGGUGCGGCGCUUGCAAAUUGCUAGGGCACACUAAACGCAGCAAGAAAUGCAAACUAAAUAAGAAGUAAGUUUAUGUAUGCAUUGUAGGUUAUAAUUAUUUUUAACUUGUCAUUCAUUAGCUUUUCCUAUCUGUUAUCAUGUGUAGAAACAUGGUGGACGAAGAAGAGUAAAACACUUGCUAGAGUUAUGUACGGAUGAAUCCAGUGAUGUAGUAGUGAGGUGUUUACAAUGUGCUACUGUAUACAUGAUAUAUACUAUUGCAAGAGGCCAGGACCUUGAGAUAGCGCUUGUAGCAUAUAUGGACUAAAUAGGAGGCGGUCACUAAGGACUUUAAUCAUGGAAAAUGGAUAGCAUUUUAGCCUUUGUAAUGAUGGCAUGUUUUGUGUUGUCCACUCGAGUUGUAUUAUCGUAAAAAACUAGAAGAUACCCCGCACGUUGUUGCGGGAAUGUUUUGCAAUAUAUUCAUAGAGAAUUGGUUACGUGGAACAUGUAUAUGUUGUUACGGGAAUUUAUUGAUUGCAUGUUGUGGUGGACCUUUCUCCAUGCAUGUUGAAUGAUGAGGUGGCAUACUUGCAUGUUAAGAGAAAUAGGUUAGUGGGGGCUAGUUAUUUAGAUAUAGAAGAUGUAAUUAUGUGUGGUAAUAAUUAAUUUUUUUCACUCCUUUGGUUUAUUUACCGAAAACCAGCACACUUGGGGUCUAGAGUAUAGACUUGGUACCGAAAAACACACCAUUUUCCCCGUAAAAAAAAAAGAAAAACCCACCAUUUUAUGUUGUUGGUAGGCAGGCAUUUUUUAUUUUUUAUUUAAUUUUUUGCAUAUGUCACAUGUCAAAUUUUGCACACAAGUUUGAAUCAUUCAAUUUUUCUAUUUUAAUUAAAAUAGAAAUUUGACUAAAUUUUAAAAAAAAUUGGACCAAACAUUGCCACCAUGUGAGGAUGCCCAAAGUCAUUUUUUUGACCUCCUCCAAAUCACCUCAAAAAUUGCAAACAUGAUCUCCUACUCAAACAUAGAAAGGUUUCACAAUUUUUUGAUUUUUUUUGAAUUUUUUAUGCCCUGUCCAAUGCCAGUUAGAAACACUCGGCUUCACGGAGCCACUAUAAAUUGUAAAAAAUUAUAAAAAGGAAAUCUUUCAUAUUCUUUCUAUUUAUAUCAUGGAGAUCAUGCCUACAAAAGAAAAUUGAGGUGAUUUGGAAGUGGUGGGAAAAAUCACCUUUGUUCAAAAACUAACUUAAGUUAAGACCAAAUGGUCCCUUCGUAAUGCGGUGAUUUUUUCGACCACCUCUAAAUCACCUCAAUUUUUGCACACAUGAUCUCUUGCACAAACACAGCUAGGUUUCCAAGGUUUCAUAUUUUUUUUGAAUUUAUACUGCCCUCUAGACUGAUUGAUCAAAACAUCGGUCUAUACCUCAAGGGGUCAUUGUAAAAUACUUUUUUUUAAAUUUCUUUUAUAGCCAUGUUUGGCACAUGUAGGUCACCAUGUAAAAGAAAUUUGGGGUGAUUUGGAGGUGGUCAUAAGAAUCACCUUUGUUCAAAAACUGGCUUAAGUUAGACCAAAUGGUCCCUCCGUAAUGCGGUGAUUUUUUCGACCACCUCUAAAUCACCUCAAUUUUUGCACACAUGAUCUCUUGCACAAACAAAACUAGGUUUCCAAGGUUUCAUAUUUUUUUGAUUUUGUUUUGAAUUUAUACUGCCCUCUAGACUGACUGAUCAAAACAUCGGUCUAUACCUGAAGGGGGCAUUGUAAAAUAGUUUUUUUUAAUUUUCUUUCAUAGCCAUGUUUGGCACAUGUAGGUCACCAUGAAAAUUUGUCAUAUUUCAAUAUUUUAUGUUAUUUUUAAAAUAGAAAAUUGAAUGAUGCAAAUUUAUGAAAACCACAACUCCAUGUAAUUAAGUUUGCAACCUAUGUAAAUAAGACAAGUGUACUUUAUAACAAAAUAGUAGUAAUUGAUUUGGGAUGAAGUAACAUGUGACAGAUGGAAAAUAAUAGUAAUUAAUUUGGGAUGAAAAAUAUGUGACAGAUGGGAAAAAUAUGCGCCCUUACUAGCAGUAGAUUUCAACACAGAGGGCCUGCAUAUGACUAGAAACCCAUCAUUUUUGGGCCAGGAUACAUGCCCGUCAUGCACGAACUUCUACUGCUAGUAGGGCCCACAAGGCAGAGAGGUAUCAAUCAGAUGUUGUUUGGGUGAGAGAGGCUUGUGCUAAGCUACUGGCAGCCGAGUAUAUAAGCUGGUGCGACCACCUCUUGCUUGGCGAGGUGGGACUAAACUCUCACCACCGGAUGCUCUGCCCUAGUGCGCCCAUGCGAUAGGCCAGAUUAGAUGGGCUUUCACAGGCCGGCCUAACCCGCGUGUUGGACCAUGCGUGGGUAUAGAUGGCUAGGAUGGCCCAUGGUUUUCCUUUUGUUUACAUAAAAUUUACCUGACCCCUCAAAAAAUAACAUAUAAAUUACCUACUUUUUAAUUACUCCCUAUGAAUUCAAAAGGUAUUUUUAUCGAACACAACUUUUUAAAUAUUUAUAUUUUCUUUUCUUAUAAAUAAGUGACAUUUUCAAAAUUCUAAUAAGUAGGAUAAUAUAACUUUAUUAAAAAAUAUAGUACAUCUUAUUUCAAAUUCUUUUUUGGCACACACAAUUUUUAUCUAGUAUUACAUUACUCUUCUAGAUUUACAUUUUAUUUCCUUCACACUUUGAUGAUGGAAUAUUUGCUCUGUUAUUGCAAGAGUUGUUGAAAUGAUGGAAUAUUUGAUCUUUUUGCUUAUUCAAAUGAUGCAUUGAUGGAAUGUGUGAGGAUGAAGAAUUAUCAAUAACUUUACUAAACCCCAUGUACCAUAAUUCAUGACACAGCUAAUUUGGAACAUUGGCAGAUUCUUAAUUUGGUAGGAUUUGCACAUGGGCACAACAUGUUGCACUUGCCCACAGCAUGGAUAAGUGUUGCAGCAUGUGUGAAGCAACACUGAAGCAGCAUUUGUGAUCAUUGCACCAUCGGAACUCGUAAACUACACAUUGAAACAACAUCUAAACAGAAGGUAGCAUUCACCACAAAUAAAUUUAAGGCCACACAAAUAUAGAUAGCAUUCUAGAUUACCACCACAAGUACCAUCCAGUUCACAACAGAUCCAGUUCAGACACAUACUACGUUACAUUAAUAUAUAUACUAGAUUAGUAGAGCUAGUUCCCAAUAGUGCACACCCAGAUGCAGCUUUCCAAAAGUAAAACAUCAUCAAAUCUACUGAUGAUGAGUAGGGCUUCCAGCUUCUGAUGACCGGCAUGAUGUAGGGCAACUACACUGGAUACAAGACCUUCGCAAGGGCAGCAUGCUGCGCCCUGAUCUUAGGGUCGUCCCUGCUGACCGAUGAAGCCUGUGCAUGAUCCAAAAGAUGCUCAUAGAGCCCAUCCUUGGGCUUUGGCUUCAUGCAGUAGGGGCAUAUGAACUUCUUCCCCUUGUAGUAGCAAGAAAGACCCUUGUCCCUGAUCUUCUGCACCUCCUUCUCUAUGGAUGAUUCGAUGUUGGUGUGGUCCACCUCAUCUCCAGAUUCAUAAUGCACACAUGAAUGAAUUCCAUUAUUACUUAUAUAAAACUAGUGCCGAUAAUACAAUAUAGGCUUCAGCCUACCAUACAAUUGUGCUAUAAAUGGACUACUAUAUAUGUAUAGGCCUUCAGCCAUGCAAGCAAAUCACUUAAGGCAUCAGGUUCAUAUACAUGCCAGAGUUGUGGAUGAAGCAAACAUCAUCUGACCUUAAUUACCACAUGUCACCCAACUAGCUAGUUGGUCUUAGUCCUUUGCUUCCUCUACCAUCUGGCAGGACAGAGAAGAUAGAAACCUCACAGGUUCCCAAAUGAAACUAGAUAGCAGAAACACGUCGUAUGGACAGGAUUGUCUAGGUUUUGAGCCCAGCCUCUGUUUACAUCAUAGACUCUAUAGUCUAUAAUUACAUCCAUGAUUACAAAUUUAAGUUAAUGAACCUAUACUUUAAAUACAAAUCUUAAUUUACACUACUAUCUAAGUUUUGAGCCCAGCCUCUAUUUCCAUCUUACAUUCUCAACUCUACAUAAUUACAUCCAUGAUUUGAAAUUUAUACCUAAUAAACCUAUAUUGUAAAAUAAAACUCUUAAUUUACAUUAGUGUCUAAGUUUUGAGCCCACCCUCUGUUUCCAUCAUAUAUUCUCCACUGUAUAUGACAACAUGUCAUAUGAACUAAAUGAACAAUCUAAAUUUUCAGGGUGGGCUUACCUCAAAGACUUCGUCGUCGCCAUAGCCUUCGGCAUAUGGGUCUUUGAAGUCAGUCAUGUCCAGCUUCCUCUUCUUCUCCGCAGAACCAUCCACCUCACUAUAAAAUUACACUCAUUAGUACUAGUUACACAAGCCAACUGCAAAUUUUAAUAUGCACACAUGACACAUUGAUCAACCUAUCCUAACUAUGAUCAUACUUGCAUUUUCCAUUUCCAUGCACACAAUCUGAACAACAUAGCUAAUAUAACUGCAUAUUCUGGAAAACUUUCUAAUUACAGGAAACCUGCAUAAAAGAAUAAUUUAAAUGUACCUAAGCAUUUUUUGGGAUAAUGCAGCAAAGCUCCUACAUAUAUUAACAUAAUGCAGUAGUUACUUAGAUACCACUUCAACUAUAAAUGCAUACAUCUCCAGCUAACAUCUAAAAUUGCAUUACUUACCUAAACAACAAAAAGUUAUACUAUAGAUGAAUCAAGUAUCAUCUAAAUCAAUUCAUAGGCACAUCAAAAUUAAUGCAUUCCAUUUGGGCAUAUGACAUACAAAACUCCAAUCUGUGCAACAUUGAACCACAGAUCUAAUAUAAUAAUCAUAUAUGUUUGCAGCAUUGAACCACAGAUCUAAUAAUGAUAUUUGGUCUAUCUGUUCUUAAAUUCCCUCAUAAAUAAGGUGUUAAACCUCAUACUAACUAAAAUCUAAGAAGCAAAAUUUCAACUACUAAUCUAAUAAGCAUCUGAAAAAAACCAUCCCUCAAUCCGACUACUUCUAACCUAAUCUAAUAAUCAUAUGUGCUCCACCAUUCUUGCCAGAAUCAUAUACAGAAAUGAGAAAACCCUAAUGCUGAGAAAACCCUCCAUCCAACUAAUCUAACCCAAGAAACUUUUGGCCAAACCCUAGAAUCUAAAAACUACAACGAAAAUGGAUAAUGAAUUACCUUCUGCUCCACCUGCUCCUCGCUAGAGCCGGCGUCCACCUUCUCCACCUUGUGCGCCUCGCUAGAGCACGCCUCCACCUUCUCCACCUUUUGCGCCUCGCCGGAGCUCGCCAGAGCGGGCGCAUCUGGCUGGACUGCGCCGCUCCUGCCCGCCUCCACCUUCUCCAGAUCUGCAGCAUCUGCUGCACCGCCUUGGACGCCGGCACCUCCCUUCACCGCUGCGGGCGCCGCGACCUGCUACACCUGCGCCACCAGAUUUGCGCCCCAAUCGGGGCGCUCGCUUCCUGCGUCCUCCAUGGUGAUGGAGGUGAUGGAGAGGAUGCGGUGGGGGAGAGGGAGACAACAAGGCGGACGAGGAGAGGGAGAGGAGAGGGAGACGAUGCGGCGGGGGAAAUGGUGGGCGAUGCGGCCGGAGGUGGUUCCCCUCCUCAUUUAUAUGAUGGGACAGUUUUGACAUGUUCCCAUGGACACGUGCUGCCCCACGCGCGGGCGGUUGCAUGCGAAAACGAAACACCCGGGCGUAUACGAAUACGACCAUACGGUCGGGCAUAUGAACUAAUCGGGUCGUACGGGCCCCACAGGACUCCUCGACAGCUAUACACACGGGCAAAAAAGACGAUCGUGCCCCUCGUUUCGAACCGUUUUUGGUUAAUCCUGGCUGUCCUUGUGUUUCUCCCCCUUGCGUUCAGCCCAGGGGGGGUGCACCGGAGCAGAAACGAGUGUUCACUAGUUUGGCUAAAAAGAAUAGUCUCAAUGCCAUAUACAAUAAGAACUCACACUCAAGGAUGUCAUCUACCAUCUCGUCGGCGUCGGAGACAUGGAAAAGAUGGCACAUGAGCACGAGAAGGCAAGGGAAGCUACGCGAAGGGGCUCUCUCUAGGUCAGAGGAGCCGUGGGAGGCGAUGCGGACGACCAUAGGACCUCCUCGCCGACAAACCGAGCCAUGACUAGGGUUCACCGUGGGGCAUGUUCGGAGGUGGAAGUCAGCAUGAUGACAUGGAGUCGUAGUGGCGGGUCCCGUUCGGUAGUUGGCAGUGCUGAUUAAUAGUUUGAAAGUGCAUCCCCAAGAUACCCUAUUGGUUUCGAUGAUUUAUGACAAAACCAUUUUAGAGGACUAAUGAUUUCAAUAAGCUUGUUUUAGAGACUAUGACUAAUUUUCGUAUGCCGUCCUUGAUAGGUGGAACAUCAAUGAUGAUGUUACUGUUACAUUUUUCGUUCAAACAAGUUACAGGGAGCUACCACAUUGCCACCUCAAAAGAAGUAAUACUGGUUCCUAGCUAGUAGCCACACACAUGGAGCGACUCACGCAGCUCCAACCAAUUAAAGUUUCGUGAAUCUUCCAUGGCUAUUCAUUUGGCCUCGCUCGACGUCACCCGGCUCUGGUGACCACUUAUGUCCCGGAUGGAUGUCGCCGGCCACACGCCCCUCGAAGACGACGAGAUGAGCAGCGUGUGAUCCUCGUCGCCCCGCCCAUCCAAGCGAAGAUAAGACGCCCACUCCCUUCCCUCCACAUGGCACCCGCCCUCCAAUCCCUUACUUAUUCCCGCCCCCCUCACUCCUCCAUCCCCUAGCUCGCUCGCCUAUCCUCUCCACCUCCUCAGCCACACCUAGAGCAUCUUAGCUCCGGCUAGGUAGCUAGCAAUGGCCGCCGCACUGAGCCUCCGCGCGCCCUUCUCCCUGCGCGCCGUGGCGCCACCGGCGCCCCGCGUGGCCCUCGCGCCCGCGGCCCUCAGCCUCGCCGCCGCCAAGCAGGUGCGGGGAGCCAGGCUCCGCGCCCAGGCGACGUACAAGGUGAAGCUGGUGACGCCCGAGGGCGAGGUGGAGCUGGAGGUCCCCGAUGACGUCUACAUCCUCGACCAGGCCGAGGAGGAGGGGAUCGACCUGCCCUACUCCUGCCGCGCCGGCUCCUGCUCCUCCUGCGCCGGCAAGUUGGUGUCCGGCGAGAUCGACCAGUCCGACCAGAGCUUCCUCGACGACGACCAGAUGGAGGCAGGGUGGGUGCUCACCUGCCACGCCUACCCCAAGUCCGACAUCGUCAUCGAGACCCACAAGGAGGAGGAGCUCACCGCAUAAGCUGCUUUACCUAUCUCUCUUUGCAAGAUAAUAUCACGGACCCUGAGACCUGUGUAAACCCUGAGAGCUGAUUUCAUGCAUGCACGGACAUUGCCAGAUACACCGAAUUGUUUGUGCUCGAAUGAAUUGCUCGAUGCAUGGUUUGCUCAAGUAAUAAUGUCUUCGAAUUACUACCUUUUUGUACCGUAAGAUAUACUACUGCCGUAAUACUAGCGUGUACCUUGUACGUAACUCGACGUACUGAAAUGAAUCCUGAUGGCUGAGGCGUCUCUCUGAUUAAUAAUAUCUUCUCUUUAAUUAAGAGACUGCUGAAUUACUUGAUGAACAUCUUACCUGGGACUUUCUUCUAUAUCCAGAUAAUAGGUGCAUGCUACGACUUGUUUCAAUAUGAGUUACACAAUUUCCUCAUUAUUUUGUUUACCCACAAGGAGACCUCUUUUCCGCACUCAUUUUUGUCCUCACUACUGAUUUGCUCCAAUCCAUUUUCAAUGAAGCUUUGGACAACAAUUUGAUAGGUUUGCCCAUUAUCACUAAGAAUAACAGAGAUUUCCUUAUAAUCCAGUAUGCAGAUGACACCAUUAUUAUCUUGCAUGCAUGUCCCUUGCAAAUUCAACAAGUUCAGAACAUAUUGAUGCAUUUUCGGGUUUACACAGGUCUCAGGGUCAACUACAACAAAUCCAUGAUGGUUCCCAUGAAUGUACCUGCUCAUAACAUCAAGCAACUCUCAGCUAUUUUAGGUUGUGCCCACAGUAGUUUUCCCUUUACUUACCUUGGACUUCCUCUUGGCAUUUCUAAACCCAAGGUUGAAGAUUUUGAAAAGGAUUGGAUCUAGACUUGCUGGUUGCUCCACAAUGCUUUCCUAGGGAGAGAAACUCAUUCUUGUGAAAUCUGCUUUCACUAGCCUACCUACUUCCUUCAUGAGCAGUUUAGACCUCCCCAUAGGAGUUGUUGGCCAUAUUAAUAAAUACUUGAGACAUUGCUUUUGGAGGAAAUAUGGGAUGGACGACAGACGUACUUCUCUUAUAUUCUUGGGAUAAAAUUUGCCUUGCUAAGGAAGCUGGUGGACUUGGAGUUCUUGAUGUGCAAACUCAGAACAAAGCUUUGUUGAUGAAAGAUCUGCAUAAUUUUUUCAAUAGUUCUGACCUCCCUUGGGUGGACCUUAUGUGGAGCUCCUACUAUACUUCUACCCCCUCCUCAUGUCACACCUGUUGGUUCCUUCUGGUGGAAGUUUAUUCUCAAAUUAAUCCCUGAUUUUAAAGCCAUCUCUUCCUGCAGCAUGGGGCAAGGGAACUAUGUUCUUCUGUUAUUUGAUAAUUGGGAUGGUAACAGAUUCAUUGAUAGAUUCCCUGAGCUUCAUUCUUUUGUUGUGAAUGACCAAUUCUCAAUUGAGCAAGCAUUGCACAUCAACCCUCCAGAGGAUCUAUUCCAUAGGCCACUCUCCACCCAAACUUUCCAGCAGUUCCAGGGUUCCCAAAACUUUAUGAAUAAUAUUCAGUUUUCUGGCUCCAAAGACAAAUGGUCUUACAUCUGGGGAUCUUCUCAGUCCUCUAUUGCAAAGGUUUACAAAACCUUGAGGGUUAAACCACCUACACCACCUCUCUUCAACCUGUUAUGGAAGAGCUCAGUAAUCCUUUGAUAUAAGAUUUUCUUCUGGUUUCUCCUUCAUGAUAGACUGAAUUCAAGAGAGCUUCUACAAAGAAAAUCCUUGUGGCUACCCAAUUAUGAUUGUGGAAUGUGUGACACUAAAUCCUUGGAAACUGCUUUUCACUUGUUUUGGAACUGCCCUUUUUCUAUUCAAUGUUGGGAGACCUCGAUUCCGCAGAUAUUGAGGAACAACUCAGUUUACACAUAUAUCCAACUAGCGGUGCCCCCCCCCCUCCUGAUUUGGCCCUGGACAUCAUAAUUAUGGCUUCAUGGAAUAUAUGGAUUCAAAGAAACAAUGCAAUGUUCAAAAAUACCACACACAGUGUGGCCUCCUGGAAAAUAUUGCUUAGAAGAGAUCUCCAAAUUCUGGCUCACAGAAGACAACAAAGUAGCAAGACUGCAAGCCUGGAUUAAAGUUAACCUUUAAUUUCUCAUGUUGCCAAAAGGUGGGAUUGGUUGAGUUGUAUUUUCUUUUUUCUGUUUGUACAUACUUUUAUUAUUAAUGAAAAUUUAACCAUACAACUAUUGUUCUAUGAUCAGUGCCUAAAAAAUGUUUGAGGCUAGCAGAAUGUUUGUUUACAUGGUCCUCAUUUUUUUCUGAAAAGGGAUAAUAUGUUUGUAAGAUCGUGAAUGUCACCUAGAGGGGGGUGAAUAGGCGCUUUAAAAUAAUUACGGUUUAGGCUUGAACAAAUGUGGAAUAAAACUAGCGUUUAAUUUGUCAAGCACAAAACCUAAAACAACUAGGCUCACCUGUGUGCACUAACAACUUAUGCUAAGCAAGAUAAACAACUAAGUGAUAGAAAGAUAUAUAACAUGUCAUAUUAUGGCUAUCACAAAGUAAAGUGCAUAAGUAAAGGGCUUGGGUAAGAGAUAACUGAGGCACACGAAGACGAUGAUGUAUCCCGAAAUUCACACCCUUGCGGAUGCUAAUAUCCGUUUGGAGCGGUAUGGAGGCACAAUUGUUGGGGAACGUAGUAAUUUCAAAAAAAUUCCUACGCACACGCAAGAUCAUGGUGAUGCAUAGCAACGAGAGGGAAGAGUGUUGUCCAUGUACCCUCGUAGACCGAAAGCGGAAGCGUUAGAACAACGCGGUUGAUGUAGCCGUACGUCUUCACGGCCCGACCAAUCAAGCACCGAAACUACGGCACCUCCGAGUUCUAGCACACGUUCAGCUCGAUGACGUCCCUCGAACUCCGAUCCAGCCGAGUGUCAAGGGAGAGUUCCGUCAGCACGACAGCGUGGUGACGAUCUUGAUGUUCUACCGUCGCAGGGCUUCGCCUAAGCACCGCUACAAUAUUAUCGAUGAGGACUAUGGUGGAGGGGGGCACCGCACACGGCUAAGAGAUCAAGAGAUCAGUUGUUCUGUCUAUGGGGUGCCCCCCUCCCCGUAUAUAAAGGUGUGGAGGAGGGGGCCGACCAAGGGGGUGGCGCGCCCUAGGGGGGAGUCCAACUCCCACCGGGAGUAGGACUUCCCCCUUUCCUAUUAGGAGAGGGAGAGGGAAGGAAGAGGAAGGAGGGAGGAAGGAAAGGGGGGACCGGGCCCCCUCCCAAUUCGGAUUGGGCUUGGGGGGGCGCCCCCUCCCUUGCUCCUUUCCCCUCCUUUCCACUAAGGCCCAAUAAGGCCCAUAUACCUCCCGGGGGGGUCCGAUAACCUCCCGGAGCUCCGGUAUUGUCCCAAUCUCACCCGGAACCUUUCCGAUGUCCAAAUAUAGUCGUCCAGUAUAUCGAUCUUUAUGUCUCAACCAUUUCGAGACUCCUCGUCAUGUCCGUGAUACACAUCCGGGACUCCAAACAACCUUCGGUACAUCAAAACUCAUAAACUCAUAAUAUAACUGUCAUCGAAACCUUAAGCAUGCGGACCCUACAGGUUCGAGAACUAUGUAGACAUGACUGAGACACGUUUCCGGUCAAUAACCAAUAGAGGAACCUGGAUGUUCAUAUUGGCUCCUACAUAUUCUAUGAAGAUCUUUAUCGGUCAAACCGCAUAACAACAUACGUUGUUCCCUUUGUCAUCGGUAUGUUACUUGCCCGAGAUUCUAUCGUCUGUAUCUCAAUACCUAGUUCAAUCUCGUUACCGGCAAGUCUCUUUACUCGUUAUGUAAUGCAUCAUUCCGUAACUAACUCAUUAGUUACAUUGCUUGCAAGGCUUAUAGUGAUGUGCAUUACCGAGAGGGCCCAGAGAUACCUCUCCGACAAUCGGAGUGACAAAACCUAAUCUCGAAAUACGCCACUCAACAUGUACCUUUGGAGACACCUGUAGAGCUCUUUUAUAAUCACCCAGUUACGUUGUGACGUAUGGUAGCACACAAAGUGUUCCUCCGGUAAACGGGAGUUGCAUAAUCUCAUAGUUGUAGGAACAUGUAUAAGUCAUGAAGAAAGCAAUAGCAACAUACUAAACGAUCAAGUGCUAAGCUAACAGAAUGGGUCAAGCCAAUCACAUCAUUCUCGUAAUGAUGUGAUCCCGUUAAUCAAAUGACAACUCAUGUCUAUGGCUAGGAAACACAACCAUCUUUGAUUCAAUGAGCUAGUCAAGUAGAGGCAUACUAGUGACAUUAUGUUUGUCUAUGUAUUCACACAUGUAUCAAGUUUCCGGUUAAUACAAUUCUAGCAUGAAUAAUAAACAUUUAUCAUGAAAUAAGGAAAUAAAUAAUGACUUAAAUAUUGCCUCUAGGGCAUAUUUCCUUCAGUCUCCCACUUGCACUAGAGUCAAUAAUCUAGUUCACACCGCAAUGUGAUUUAACACUAAUAUUCACAUAUGUAUGUGAUUAAUACCCAUAGUUCACAUCGUCAUGUGAUCAACACCCAAAGGGUUUCUAGAGUCAAUAAUCUAGUUCACAUCCCUAUGUGAUUAACAACCAAAGAGUACUAAGGUAUGAUCAUGUUUUACUCAUGAGAGAAGUUUAGUCAACGGGUCUAUCACAUUCAGAGCCGUAUGUAUUUUGCAAAUAUUCUAUGUCUACAAUGCUCUGUACGAAGCUACUCUAGCUAAUUCCUCCCACUUUCAAUAUGUAUCCAGAUUGAGACUUAGAGUCAUCUGGAUUGGCGUAAAAGCUUGCAUCAUUGUAACCUUUUACGAUGAGCCCUUUUAUCACUUCCAUUAUCGAGAAAUAUUUCCUUAGUCCUCACUAAGGAUAUUCUUGACCGUUGUUCAGUGAUCUACUCUUAGAUCAAAAUUGUACUCCCUUGCCAAACUCAGAACAAAGUAUACAAUAGGUACAUAACAUAGCAUAAUUUAUAGAACCUAUGACUAAGGCAUAGGGAAUGACUUUUCAUUCUCUUUCUAUUUUUUGCCAUGGUCGGGUUUUGAGUCUUACUCAACUUUCACACCUUGCAAUACAGGCAAGAACUCCUUCUUUGACUGAUCCAUUUUGAACUACUUCAAAAACUUAUUAAGGUAUGCACUCAUUGAAAAAUCCUAUCAAGCGUCUUGAUCUAUCUCUAUAGAUCUUGAUGCUCAAUGUGUAAGCAGCUUCACUGAGGUGUUUCAUUGAGAAACUCUUAUUCAAGUAUCCUUUUAUGCUUUCCAAAAAAAUUCUACAUUAUUUCCGAUCAACAAUAUGUUAUUCACAUAUACUUAUCAGAAAUGUUGUAGUGCUCCCACUCACUUUCUUGUAAAUAGAGGCUUCACUGAAGUCCGUAUAAAACUAUAUGCUUUGAUCAACUUAUCAAAGCGUAUAUUCCAACUCCGAGAUGCUUGCACCAGUCCAUAGAUGGAUCGCUGGAGCUUGCACAUUUUGUUAGCACUUUUAGGAUUGACAAAACCUUCUGGUUGCAUCAUAUACAACUCUUCUUUAAGAAAACCAUUAAGGAAUGCAGUUUUGACAUCCAUUUGCCAGGUUUCAUAAAAUAUGGCAAUUGCUAACAUGAUUCGGACAGACUUAAGCAUCGCUACAGUUGAGAAAAUCUCAUUGUAGUUAACACCUUGAACUUGUCGAAAACCUUUUUGCGACAAGUCGAGCUUUGUAGAUAGUAACACUACUAUCAACGUCUAUCUUCCUCUUGAAGAUCCAUUUAUUUAUGGCUUGCCGAUCAUUGGGAAAGUCCACCAAAGUCCACACUUUGUUCUCAUACAUGGAUCCUAUCUCAGAUUUCAUGGCCUCCAGCCAUUUCGCGGAAUCUGGGCUCAUCAUCGCUUCCUCAUAGUUCGUAGGUUUAUCAUGGCCUAGUAACAUGACUUUCAGAACAGGAUUACCAUACCACUCUGGUGUGGACCGUACUCUGGAAGACCUACGAGGUUCUAUAGUAACUUGAUCUGAAGUUUCAUGAUCAUCAUCAUUAGCUUCCUCACUAAUUGGUGUAGGAAUCACUGGAACUGAUUUCAGUGAUGAACUGUUUUCCAAUUCGGGAGAAGGUACUAUUACCUUAUCAAGUUCUACUUUUCUCCCACUCACUUCUUUCGAGAGAAACUUCUUCUCUAGAAAGGGUCCAUUCUUGGCAACGAAUGUCUUGCCUUCGGAUCUGUGAUAGAAGGUGUACCCAACAGUUACUUUUGGGUAUUCUAUGAAGAUGCACUUCUCCGAUUUAGGUUUGAGCUUAUCAGGAUGAAACUUUUUCACCUAAGCAUCCCAACCUCAAACUUUAAGAAACGACAGCUUAGGUUUCUUGCUAAACCAUAGUUCAUAUGGUGUCGUCACAAUGGAUUUAGAUGGUGCCCUUUUAACGUGAAUGCAGCUAUCUCUAAUGCAUAACCCCAAAACGAUAGUGGUAAAUCAGUAAGAGACAUCAUAGAUUGCACCAUAUCCAAUAAAGUGCGGUUACGAUGUUCGGACACACCAUAAUGUUGUGGUGUUCCAGGUGGCAUGAACUGUGAAACUAUUCCACUUUUUUUUAAUUGAAGACCAAACUCAUAACUCAAAUAUUCAUCUCCACGAUCAGAUCGUAGAAACUUUAUUUUCUUGUUACGGUGAUUUUCCACUUCACUCUGAAAUUCUUUGAACCUUUCAACUAUUUCAGACUUAUGUUUCAUCAAGUAGAUAUACCCAUAUCUUCUCAAAUCAUCUGUGAAGGUCAGAAAAUAACGAUACCCGCCACGAGCCUUAAUACUCAUUGGUCUGCAUACAUCAGUAUGUAUUAUUUCCAACAAGUCAGUAGCUCGUUCCAUUGUUCUGGAGAACGGAGUUUUAGUCAUCUUGCCCAAAAGGCACGGUUCGCAAGCAUCAAAUGAUUCAUAACCAAGUGAUUCCGAAAAUCCAUCUUUAUGGAGUUUCUUCAUGCGCUUUACACCGAUAUGACCCAAACGAUAGUGCCACAAAUAAGUUGCACUAUCAUUAUUGACUUUGCAUCUUUUGGCAUCAAUAUUAUGAAUAUGUGUAUCACUACGAUCGAGAUCCAAUAAACUAUUUUCAUUGGGUGUAUGACCAUUGAAGGUUUUAUUCAUGUAAACAAAACAACAAUUAUUCUUUGACUUUAAAUGAAUAAUCGUAUUGCAAUAAACAUGAUCAAAUUAUAUUCAUGCUCAACGCAAAUGCUAAAUAACAUUUAUUUAGGUUUAACACUAAUCCCGAUAGUAUAGGGAGUGUGUGAUGAAUAUCAUAUCAAUCUUGGAACUACUUCCAACACUCAUCGUCACUUCCCCUCAACUAGUCUCAGUUUAUUAUGUAACUCCUGUUUCGAGUUACUAAUCUUAGCAACCCAACAAGUAUCAAAUACUCAGGGGCUACUAUAAACACUAGUAAGGCACACAUCAAUAACCUGUAUAUCAAAUAUGCCCUUGUUCACUUUGCCAUCCUUCUUAUCCACCAAAUAUUCAGGGCAUUUCCGCUUUCAGUGAUCAUUUACUUUGUAGUAGAAGCACUCAAAUUCAGGCUUUGGUCCAGCUUUAGGCUUCUUCACGGGAGUGACAACUUGCUUGUCAUUCUACUUGAAGUUCCCUUUCUUUCCCUUUGCCUUUUCUUGAAACUAGUGUUCUUGUCAAUCAUCAACACUUGAUGCUCUUUCUUGAUUUCUACCUUCGUCGAUUUCAACAUCACAAAGAGCUCGGGAAUUGUUUUCGUCAUCCCUUGCAUACUAUAGUUCUUCACGAAGUUCUAGCAACUUGGUGAUGGUGACUAGAGAACUUUGUCAAUCACUAUCUUAUCUAGAAGAUUAACUCCCACUUGAUUCAAGCGAUUGUAGUACCCAGACAAUCUGAGUACAUGCUCACUGCUUGAGCUAUUCUCCUCCAUCUUUUAGCUAUAGAACUUGUUGGAGACUUCAUAUCUCUUAACUCGGGUAUUUGCUUGAAAUAUUAACUUCAACUCUUGGAACAUCUCAUAUGUUCCAUGAUGUUCAAAACGUCUUUGAAGUCCCGAUUCUAAGCCGUUAAGCAUGGUGCACUAAACUAUUAAGUAGUCAUCAUAUUGAGCUAGCCGAACGUUCAUAAUGUCUGCAUCUGCUCCUGCAAUAGGUAUGUCACCUAGCGGUGCAUCAAGGACAUAACUCUUCUGUGCAGCAAUGAGGACAAUCCUCAUAUCACAGAUCCAAUCCGCAUCAUUGCUACUAACAUCUUUCAACACAGUUUUCUCUAGGAACAUAUCAAAAUAAACAUAGGGAAGCAACAACGCGAGCUAUUGAUCUACAACAUAAUUUGCAAAAUACUACCAGGACUAAGUUCAAGAUAAAUUUAAGUUCAAUUAAUCAUAUUACUAAAGAACUCCCACUUAGACAGACGUCUCUGUAGUCAUCUAAGUGAUCACGUGAUCCAAAUCAACUAAACCAUGUCCGAUCAUCACGUGAGAUGGAGUAGUUUUCAAUGGUGAACAUCACUAUGUUGAUCAUAUCUACUAUAUGAUUCACGUUCGACCUUUCGGUGUCCGUGUUCCGAGGCCAUAUCUGUAUAUGCUAGGCUCGUCAAGUUUAACCUAAGUAUUCUGCGUGUGCAACACUUUUGCACCCGUUGUAUUUGAACAUAGAGCCUAUCACACCCGAUCAUCACGUGGUGUCUCAGCAUGAAGAACUUUCACAAUGGUGCAUACUCAGGGAGAACACUUCUUGAUAAUUAGUGAGAGAUCAUCUUAUAAUGCUACCGUCAAUCAAAGCAAAAUAAGAUGCAUAAAGGAUAAACAUCACAUGCAAUCAAUAUAAGUGAUAUGAUAUGGCCAUCAUCAUCUUGUGCUUGUGAUCUCCAUCUCCGAAGCACCGUCGUGAUCACCAUCGUCACCGGCGCGACACCUUGAUCUCCAUCGUAGCAUCAUUGUCGUUUCGCCAUAUAUUGCUUCUAUGACUAUCGCUACCGCUUAGUGAUAAAGUAAAGCAAUUACAGGGCGCUUGCAUUUCAUACAAUAAAGCGACAAGCAUAUGGCUCCUGCCAGUUGCCGAUAACUCGGUUACAAAACAUGAUCAUCUCAUACAAUAAAAUAUAGCAUCAUGUCUUGACCAUAUCACAUCACAACAUGCCCUGAAAAAACAAGUUAGACGUCCUCUACUUUGUUGUUGCAAAUUUUACGUGGCUGCUACGGGCUGAGCAAGAACUGUUCUUACCUACGCAUCAAAACCACAACUAUAGUUUGUCAAGUUAGUGUUGUUUUAACCUACGCAAGGACCGGGCGUAGCCACACUCGGUUCAACUAAAGUUGGAGAAACUGACACCCGCCAGCCACCUGUGUGCAAAGCACGUCGAGAGAACCAGUCUCGCGUAAGUGUACGCGUAAUGUCGCUCCGGGCCACUUCAUCCAACAAUACCGCCGAACCAAAGUAUGACAUGCUGGUAAGCAGUAUGACUUGUAUCGCCCACAACUCACUUGUGUUCUACUCGUGCAUAUAACAUCUACGCAUAAAACCAGGCUCUGAUGCCACUGUUGGGGAACGUAGUAAUUUCAAAAAAUAUCCUACGCACAUGCAAGAUCAUGGUGAUGCAUAGCAACGAGAGGGAAGAGUGUUGUCCACGUACCCUCGUAGACCGAAAGCGGAAGCGUUAGAACAAUGCGGUUGAUGUAGUCGUACGUCUUCACAGCCCGACCGAUCAAGCACCGAAACUACUGCACCUCCGAGUUCAAGCACACGUUCAGCUCGAUGACGUCCCUCGAACUCCGAUCCAGCCGAGUGUCAAGGGAGAGUUCCGCCAGCACGACGGCGUGGUGAAGAUCUUGAUGUUCUACCCUCGCAGGGCUUCGCUUAAGCACCGCUACAAUAUUAUCGAGGAGGACUAUGGUGGAGGGGGGCACCGCACACGGCUAAGAGAUCAAGAGAUCAAUUGUUGUAUCUAUGGGGUGCCCCCCUCCCCCGUAUAUAAAGGAGUGGAGGAGGGGGCCGGCCAAGGGGGGUGGCGCACCCUAGGGGGAGUCCAACUCCCACCGGGAGUAGGACUUCCCCCUUUCCUAUUAGGAGAGGGAGAGGGAAGGAAGAGGAAGGAGGGAGGAAGGAAAGGGGGGCCGGCCCCCUCCCAAUUCAGAUUGGGCUUGGGGGGGGUGCCCCCUCCCUUGCUCCUUUCCCCUCCUUUCCACUAAGGCCCAAUAAGGCCCAUAUACUUCCCGGGGGGUUCCGAUAACCUCCCGGAGCUCCGGUAUUGUCCCAAUCUCACCCGGAACCUUUCCGGUGUCCAAAUAUAGUCGUCCAAUAUAUUGAUCUUUAUGUCUCGACCAUUUCAAGACUCCUCGUGAUGUCUGUGAUCACAUCCGGGACUCCGAACAACCUUCGGUACAUCAAAACUCAUAAACUCAUAAUAUAACUGUCAUCGAAACCUUAAGCGUGCGGACCCUACGGGUUCGAGAACUAUGUAGACAUGACCGAGACACGUUUCUGGUCAAUAACCAAUAGCGGAACCUGGAUGUUCAUAUUGGCUCCUACAUAUUCUAUGAAGAUCUUUAUCGGUCAAACUUCAUAACAACAUACGUUGUUCCCUUUGUCAUCGGUAUGUUACUUGCCCGAGAUUCGAUCGUCGGUAUCUCAAUACCUAGUUCAAUCUCAUUACCGGCAAGUCUCUUUACUCGUUAUGUAAUGCAUCAUUCUGUAACUAACUCAUUAGUUACAUUGCUUGCAAGGCUUAUAGCGAUGUGCAUUACCGAGAGGGCCCAGAGAUACUUCUCUGACAAUUGGAGUGCCAAAACGUAAUCUCGAAAUACGCCAACUCAACAUGUACCUUUGGAGACACAUGUAGAGCUCCUUUAUAAUCACCAAGUUACGUUGUGACGUUUGGUAGCACAGAAAGUGUUCCUCCGGUAAACGGGAGUUGCAUAAUCUCAUAGUUGUAGGAACAUGUAUAAGUCAUGAAGAAAGCAAUAGCAACAUACUAAACGAUCAAGUGCUAAGCUAAUAGAAUGGGUCAAGUCAAUCACAUCAUUCUCCUAAUGAUGUGAUCCCAUUAAUCAAAUGACAACUCAUGUCUAUGGCUAGGAAACACAACCAUCUUUGAUUCAAUGAGCUAGUCAAGUAGAGGCAUACUAGUGACAUUAUGUUUGUCUAUGUAUUCACACAUGUAUCAAGUUUCCGGUUAAUACAAUUCUAGCGUGAAUAAUAAACAUUUAUCAUGAAAUAAGGAAAUAAAUAAUAACUUUAUUAUUGCCUCUAGGGCAUAUUUCCUUCAAAAAUGCCCCCCAGGAAACCACUAGGGCCACCGUAAUCUCCUCAUGCCCUUGCACAAUGCAAGAUGCCAUGAUUCCACUAAGGGACCCUUGAGGGCAGUUAUCGAACCCGUACAAAUGGCAACCCUAGGGGGAGGUCACCGAACCCGUACACUUUGGCAACCCUUGGGGCGGUCACUGGAACCCGUACAAAUUCCUCGGUGCAAUCUCCACAACCUAAUUGGAGACCCCGACGCUUGCCCGGAGCUUUACACCACAAUGAUUGAGCUCCGAGACACCACAAACCAUCUAGGACGCCCAAGCACCCAAGAGGAACAAGCUCUAGGGUACCAAGCACCCAAGAGUAAUAAGCUUCUCAACUUUUCACUUCCACGUAUCAACAUGGAGAACUCAAAUUGAUGCAACUAGUGCAAAGGCAAGGGCACACGAAGUGCCCAAGUCCCUCACUCUCAAAUCCCAUCAAAGCAACAAAAGCUAUGAAGGAAAAUGGGAGGAAGAACAAGAAGGAGAACACCAAGAACUCCAAGAUCUGGAUCCAAGGGGUUCCCCUCACAUAGAGGAGAAAGUGAUUGAGGAAAUGUGGAUCUAGAUCUCCUCUCUCUCUUUCCCCCCAGAAAAUAGCAAGAAUCCAUUGAUUAAUUGAGAGAUAGCCAGCUCGAAGAAGUUCAACAAUGGGGGAAGAACACGAGCUCAAAGGAUAAGAUGCAAUGGGGAAGAAGACCCCCUUUUAUAGGCCUCUCCAAAUCCAACUGUUAUGCACACAGCCCAUGCACAAGCGGUAGUACCGCUCGGGCGAGCGGUACUUCCACUGGCAUGGUAGUUUCAUCCAUAAUGAGCAACUAAGAAACUCAAGGAGGCGGUAGUGCUACCGAAGCGGUACUACCGCUCCCAUACUACCGCUAGGCGUUGCGUGUAUAGGUGAAACACCGAUAGUAUAGUAGAGCAGCGCGGUACUACCACCCACUACUGCCGCUCUACUUCCGCACAGAGGAAAAUGUAUCCAGAGGCUAAAAUAUAAUCGGAAGUAGCAGCGGUAGUGAAGGGACCGUGGUACCGCUUAUAAGCGGUACUACCGCCCACUAUUGCUGCUCUACUUCCGCUUGAAGGAAUACAAAGAGCAAAACAUAAGCGGUACUCCAUGCGGUAGCUCAUAGUGUAAGUACCGCAUAAGCGGUACUACCGUGGAGCUGGCCGGAACUACCGCUUGGGAGCUAAAAACUGCCCAAGCACAAAAGGAUGCAAGCGAGACCGAAACUGCCAUAACUUCUGCAAAUGAACUCUGAAUUGAGCAAACUCAAGCUUGUUGGAUAGAUGACGACAAAUAGUAAGAAGUGGCAGGGCAAGUAUGCCUAUUAUAUAUAGGAAUGAAACCUCUAUCAGUGAAGAACCAUCAUAUACUCCCACAUCAAAAACAUCAUAGAGGAUGCACAUGAACUCUGUUUCGAAGAACUCGAGCUUGUCAUGAAGAUGACCAUAAGCUAUAAAACUCACAAAGAGAAACACCAAAUAAGAACCAAGAAAGAUGAUGCAAGGAUGCAAUGGUUUGAGCUCUCUACGAACGAUAUGAUCAAGCUACUAACUUGAGAGCCCCCCCUUGAUAGUAUGACAAUCGAUCAUAUAACCCGGUCUCCCAACUACCACCAUGAGACCGGUAAAAUAGAAAACCUAUCAAGGGCAAACCUUUGCCUUGCACAUAGUCCACUUGAGAUAGAUGAUGACGAUCUUGACUUCCACAAGUUGGACCAUGAUAACCCACAAGUAUAGGGGAUUACAGUAGUUUUCGAGGGUAGAGUCACUACUAGGAAAAGGCCUGCUAGUGGCGCACCUGUUUUGGCUACUAAUGGCGCACUACAGGUUCGCCAGUAGCAUCACGCCAUUAGUAAUUAAUACUAAUGGCGCACCCCUGGUGCGCCAUUAGUAUACCAGAUACUAAUGGCGCACCAGAGAGUGUGCCAUUAAUAUAUCACACGGUGCGCCAUUAGUAUGCCUCCCAGGGGGCCAUAUUUACCCAUGUGCUCUGGCUUACUAAUGGCGCACUUGUAGAUGAUGUGCCACUAGUGUGCUUGUUGCAGUGCGCCACUAAAGUGCAGAGUGGUGUGCCACUAGUAUGAAUAUUAGGGAUUUUUUUUCUUUUCUGAUAUUUGCACAUGUUACAAAACAUAUUACUGCACAGAAUAUAGACAACACAACAUAUAAACAGCAGAUUUAUCGAAUACAAUAGAAGAUUAGUCUCCAAAUACAAUUCAUCAUAUUAGUCUCCGAAUUUAAAAUACCAAACAAAGUUAGAACAUUACAAGUCUCGAGACUGCGAGUAGCGGGUUUGUCUUCACAUUACAAGUCGAUAUCGAUCAUCUAAACUACCAUCACAUAGAAGAGAGCUGCGGUCAUCACGAUGAGCAUCAUCACGAUGAAACUGGUCUUCAACCGGUUCCUCCAACGCUCCCUCCUCUCUCCCGCUAGAUAGCGUGUGUAUCUAACUUCCACCUCCGCCCUAGUGGUGUACCCUUUGUAACUGUUAUCGCUGAAACAGUGAACCUGUCUCCAACACUCCUCCCAGUCGUCGUAGACUCCGGGAACCUUACCCUUGUACACAACAUACGAUGACAUAUCUAUGCACUAGCUAAACAAAAUGUUAGUAGCAAUUCACAGACAAUACAUAAGCAAUAUAUAAGUAUGCAACAAAAGGAUCGGAAGAGAAAAGCAACACAUUAAUAGCACGAUUCAUGGUCCUACUAAUAAAUAGCAUCGAUUACAUAUAAGUUGAACGACUAUCCAAACCAAAGAGACAUACAAGUUCAUUAAAGUUUAAUAUUACAACAUGAGCCAAUCGACAUUUCAGAACUACAUAGCAUCACUACUUUCGACUCGACUCAGGGACCGGAGGGUGGAUGAAGCCGCCGUCUUUCGUGAUGGUCAUGAAAUUGCGGGCGUUGUCAGCCUGCAUUUGUAGCAUUGUUUCUAUCUCACUGUUGGACAGUUGAUAUCUGAGGUAGAACUGCCCCGAGGUACGAAGGACAUCUUGAUGGAUGAUUUUCGCAAACUCCGACUGGAUGCGAUAGAAUUCUUGUCUGAUGUCUGCGUCCUGGAUUGCCGACAAGCGUGUGGCCCCGUACGAUCGCCCACAUGUGAUGGAGGGCAUAGUAGGCAUCCUUUUGACUUCCAGGCGGCUGAUUGACGUAGAGGAACAUCGUAUUGUGGGUGAACAUGUGCUUGCCGUACCUACGAAUUGUCCUGGUGAAGGUGCCUCCAGAUCUGGCGUAGCCGGGAAGAACAUCAUCAAGAACUUUCUUGAUAUUUGUGUAGUCUUUCUUCGACUGACGGUCUGAGUCGAAAUACAUGGCCAUGGAAUAUUUCAGGCUUAAGAGGAUGAGUGUGCAACAUGUGUCACUGCACAAAACACGGAAUGUUAGAAAAAAAAGAACGAUCAAAAUCUAAGAAAUCAUAUGUUACGGGGCGGUGAGGGGAUGACUUACUCGGGAAAGUAAGGCACGAGGAAGUUAUCCUUAUCUGGGUUUGCCAGAAUGACGCCUUCGAGGUGUGAACUCGCGACUUGCCGGUCCCCAGCGCUGCCCAAGAUCUUGGCACGCAUGUAGAAGGGGUCGACUAUCACGAUGUCCGGGGUCUUGUAUCUAAUAAUCCGCAUCUCCAUACUCAGCGAAAAUAGCCGAAUGAAGGUGUAGUGCAGCGGAUGAAGGUUAAACAUAGUGAAGAUGUCAUCAAACCACAGGACGAUUGUACCCCCGAUGGCGCUAUCCACAAAGCCCUUGCCCUCUGGCACCUUGGCCACAAAAAUCGGGUAUGCCACAUCAUUCUCGAAAAGACGCUGCUUCUCCAAAGAAAGAACACUGUCAUGCAGACUCUGCAUAGCACCGGUUGCAGCAUUGAGCAGAUUAGUCGGUAGCAUCGGCCUACCCGCCACAUGCACCCUCCUCGAGAUAUCCUUAGGUGAAGGUGGCCCGUCCUGAGAACGGAUCGUACUCGGUGCCGGCUGGCUCGCACCGCCCUUGUUAUUCUUUUGUUUCCGUCCCAUCUUCUUCUGAUGUAAUGGGAUCGAGUUCUGCUCAGAGACCGCCUUCUUGAGUGUGUUGGGGCUGAUAAUAUUUCGCACCUCAACUAUCUGAGGCUCGGUGAAGGCGGCAGCUGGAGGUGUCUCCUGAGAACUAAACGCCAGAUGACGCCUGUUGCAAUUGGGUUUCUCCGUGGUACCAGCUAGACUGCGGUCGUCUUUUGCAGGGUUGGGUUCUUGAGAAGGAGGCCCCAAGAAUUCGUCACUAUACCCAUGUUCGGCAAAGUACUUAUCAACGUUGGUAAAUGUAUCGUCGUUGUCAUCGUCGUCGUUUGGAUCCUGUGCCAUAUGCAUGUCCGGCAUGUCCAGUAGCGUUGCGGCGGUCUUGCCAUGGCUUGGCACCGGCACGACUAGCGGUGUUGUCCGUGGGGUGCUGUCCCCCGCCCCCAAACGAAUUUGGCUCUUCAGCCAAAGCAGGGGCCAGCUUACGCAGGCGCUGAGGGUCAUCAAAUCAUCUUCGUCGGCCCCAGUGGGUCGAAUCAGAGGUAAAAACUCGUCGUAGCCUGGCAGCACCCGAACCAGUUCAACCAUAUACACGGUGGGUGGCAUCGGAUUACCGUGGAACACGGGGUUGCCCGGUUGAACGAUUCUGCCCUUGGCAACAUCGAUCAACUCGCCGCCCACGAAGUGCAGGAGAGUGCAUGGAAUGUCGGCGGCACCCUGUGAAAACAUGUAGGGCGUCAGGGAUGCCCAGUCAAAGGCAAGGAGAUGAAGUCAUCGGCCGAGAGGCUUAGUUACCGUGAUGGCGUCGAUCUCGGCUAAUGUCGAGGCACCGCCAAUGGCGGGCAUGCAACUGACGGAGGGGCCGCUUGCUGCCGAGGUGCCGGCCGGCGUACACCCGGGUGCAUUAAGCUCCAAUGCCCGUGCCGGCGCCGGAGACACCAAUACCGCCUCCGCCAGAGACACCAAUGGCGCCACCUGCGCGUUGUGCGCGUUGCUGGCCGUGAAGCUGGGAACCGGGGGCGGCCCCUGUUGGCCGCCCACAAUCCACGCCUGCAGCCCCUCAAUCAAGGUAGGCACAAUGGCGGUGAGCGUCGUUCCCAGUUGGUGUUGCACUAGCUCUUGGACCAUCUCCGGAAUCCGCACCACUUGUGCCUUGAGUUCUUGAACCUUGCGCGACUGGCUUUCUGAGCUGGUCUUUCUCUCCUUUCGCCCACCUGCGUUAUAGUAUGACGACCAUUUUGUGGACAAGCCUUUGUCGGCCACACGACCAGCUGAUGACGGCUUACUGAACUUAUCCUUGUUUUUCAUUAUGUUGAACGCCCUAUUUAAAGUGUUGUCCCAAGGGGAGCUCUGAGACGACCCCGCGCUACUGCUUUCAGUCUCCCGCGGAAGGAAUGUGAACCAUUUAGAAAUUUGGCUUCAUUAAUUAGAAUGCAACCAUAUGGAGCUAAUUACGCGGGGGUGUAUUCCUUACCAGAACACGCUCAAGCGCCUUGGUCUUCGCAUCCGUGGUAAGCUCCUUUGUUACUGGGUCCUCCUUGUACCGGUCCCUGACAUAGUUCCUGGUCUGCUUGUCACAGUAUUUCUCGAAGCGGGGCGGUAGGCCUUGCUCGGCACGCUCCGCAUCCUCCUUGUCCCAUAUAAGUUCCGCCACUCUGUAACCGCCGGGACCGAGUUGGUGGACCCCUAAAUUCAAGUCCCGCAUUUCUUUCCUCCACUGACUUGAUUCCACGGUCGUGCUUCUCUCACACUUGAUCUUGAACUCCUUGUAGUCAUCUUCGUUGAUCGAAGGAUUUUUCGCCUUGAUCUUCUCAUAACUAUCACCUUUGUCAAUCAUUCUCUUCACCGCGCUUCUCCAAGUAGACAGGGCCGUGCUCAUCUUCAUGAGGGCGGCACUGUUCACUUUAUUCCCUGAGAGGCGUUUGUUUGCAAAAUCAGCGGGGAACUUGUAUCGUUCGUGUAGCUUCAUGAAGAGGAGGCUGCGCAAAUUCCCUCGGUCAGGAUGCCUUAGGUUCUCGGUGUUGAUCGAGACGGUGCUCCGAAGAAUGCACCCGAGCUGAACCGAGUACCCCUUGACUAAUUCUUUGGGCACCGUUGGAUGCCCGUCGGAGGACACUUCAGUAAAUUCCUCCUUGACGGUGCCGAGCAUGUUCGGGCGCCGGUCCUUCUGUUGCCUCUUUGGUUGGCUGCCAUCUGUGUGUGCGCUGCCAUCAUCAGUGGUGGCAUCCUCGGCGGCACCAUCAGUGGUGUCAUCCCCGACGCCACUAGGGGUUGUGUAGUCAGGAUCGGUGUCUUCCGCGGCAUCCUCAUAGCGGUGAGGUUCUUCCUCCAUCUCUUGGGACAGCUCACAGAAUUGCUUGCCCGAACCGCCGGCCUCAUCGUUGUGGGCCAUGUUUUGCUCUAAAUAGGAAAGAAGUUUGGUCAAAAAGUUGGUUAUUGUCAAGGAACAAGAUCAUGGUCUCAUCAUUUAGGAUUUAUCGACAUCGAGGCAUCCUAAAAGCUAAGCUUUUAUCGUUUAGGGUUUGUCGACGCCGUGGCACCCUAAAAGCCUAAGCUUUCAUCAUUUAAGUUUUUAUCGACACCGAGGCACCCUAAAAGCCAAGGUUUUAUAAUUUAGGGUUUGUCGACGCUGAGGCACCCUAAAUGCUAAGUUAAGUUUUCAUCAUUUAGGGUUUAUCGAUGCCGAGGCACCCUAGGUUGACUGAUAUAUAUGGGUAUCUUCUAAUAAUAUACCCUAUCAAGAAAAGGGAAGGAUAAUUCUAAGUUGGGCCAAAUCACUUGGCUCUAUUACCACCUAUGGUUUAAUGCAGCAAGAAUAAAGGGGCAGUUGAUCCUACUUAAUUAAGUACUAAGAUACCCCGACCCAUGCAUUAGUCGCAAGUACCCCAUAUGUCCUAUUUUUAGCAAAGUCAUGCUAAAAUUCACGGAAAAUUUCAGCAUGACCUUUGCUGAAAAUAGGACAUAUGGAGUACCCAAAUUUGCCGGAACGGAAGUUAAUCGACAUUCCGGCAAACUCAAGGGCCUCUCAGGGUACCUGCAAAAUCAUUAUCCCCGCGUAAUGAAGUAGCCAAUGGGUCAUUUCAAAAUAUCACAAGUAGCAUCAUCACAAGUACAACAUCAUCACAAGUACAGCAGCAGUAGCAGUGAAUACAGGCAUAACAGCAGCAGCAACAGGUUUAUUCUUCUUCUUCAUAAACACUAGUUGUCUAAUUGAGCAAUACAGCGACAGUGUGAACAAAUAAAAACACAAACUACACCUACAUAUUUGGGUACCUCUAUGGUAGUAACAUGCCAUGCUCUGCCUAGAGCUACUGCAGCAAUCAUUGUUAUACAUUUCUCUGAAUAGUAUAUAUGGCUUGAAAUGGCAGAACAGGUUACAGUAAUUAGAUGAAUGAAAUGCAUAAGUGUCGAAUCAAAACAAUAUAAAAAAUACCAUGUUCCCUAUGCUGUUUUGAUACACGAUAUGGGUGAAGUGACAUGACACUUCCAAAAACAAGGAUACAACAAUCACUGGUCCCAAAUGAUAAUACAAGGUGGUGUAGAUCUCUAAGGAGCGGCAUUAAAAGGGAAGGGCAUGCGGCAAGAUGCCAUCAAGCUCCCAGCAACAAUGGUCGGGGAGCAUGUCCACAUUAUGCAUGAGAGGAAGGCUUGUAUACAUUAUAAAGUAUGUUUUAAAUAUUUAAACAUCGACAUGAUUCAGAUACUGAGAAAAAUAGAAUGGAAUCAUUGUUAUAGGAUGCAACAGCUAUGACAACUCACUGAAGUAUCAGGGAAAUCUUUACCUAGCAACACAAGUUAAUAGGCUGAUAUUUUCUCCAUAUUUUUAUUGAAAAGGAAGUUCAAACCUCCUGGCAGUCACAAGUGACAGGAGCUGUGCCUACCACUAGGAUGACCACUUUAAUUUUUUUGCUUCUUUUUUUGAGAUAGAAGCACUUUCAGUCUCAGAAACAAAGAUCACACAGCUUUAUAAAAUCAACUUUACAGGAAGUAUUCGUGUAAGGAAACAUUAAUAAGUAUCUAAGUGUUUUUAGUUCAUUUUAUACAAAAGACAAACAACAACCCUUUUCUUUUGCAUCGGAAGAAAAUUCUAGUACUAUGUGAUAAGCUUUAGAAAAUGGAGUACUUACAGCAACUAUGCAGGCAAUCAAUCCAGGCUUCUCCCGGUGAUCCAAAGAAACAAAGAAUAGAAGAAAAGCACCAAUAUACCAGAGAAUUGCAGCCAAGAAGAACCCUAGUAAGAACCUUCAAAACAAAACCAACCUAAAGUCUUUAAUAUGGAUUGAUUGUGCUUUCAUUUUAAAUUUGCAGGUAAGAACAAUGAACUUAUAGAAACUCCUUAAUAUGAAUAUUAUACCGAUGAUAAAAGAUGUCAGAUUACUAGUAGAUAGCAAAGCAGUAGACAACACACUCAGAAGUAACCAUGCCAGUUUAGGAUAAUCCUCUGCUGAUGCAUCAACUUAUAUCCUAAUCCAAUUCCAGUACCAUUUGAUCGCACCAUAUAUUAUAAAUAUGGCCAUGGGCCCUUACCAACCUGACCAAUACGAGUACUAGCACCUCACAAAUUCUCACUAGCAAGCAUAUCUUCCAAAUGCUGCUCGCCGAACUUGUUAAUGAAACAGUUACUCAUGCAAUCCCCCAUUCACAUACCAAGUACUCAUACAGUCGUACUGAACCAAGUGCUCAUGUUGUUACCUUCUUCAAGAGCUUCCUAAUUUUGCCACACCGAUCACAUUGGAGACAAACACCACCAAAAUGAAGGACACUUACAAAGCCCAGCCAACGCCGACGCCAUAGAACGGCAGUCGCGGCUCCCGGACUGGGAGGCCCUCCACCAAGACCUGCUGUUGGAUAGUGCACGGGAAAGCAACAACGCCCUGAGCAGGAAAGUGCUGCUGGAUAGUGCAGAGGCAGGGAAGUGUUAGUACCUGUAGAGAAACCUAGGGGGAAGGAGGGGAGGAGAGAGGAGGAAUCACCUAGAGGAGAACGGCAGGCAGCUGUAGGAGGACGCUGGCGUCGAGGAGGCUGCGGGCGGUGGCGCGUCGAGGAGGCGGCACGUUCUUGCUUCCCCAAGGACCGAGACGGCGAGGCGGGCCGGUGGCAGCGUUGGAACCCUAGCGUUGUUCGGUCGGAGCACCUCGUCGGAGAGGGCGCGACGGUCAUCAGAGCGAGCGAGAGGGUCGUCAGAGCGGGUGUGGAGCGGGCGCAGGGAUCAUCGGAGCGGGUGUGGCGAGGGAGGGAAGGGGGAUCUGGCGAGGGAGGGACGAAGGGGGAUCGGGCGAAGGGGGGAUUAGCUAGAGGGGGGAAGGUUAGUAAUGGCGCACCCCCUAGCGGUGCGCCAUUAGUAAUCUUUUUUUGGAUAGCGAUGUCGCACCUCCUGGCAGUGCACCAUUAGUAAUCUUUUUUUGGAUAGNNNNNNNNNNNNNNNNNNNNNNNNNNNNNNNNNNNNNNNNNNNNNNNNNNNNNNNNNNNNNNNNNNNNNNNNNNNNNNNNNNNNNNNNNNNNNNNNNNNNNNNNNNNNNNNNNNNNNNNNNNNNNNNNNNNNNNNNNNNNNNNNNNNNNNNNNNNNNNNNNNNNNNNNNNNNNNNNNNNNNNNNNNNNNNNNNNNNNNNNNNNNNNNNNNNNNNNNNNNNNNNNNNNNNNNNNNNNNNNNNNNNNNNNNNNNNNNNNNNNNNNNNNNNNNNNNNNNNNNNNNNNNNNNNNNNNNNNNNNNNNNNNNNNNNNNNNNNNNNNNNNNNNNNNNNNNNNNNNNNNNNNNNNNNNNNNNNNNNNNNNNNNNNNNNNNNNNNNNNNNNNNNNNNNNNNNNNNNNNNNNNNNNNNNNNNNNNNNNNNNNNNNNNNNNNNNNNNNNNNNNNNNNNNGCGGUGGAGCGGGGAAGGGUGCGGGGGGUCGGCAGCGGCGGUGGAGCGGGGGAGGGUGCGGGGGGUCGGCGGCGGCGAGGAGGAUCUGAUGAGGGGGGGUAGCGAUCGAGAUGGAGGGGGAUCUGGCACGGGGGGUGCGCCAUAAGUAACUUUUUUAUUAUUACUUUUAGUUGCGUCUAAUAUUUUUUUAGAAAAUGACGAUCAAAUUUGAAAAAAAUUAUGAAUGUGAAAAAAUAUGAUCAAAUUUGUUAUUUGAAAAUAUUUAUGAAUAUAAAAAAAUAUCAUCAAAUUUGUUAUUUGAAAAAAUCAUCAAAUUUGUUAUUUAAAAAUAUCAUCAAUAUUUUUUUUGGAUUUUUAGUUGCAUUCAUUUGUGAAUUGGUAAAACAUUUAUGAAUAUGAAAAAAUAUCAUCAAAUUUGAAAAAAUAUUCAUGAAUUCAAAAAGUGCCCAUGAAAUUUAAAAAUAUUCAUGAGUUCAAAAAAUAUUAACAAAUUCAAUACUUUUUGUGAGUUAGAAAUUCAAUACCAUAAUAAACAUAAAUAAAUAUUCAUGAGGACACUAGAACGGAAGAAAUAUCAUUUCAAUAUCUCGAAAUACAAUCGAGAAAUGAAGGCUACAAUUUACAUACAAUCGAUCUUAGCUAGCUAUAUGUUCACAAUCUACUUUCCCUUAUUUUUCGCAAAUGGAGUUCUUCUCUUGAACGGACGCCCUUUAGGUAAGGUGGUCCUGCUUCUUCUUGUGGUGUAUGCUGGUACUUCAUCAUCGUCGUCAUGUUCCAUCUUCGGGUGGCCGUACUUGUCGAAGUCUUGCUCAUUGGCGACUCCAUCCAUUUCGAUGAUCUUCCUUUUGCCUCUCCUCACGACGACACGACUGGGCUUUGACGGGUAGGUAAUGAAGAAGCAUUGGUCCACUUGGGAAGCUAGUACCCGUGGCUCAUUUUUCGCGGUGACGUUUGCGCCCGCGGUCUUGGAUUUGGCUUCGGGUAUAACCAUGGUGGUGAAAUACCGAUCUUCUUUUAGGAAGCUCUUGGCCCAUCUGACAGGGAACAUCAGGACCUUCUCUCCAGCGUAGCUCAGCUCCCAGAUCUCCUCGAUCCUUCCGUAGUAUCUGUCCUUGUCGUUACCGGUGUAGGAUUCCAUUGUUACCCCGGAGUUCUGAUAACCAUCGCUCUUCAUGUCCUUUCCCUCGGUGUAGAAUGUGUAGCCAUUGAUAUCGUACGCCUCAUACGUCAUCAGAUUGUGCUCGGCGCCCUAUGACAAGGUGAAUAUGAGUUGUUCUUCCGCGGAAGAAUCCUCAUGUAAAGGGUACGACAGAAGCUUCUGCUUGAACCAACGCGUGAAACAUGAGUUGUGCUCUUUGAUUAUAUCUCCGUUCAUCCUCUGUUGGCCUCAGUCAUUGUACGUCUUCUCAAUAAAGGUUUUGUGCUCUACCACCCAAGGAUCGACCAUGUCUAUGUGUUGUAGCGCGACUAGGUUUGCUCUUUCAAAGUCGGCGAGUCGACCCUCGAAGUCGAGAUGCAUUUCACGGCGACCAUCACGGUGACCCCAUCCAGCGAGCCUGCUGAGGUGCCUGUUGAUGGGAAGACCAACGGUGUUCUCGAUGCCUAGAUAAUUCGUGCAGUAGGAGAUGCACUCUUCGGUCAGAAAGCCCCUGGCCAUGCUUCCCUCUGGACGUGACAUGUUGCGAACGUAUCCUUUGAUGACACCAUUCAUCCUUUCGAACAACAUCAUGCUGUGCAGGAACGUCGGCCCGAGUUGGAUGAUAUCCUCCAUGAUAUGGACCAGCAGAUGCACCAUAACGUCGAAGAAUGCGGGCGGGAAGUACAUCUCAAGCUCGCAUAGUAUCACCAUGAUCUCUUCAUGUAGCCUUCUGAGUUGCCUCACGCCAACCGACUACUGAGAGAUGACGUCGAAAAAGUUGCAUAGGACAAAUAGCGUUUCACGGACGUGCGCGUCCAUGAUCCCACGGAUUGCAACUGGAAGUAUCUGCAUCAUCAGCACGUUACAGUCGUGAGACUUCAUCCUGCUGAACUUCUACUUCGCUGAGUCUAGGUAUCUGCUUAUCUUCCCCGCGUAACCGUAAGGAAGUUUUACUCCUACGAGGCAGGUGAAAAACUGAUUGAUCUCCUCCUGACUUAGAGUGAAGCAUGCGGGAGGGAAGUCAUUUCCGGUCUUCUUGGCCUUUUUGCCUUUGCGACGACUUUCCGUGUCCUGCUUCGCCUCAUCAUCAUCAUCAUUAGCGUGAAGCUCCUCCCUGAUGCCCAUUGAUUUCAAGUCUGCCCUUGCUUUCGGCCCAUCUUUGGUCCUCUCUGGCAUGAGCAGGGUACCAAGCAGACUCUUACACACGUUCUUCGUGAUAUGCAUGACAUCAAGGCUGUGAGGCACACGGUGGAUCUUCCAGUACAGCAAGUCCCAGAAAACAGACCUCGUUUUCCAUACCUUCAGCAGCGGCUCUGGUGCCUUUCGCUUCUUUCCCAGCUCUGGCGCCUUUUGCUUCUUUCCCAGCAGUGGGCAAUCUUUCCAAUUUUUCAAUAGCUCGUCUAUUUCCUUGCCACUCCUCGUACGCGGGCGUCUUCGGGGUUCGGUUUCACCAUCGAACAUAUCCUUGCGUUUCCUCCAUGAGUCAUCAUCGCAAAGCCACCUUCGAUGUCCCAUGAACACGGUUUUUGAAGACCCGGGAUUUCUAUCUAGCUGGCGAUACGUUGUGUCAUCCAUGCACCUGACGCAUCCAGAAAAUCCGUGGACCACCUUCCCCGCGACAUAUCCGUAACCGAGAUAGUCCUGCACCGUCGUGAGCAGUGCGACUCUCAUAGGGAAAUAUUCUUUCUCUGCGGCGUCCCACAUAUUGGCUGGCGUUUUCCAUAGCGUGUCUAGCUCCUCUUUCAGCAGCCCCAUAUACAGAUUGAUGCCAUUCCCUGGUUGUUUCGGCCCUUCAAUUAGCAUACUCAUGUGAAUGUACUUCCUCUUCAUGCACAACCAGGGGGGAAGGUUGUAUAUCCACACAAACACAGGCCAGGUGCUAUGUGUGCUUCUCUGGCUGCCAAACGGAUUGACUCCAUCGGUGAUCGCGCCCAGUAUGAUGUUCCUUGGAUCGUUCCCAAAUUCUGGGUGUUCGAAGUUCAACGCUUGCCGCUGGCUCGCAUCCUUAGGGUGACUCAGCAUCUUGUCUUUUUUAUUUAUCUCUGGAUCAUUUGCGUCAUCUUCUCACUUCUUCUCCUCCCUAUCCGCGUGCCAACGCAGGAGCUUUGCUACCUUAGGGUCCGCGAAAUACCGCUGCAGACGAGGAGUGAUCGGAAAGUACCACACCACUUUUCAAGGAGCUUUCUUCCUCUUCUUGUAUCGAGUGACGCCGCACACCGGUCAUAUGGUAGACUCUGCGUGCUCAUCCCGAUAAAUGAUGCAAUUGUUCAUGCACACAUGGUAUUUCACGUGUGGUAAAUCCAGAGGACACACGAUUUUCUUCGCCUCCUCGAAACUGGUCGGGCACUUGUUCCCCUUGGGAAGACGUUCGUGCCAGAAUGACAUGUUCUCGUUGAAGCAUGCGUCGGUCAUUUUGUGUUUUACCUUCAUCUCCAGAGCCAUGAGCAUUACUUUCAGGCAGGUAUCCUCGGGCCUGCAUCCUUCAUCCAAUGGAGUAACCACGUCUAUCUCCAGUUGAUCCAUCUUGGCUUUCUCUCGGGCGGCAGCUCUUGCGUUAUCGGUCUACUUGAGAAGCAGCUCUUGAAUAUGAGGGUCCUGCACCCAGCCCAUCGAUGGGCCAUCGUCGUCUGCUCCGACAUCUUCAUCUUCAUGAUCAUGCCCUUUGUCUACUCUAGCAUCUUCCUCAUCAUCAUGUACGGCAUCUUCUACAUGAUGACUGUGUACUGCAUCUACUUCAUGAUCAUGUCCUGGAGAUUCUUCGUCUUCUCGCCCGCCCUCGUCGCAGUUGUCUUGCUGCCCUUCCUCAUUUCUUGCCCGGCCCCCAUGGACGACUUCAUAAUCAUCUUCAUCACCUUGCCACCGAUAGCCAUCCAUGAAACCACGCAAGAGCAGGUGGUCCCACACCUGUACAGAAUCCGGGUCCAUAAGGCUCCUUAGCUUGCAUCUUCGACACGGACAUCUUAUCUCCGUCUCGUUCUUUUGAAGCAUCUCGGUCUUCGUGGAGCUCAAAAACCUAUUCACGAUGCCUUCGGUCAUCGUGUGGACCAUGGUCGCCUGCGGGGUAGAGCAAAACGAUAUUUUAGAACCAAGAAAUUUUUUGGCAUGACUUUGCCUAAAAAUAGGACCAAAAAGAAUGCAUAGUGCCAAAUUCUCGCCGAAACGGAAAUGAACAUUCCGGCAAAAUAUUGGCAACUAUCGCAUUUCAAAUACUGGUACCUGCAAACACAAACAUAUAUGCAACACCACAAAUAUAUGCAACACCACAAAUAUAUGCAACACCACAAACAUACAUAGAUCUAGCUAGGCCAUAAAAAGUGCAUGUGCACGUUGUUGGAGGGAGGAAAAAAAGUAGAUCUACAACAUAAAGAAAGCUUUCCCCUUACUUACCUAUCAAAAAAAGGUAAUUUAACCACUUAAUUUGGAUGAAUCUAUGGUGCAAAUGAGGUGAGGAGGAGGAGGCAGCCGAGACAAGCUUGGAGGAGGUGGUGGAGAGAAUGAAGUGGGGAAAGUGAGUGUGUAGGUGGCUGUCCAAAAUAUCUACCUGGUCCCAGGUUACUAAUGGUGCACCACCUACAAAUGCACCAUUAGUAACCCUGGUUACUAAUGGCGCACUAGCUGAUGGUGCGCCAUUAGUAGUUUUGCAAAAAAAAUGAUAGUAGUGGCGCACGGGGUGAGUGGUGCGCCAUUACUAGUUAAAACUAGUAAUGGCGCACUGUGCCCUGGUGCGCCAUUAGUAUUUUUGGAAAAUAAUAAUAAUAAAUUGUUAGUAGUGGCGCACCGUGGGUGUGGUGCGCCAUUAGUGUCCAUCACAUUAAUGGCGCACCAACACAUGGUGCGCCACUGCUAUAUAGUAGUGGCGCACCACAUGACUGGUGCGCCAUUAGUGUCCAUAUUAUCUAUAGCCCUUUUCCUAGUAGUGAGUAUUCAACCCAAUUUAUUGAUUUGACACAAGGGAAUCCAAAGAAUAUUUGCAAGUAUUAGCAGACGAGUUGUCAAUUCAACCACAUCCAAAGAUUUAUUAUCUGCAACAAUAUGAUCAGUAGCAAAGCAAUAUGAUAGUUUUGAUAGUAGUAGCAAUAGCAAUAGUGAUGAUAACAAUGAUAGCGAUUUUGUAGCAAGUAUAACGGUAACAACAACAGUAGUAACUUAGCAAGAACAAUAUAAGAGAAAUUUGUAGGCAUUGGAUCAGUGAAUUCGUUGGAUGAUAUUCAUCAUAUAACAGUCAUAACCUAGGGUGAUACGACAGUAGCUCCCGUUCAUAAAUAUAAUGUAGGCAUGUAUUUCGUAAAUUGUCAUACAUGCUUACGGAAAGAACUUGCAUGACAUCAUUUGUCCUACCCUCACGUGGCAGCGGGGUCCUAUUGGAAACUAAGGGAUAUUAAGGCCUCCUUUUAGUAGAGAAUUGGAACAAAGCAUUAAUACAUAGUUAAUACAUGAACUCCUCAAACUACGGUCAUCACCGGAAAGUAUCCCGACUACUGUCACUCUGGGGUUUACGGAUCAACACGUAAUAGGUGAAUAUAACUUGCAAGAUCGGAUCUAGAACAUAGAUAUAAUGGUGAUAACAUAAACAAUUCAGAUCUGAAAUCAUGACACCCGGGCCCAAAGUGACCAGCAUUAAGUAUGGCAAAGUCAUGUCAACAUCAAUCUCAGAACAUAGUGGAUACUAGGGAUCAAGCCUUAACAAAACUAACUCGAUUACAUGAUGGAUCUCAUCCAACUCCUCACCGACCAGCGAGUCUACGAAGGAAUUACUCACUCCCGGUGGGGAGCAUCAUGGAAUUGGCGAUGGAGAAGGGUUGGUGAUGACGAAGAUCGCAAGAUCCCCCUCUCCAGAGCCCCAAAUGGACUCCAGAUCUGGCCUGCUGAUGAAGAAUAGGAGGUGGCGGCGGCUCCGUCUUGUGAAACGCUAUAAUACUUUCUCCCAGAUUUUUUUCUCUGAAAAUAUGAUUUUAUAGUAUCAGGGUUGAGGUCUGCAGGGCCACCAGGUGGGGAAAACCCACCUGGGCGCGCCAGGAGGAGGGGCACUGGUGGGUUGUGCUCACCCUAGGGCCCCCCUCCGGUGGUUCUUGGCUCCAGUAUUUUUAUAUAUUCUGAAAUAAUUCUUCAAAAAGUUUCAUUCCAAUCUAAGAUUUUUUAUUUCUGCACAAAAACAACACCAUGGUAAUUCUAUUGAAAACAAUGUCAGUCCGGGUUAGUUUCAUUCAAAUCAUGCAAAUUAGAGUCCAAAACAAGAGUAAAAUUGUUAGAAAAAGUAGAUACGAUGGAGAUGUAUCAGACCGCCUUUCUUGAUUGCGUUGGCUGAAUGAAGACUAGUUGAUUGCUCCCCCAUACUCCAUAAUGGGUGAGCCACUCUUCGGCACAUCUUCAUAACUCCAUUGUCACCAUAAUGGAUGGCAAGAAACAAGCAUGAGAUCUCUUCGUGAUGCUCCACUUGAACUUGCACACCGCAAUCUUGAUGAUGAUCACCACUUGAUGUCAUCCUCCAUGGGUUAUAUAAUAUCUUCCUUUUGAUGCACGACCAUGGAAACAUACCGAAGCCCACAAACAACUCGUAGACCAUGGGUUAGUACACAAAAACUAAUGGACAAUGCUAAUUAUACCAUGGGAUCACUUGAUCCCUCUCGGUACAUGUUGUAUGCUUUGUGUGUUGAUCAACUUGAUUCACUCUUUGACUUGGUCUUGAUCAACCUUGUAUCAUGUCUUCUACAUGACCAAUCUUUGGAUAAUUCCUUGAAUAGCACAUUGAUCAUCACAUAAACUCCUUGAAACGAACACAUGGACUUUAAGAAAUGCUUAUGGGCAAAUCCUUCAAAUAUAGCUCAAGGCAACCAUUAGUCCAUAGAGAAUGUCAUCAAUUACCAAAACCACACAUGGGGGCACCAUGCUCUUUCAAUGUUGAUUUCAAGAUGACACCAAAUACACCUAGUCUUCGCAACAACACAAUUCAAGAGCUACCUACUGUGAGGAUGCAUGCACCAAUAUUCUUUUUUAAAACAAGAUAUAACCUCACCAAAGCAGUCAAUGAACAAGAAAACAUCAACAUCAAUCACCAACAUUGGCAACCCCUGAGAAACAUUCUCCAGCAAUGAUGUCUCUAGGAAGGGAAGGAGCAGUGCACAAUUACCGUCACAGUACAAGUAAUGAAGCUACACGUUAAGUUUAUUGCCAUCAUAAUACACACUUCAGCUUUUUGGUGAACUAUCCAUGCAAAGCACCAUCUCAUUCGCCAAAAGCUCCAGCUGAAAGAGAGGGCAAAUCAUUAUACUCUAACAAUCUUCUUCUAUCUAUGCUCCAUUGAAAUUACAGUGUGGGUAUUGGAAGCUAUGUUUUGCGAUUCGAAAGCAAAAUAAUAAUAAUCUAGACCUUAUAGAAAAAUAAGCAGUAAUUGCAAAAUGUUGAUACGGAGGACUAAAUCCCAGAUAGAGAUGUUUGAAAAUUUCAAGUCCCAGUCCCAUUUUUGUCAAGUAGUAACCGCAACACCUUCUAUGCUUUACUUCCUACCUACCACCUCACCGAAAGAAUCAAUUUCUGUCAUUUUACUAAGAAACACAAAACUGUGAAUAUAAUAGGGAGGGCUACACUUAUUUGUCUAGUUAUUUCUUUAUUGUAAACUAUAUGCAUCCAACCAAUUCACGCAUUAGUUCAAUGAUUUUAUCUCAAGUAAACCAUAAUGAUGAAAUAUGUCAUAGUUGAACUAUUAGGUUUUGUGACAAAUGGCAUAACGGACUUCCUUUGGAAAUCCUUUCUCUCAACUAAGCAAGUUUAUGGGGCUUCUACGCGAGGUACAACUCCCACAAACAAACUAGGUUACAAUGUGUUCAACCGCCUUUCUAGAAACCAUUGAAGCACCAAAUACAAGAUUAUAUGUUCACUAGGGAGAUACUGCAUUCAGUUCGUCAGGGUUUGUAUAGCAUUCCUAGGUGAAUGGUUUGACUCAUACCUGACAUGCACCGCGUAUUGAAACCUUGAGACAUAAUGUCGAAAAACACAAAUUGAUAGCUAACUAUAUUAGAUCUAGAAACAUCGACCCUCAUUUUUUUAAUCAUAAAGUGAUUUUACAAACCCCCGACAUGUUGUGUUUGGCGUGUACACGUAAUAGAUUAAUGGGCCUAGCAAAAAAACAAGACAAAUGCUAGGGAUGUAUGCCUCUGUUUUUUUAUUUACCCCGCAUAUUAGUUUAACUGAAGUCAAAUGUUAUAAAGUUUGACCAAGUUUGUAGGAAACAAUAGGAACAUUUAACAUAAAAAACCUAUGUCCUGUGAAAAUAUAUUCAAUGAUGAAUCUAAUGGUAUUGAUUUGUGGUGUAUAUGUUACUAUAUUUUUGUACCACUGUCGGUGUUAAAACCGGCGGAUCUCGGGUAGGGGGUCCCGAACUGUGCGUCUAGGCGGAUGGUAACAGGAGACGAGGGACACGAUGUUUUACCCAGGUUCGGGCCCUCUUGAUGGAGGUAAAACACUACGUCCUGCUUGAUUAAUAUUGAUGAUGUGUGCUACAAGAGUAGAUCUACCACGAGAUCAAGGAGGCUAAACCCUAGAAGCUAGCCUAUGGUAUGAUUGUUGUUCGUCCUACGGACUAAAGCCAUCCGGUUUAUAUAGACACCGGAGAGGGUGUUACACAGAGUCGGUUACAAUGGUAGGAGAUCUACAUAUCCGUAUCGCCAAGCUUGCCUUCCACGCCAAGAAAAGUCUCAUCCGGACACGGGACGAAGUCUUCAAUCUUGUAUCUUCAUAGUCUUGGAGUCCGGCCGAUGAUGAUAGUUCGGCUAUCCGGACACCCCCUAGUCCAGGACUCCCUCAGUAGCCCCUGAACCAGGCUUCAAUGACGAUGAGUCCGGCGCGCAUAUUGGCUUCGGCAUUGCAAGGCGGGUUCCUCCUCCGAAUAAUUUAUAGAAGAUUGUGAACACCAGGAUAGUGUCCGGCUCUGCAAAAAUAAUUUGCACAUACCACCAUAGAGAGAAUAAUAUUUCCACAAGUUCAAUCUGCUGACGUAUUUGAUGGCAUGACGUCACACCGCUACCAAGCCUUUACUUAAAUCGUUUUUAUUGUACCACCUCAGCGCGUUUAGCGAAGCGGUUUCCUUGGCACGUCUUGUCGAAGCAGAGAUCAUGUUCCCCUUAUUCCGGGAUUCCCAUCAAUACGGACGUGGGUAACCCAACCGCGCCAUUGAUUGCGGCGCUUGGGGGAUAAGCGAGUUUUAUCAGGCCGGUGGGGACGCAUGUUUUCGUCCGCCCAUAUAAGGGGAUAAAGAUCCAACCCUAUUACCUGCGCCUUCUUCCUCCUUGGCUUACCCAUCUCUGCGAACCCGAGCUCCAGCGCCCAAGCGCGCACAUCUCACCUCAACCUUCUCCAACUAUGUCCGGAGCAGGAGGCAAGUGGAUGGCCUCCUCCAUCACGGAGGGGCAGAUCUAGAAGCUGCGCAACGCCGGAUACUUGUCCAGCGACAUCGCGCACCGGCUCCCCAAUGAGGGAGAGCUCAUCCCCACCCCCAAGCCCCAUGAGAGGGUAGUAUUCCUUCCCCAUUUCCUCCGCGGACUGGGCUUCCCACUCCAUCCCUUUGUCUGGGGGCUCAUGUUCUACUACGGCCUGGAUUUCCAUGAUUUGGCCCCGAAUUUCAUCCUCAACAUCUCGGUGUUUAUCGUUGUGUGUGAGGCCUUCCUCUGCAUCCAGCCCCACUUCGGCUUGUGGCUCAAGACCUUCAGUGUCAAGCCGAAGGUUGUGAAGGGCAGCCAAGCGGAGUGCGGAGGCGCCAUGGUGGGCAGGAUGUCCCAUGUUACUUAGCUCGAGGGAACUUUCGUGGAAACCAUCAAGGGGUGGCAAUCGGGGUGGUUCUACAUCACCGAGCCGCGUGAUCCCGAAUGGGCAGCGGUCCCCGAAUUCAGAUCCGGCAUCCCCACACGGCUCACCUCCUGGAAAGAGAGCGGCCGGACAUGGGGUGAUUCGGAGGAGCUGACAGGACUCCAAGCUUGUAUCCAAAAGCUAGUGGACAAGAAGCUCAAGCUUGUCAACGUAGUCCAGGUCAUGCUCAUCUGCCAGAUUCUCCCGUGCCAACGACGGGGCUUCAACAUGUGGGAGUUCGAUCCGGCACAGCACCAGACUUUGAAUGGGCUCUUCGACACUACAUACGAAGAUGUCUCGAAGGUGCUAUUCAAGGGCGCCGAAGCUCCCGCAUCCGCUACCGAAGAUCGCGGAUUCAGCUCAGAGCGUCCAGCUGAUGAGGUAAGUUAUUUUGUCCUUUAAGGGACGCUUGUUUUCCAUAGUUUGACUCUAUGCGGGAUCUAAACUCCCUUUCCUUUGACAGGACUAGAUGAAGAAGGCCGAACAGGCUAUCUGUCCGGCCCCAUUGCCAGAGGACCCAGCGGAUGCCCGUUUGACGGGGCUGCUAGCUUCGGCACCCCAUGUGGUGCCGGAGAAGAAGGCCAAGAAGAAGGUCACAGGGACUCGGAAGAGUUCCCGCUUUCAGGUGCUAUCGGAUGACGACUCCGAGGCCGACUCCUCUCACCAAGGUGAGGAGGAGAAGAAGAAAGCCUCUUCCCCAGCGGGGGGAGAGAAGAAAAAGAAGGCCUCCCCAACGAGGGAGGCCGAGGGGUCCAAGAAGGGAAAAACUCUUCCCCCGGACUGCUCUGCCAAUGCCAGUGAUGACGACGAGGACUGGCCUCCAAGGGCCAAGCCCUAGGCGAGAUCGUGAGUAUCCGGACUCCCGAAUAACUUCAUGGUUUAUCUUUUUUGCCACACAAUGUCUUUCUAAUGCCGCAUACAACCCUGCAGUCCGCCCAAGGACGAUCUUCCCGCUUCGUCGAGCGGGUCCUUAGGUGCGUCGGAUAUGGAUUCUCUUCCGACCGCCUCCACCCCCCGUGACACGGACGAUGCCAAGGUGGGAUCCCGGGAAGGGACCCGCCAGGAGGAGGAGGCCCCGGAGGUGUCGCAGGACAACCUCCCGGACUUUGCACCGGACUCGGCUCCGGAUCCCAUAGUGGCUCCGGAGUUCGGCGGGCGGCCCCUUCGUAAGAAGGGCAAGACCGUGACACCGGCAGCCUCCGUCCAACCGAAGGCGCCGGAUAGCUUGCUGGAGGCGCUCAAUGGCGCCUCCAUCAAAGAGGAACACCGCACUGUUAUGAGUGCGGUGAUUUAGAAGGUGCAGCUCGCCAAGAGCGGGCUGACCGAAGCCUGCAACAGCCUUCUAACAGGCUUUGAGGUAAGAAUUUUGAUAUAUGUAAAAUAGUACCGCAUAGACAGUAGCCCCUGAUGCUCGGUUCGGUGUUCGGAAAGAAAAGCCGGACUGAGGAUCUAAGAAGAUAUACGCAGGAGUCAUAAAAAAUAUGUCGAUAUGGGAUUGCAGGCUGCGCUGCUGACCUCUGCCGCACUGACUGCGGAGGUCAAUACUUUGAAGGAAGGCCUCGAGAGGUCCGAGAAUGAGCUCGGCCGUGCCAAGAAGCAGCUCGAGGACAAGGAAGGUGAGUAACACCUUAUUAAAAUUGUACCUUACAGAAAAGGAUUUUGGUUGCAAAAUGAAGGACAAGGAUAACAUGGGUAUUGCAGGGGCCACUAACGAGGUGGCGACCCUGAAAGAGGCGGUGGCUGCGACCGAACACAAUGCGGCCGCGGAGCGCACCGAGCGAGAGAAGCGGGAGGCACGGGUGGCGGAGGUACAGCAAGAGCUCCAGGAUCUCGUGAAAAAACAUGAGAGCCUGGAGCGUGACUCGACGACUCGAGAGUCUGAGCUUGCAACGGCUCUUAAGAGUGCCAAAGCCGCUAAGGCCGAAGCCUACAAGGCCCUCCAGGAAAUCGAGGCGUUGAAGAAAAUAGCAGCGGGUAAGGCAUUUUUCAUGCAAAGUAAGCAUGUGAGUGUUAAUUACCUGUUGCUUACCCGAAUUCGGAGCUCUCCAGGAGCGUUCGCAGAUCUUCCUCGCAGCGUGUCCGAUGCUGCCGCGUUCUACCGGGCCGAGGAGGGGAGCUCGACGGAGAAGGUCUUCUGGUCUCAGUAUGCUGAGGCCGGACAUCCGGUGCCCCUUAGCGACCAGCUAAAGCAGCUGGUCGAGCUCUACAAGGUGGCCGAACAGGCCAUGAAGGGCCUCAUAGUUCGGCUGUGGCCUAAGGAGGCCAUGCCUGGGAGCUACUUCGGCCUGGUGCGGCGGCUGGUGGAUGCGUGCCCGUGGGUCGAAGUCAUCAAGCACUCCGUCUGUAUUGAAGGUGCCCGUCGGGCCCUUGCCCGCUCAAAGGUGCACUGGGGCAAGAUGGAUGCCUAGAAGCUCGUGACGGACCCACCACCGGAGCGCAAGGAGCAUCGCACGCCCGAGAUGUAUUAUAAGAGUGUGCUGAAGGGCGCCCGCACUAUUGCGGGUGAGUGCUCCAAAGAUGUAAUAUUUGAGUAGACUCGCAUUUUGUUAUCCUGUGCGCUGAAAACUUAGUUCAUUUGCGCUAAGCAACGUGUUUUGAUUUAAAAUAUUACCUUCUGUGCGGCUGUUUAUCAAAUCUGAGAGAUGGCAAGUCGUCGGCUUCAGCCCCCAUGCCACGAGUGCUGGGGUGUUCGGGAUAAACUUGAGCACUCUUGUUCCCAUAUUUGGGUCCAUCUAGGGAGGCGCUCAACACAACGAACAAGGCAACCGGACUUAUAAUGCUUGAACACUCUCACUUAGCCAUAAAAUUCUAUAAUUUUAAAUUUCGGCGAAGCCCCUAAUCUUCGGAAGGCCGAAUUUGGGGCGCUAUCCAUGCCUUGGCCGGACAAAAACCGGCUCCUCGCUCUAAGCGGCAUAAGUCUUUAGGGACUCACAAAAAACCUCUCGAACAGCGACCAGCUCUCACCUCAUCAUGACGGUCAGUUUUAGCUUUCUCCACUGAGGCGUUAACCCAGCUCAACUGGGGCGCAAUCGCAGUGGUUCUCCCAGUGCUACCUUAGCCGAUACAACGGAACAUAAGGUACCAAAACAUGGGAGCCGGGCAAACCCAACUAUUGACCCAAGACAUGAUUCGGAGCUGAUGCAUAUAUUGCUAUAAGUUCGGGGUGCCGCACUUGUGAAAGUGUUCGGACUUAUCACACCAUGAUGCGGGAAACAUAAGCCCCUGGUGUAUUUAGCCAUACCAGAACGUACGGAUGCGUAAUGUCACAAAUGAACAUAUGUAUAAAAAAGAAAUGCAAUUGCAAGCAAAAAAAGGUGCUGCAUUACUUAUUAAAGAAAAAUUGUUGUAAGUGCAGAACGAUACAAAUGGUGCGAUAAGCAAGGGAUGGGACUGUUAAACAUGUCCCCCUCCAGGGGUAGGCUGCGGAAUGGUGCAUAAAACAGAUUUAAUGCUCGUAAUGGAGACCACCUGGAUAGUCGUUGUAGCCUUUCUUCUUCCCUAGCUAUUGCAUCGUGAGUUCGGCAGGUCUACUACCGGACAGGGCCUCUGACGAACGGAGUCCUGUGGGUAAAAAUAAAAAAAAGGAAAAAGAAAAAAAAGAACGACACACUUGAGAGCCCCUGGUGUGGUUGAGCCGCAGUCUGGGCCUAUCGUGGUCGUGCCCCUCUCCCCAUGCCCAUGGUAUCUUCAGAGCGUAAUGGUGUACGCGAAGGACCUGUCUUGAUGUUUUACAGGGGCUGGGGUUGGGGCCGCACUGCUACGCAUGCUCGACACGUGCCAGGUGGUCUUGUUGUAAGUUACUCCGGGCGCGCUUAGCUGUGUACGGCCGCUUAAUGGCCGAACUCGAGAAUUGCCUUAAGAGGCUGCAUUGUACUUCUGCCGCGAGAGCCGUUGUAUGUUCCUCCGUGCGGAGAGAACGUUCAGUGUUUCCGUUGACCGUGAUGACUUCUCGAGGGCCUGGCAUCUUGAGCUUGAGGUAUGCGUAGUGCGGCACCGCGUUGAACUUUGCGAAUGCGGUACGUUCGAGCAGAGCAUGAUAGCCGCUGCGGAACGGAACUAUGUCGAAGAUUAAUUCCUCGCUCCGAAAGUUAUCCGGGGAUCCGAAGACCACUUCUAGUGUAACUGAGCCUGUGUAAUUGGCUUCUACACCUGGUAUGACGCCUUUAAAGGUCAUCUUGGUAGGUUUAAUCCUUGAGGGGUCUAUGCCCAUUUUGCACACUGUGUCCUGAUAAAGCAGGUUCAGGCUGCUGCCGCCGUCCAUCAGGACUCUGGUGAGGUGAAAUUCAUCGACGAUUGGGUCUAGAACCAAUGCGGCGAAUCCGCCAUGGCGGAUGCUGGUGGGGUGGUCCCUCCGGUCAAAAGUGAUCGGGCAGGAGGACCAUGGAUUGAACUUCGGGGCAACUGGCUCCAUCGCAUAUACAUCCCUGAGUGCACGCUUCCGCUCCCUUUUGGGUAUGUGCGUUGUGUAUAUCAUGUUCAUCGUCCGCACCUGUGGGGGGAAACCCUUCUGUCCUCUAUUGUUCGGCGGCCGGGUCUCUUCCUCGUCAUCGUUGUGCAGCCCCUUGUCAUUGUUUUCGGCAAUUAACUUGCCUGCCUAUUUGAAUACCCAACAGUCCCUGUUGGUGUGGUUGGCUGGCUUUUCCGAGGUGCCAUGUAUUUGGCACAAGCGGUCGAGUAUUCGGUCCAAAUUGGACGGACCCGGAGUAGUUCUUUUAAAUGGCUUUUUCCGCUGACCGGGUUUAGAGCCUCUGAAUCCGGCAUUGACUGUUGUAUCUUCACUGUUAUCGCCGUUAAUGCGGCGUUUGUUUUUGUUGCGAUGCGACCUGCCACUACGGUCCUUGAAAUCCGGACUGCCAGAAUUUUUGCUGAGGUUAUUGCUGCGUGCUAGCCAGCUGUCCUCACCCGUGCAGAAGCGGGUCAUGAGUGAUGUGAGGGCUGCCAUUGAUUUCGACUUUUCCUGUCCUAGGUGCCGGGCCAGCCACUCGUCGCGGAUGUUGUGCUUGAAGGCUGCUAGGGCCUUUGCAUCCGGACAGUCGACGAUUUGGUUUUUCUUUGUUAGGAACCGUGUCCAGAAUUGUCUGGCCGAUUCGUCUGGCUGCUGAAUUAUGUGGCUUAGAUCGUCGGCGUCUGGUGGUCGCACGUACGUGCCUGGAAGUUAUCGAGGAAUGCGGCUUCCAGGUCUUCCCAACUCCCGAUUGACUCUGCUGGCAAGCUGUUAAGCCAAUGUCGGGCUGGUCCUUUAAAUUCGAGUGGGAGAUAUUUGAUGGCGUGAAGAUCAUCACCGCGGGCCAUGUGGAUAUGGAGGAGAUAGUCUUCGAUCCAAACCGCGGGGUCUGUUGUGCCAUCGUAGGAUUCAAUGUUCACGGGUUUAAACCCUUCAGGGAUUUGAUGAUCCAUUACUUCGUCUAUGAAGCAUAGUGGGUGUGUGGCGCCUCUGUACUGGGCGAUAUCGCGACGAAGCUCAAAAGAGCUUUGUCUAUUUUGUUCGGCCCGGCCGGACUUACUGUGUCCGGCACGACGGUUGUCGCCACGUAUCAUGGGGCGCCCACGCGAUCCAUAGAUCGAUCUUGAUUGUCUUGCCUUACCCUCCAAUAUAUCUCGCAAGUCCGGAGCGUUCCCCUGUGGCUUUGUGCUCUUCGAGCGAUGCCGGGGUACGGUUCUAGUGAAGGGCCUAGAAGCCUCUCUGUCACGACCACGGGGUGGUCGGUCAGCCGUAUUGUCUGCUAGUGAUGUAGGUUCGUAUGCCUCCUCCUCUAAUCGGGGGAGCAGCUUGCGUUUAGGGUAACUUUUGGAGGGGCGUUCGAGCUCAUGCUCUUCGGCCGCGAGGACUUCAGUCCAUCUGUCGGCUAGCAGAUCUUGAUCAACUCUAAGCUGUUGGUGCUUUUUAUUUAGGCUGUUUGCCAUGGCCAUAAGCCUGCAUUUAAAACGCUCUUGUUCGACGGGAUCCUCAGGCACGACGAAUUCGUCGUCGUCGAGGCUUGCCUCGUCUCCGGAGGGAGGCAUGUAGUCCUCUACCUCUUCUUCUGCCGCUCUCUCAUGAGGGCUGGCGUCCCCAUCCUCCCGUGCUGAAUUUUGCUAGAGUGGGUUGUCUUCGGCACUAUCUGGGGUGUUAUUAUCUCUGGUGCCGGAAUCUUCAUUCUUGCUAUGGCAGGAUUAGAGCGGCGCCGCUGACGCCGACGCUUGGGCUGUUUCUUGGAGGGGUCAUCCUCCGCUGCCCCUUCGCCAUUCCCAUCCUUUGGGAUAUCCACCAUGUAUAUAUCAUAUGAUGAGGUGGCUUUCCAGUGCCCGAUAGGCGCUGGUUCUUGGUCAUCUCCGGCAUCGUCGUCCAUACCGUCGAUGUCUUCGGAGUCGUAGUCUAGCAUGUCGGUUAGGUCAUCAACAGUGGCUACCAAGUGGGUGGUGGGUGGGUUUUGAAUUUCUUCAUCGUCCGCAUCCCAACCGUCCUGGCCGCAGUCCGGCCAGGGCUCUCCUGAUAAUGAGAGAUACUUUAGCAAACUCAGGAUGUCGCCAAAAGGUGAGUGUUGAAAGAUGUCCGAGGCAGUAAACUCCAUGAUCGGCGCCCAACCGGAUUCGAUUGGUGGGGGCGCGGGAGGUUCGUAGUCCGGCAAGGAGUCCGGCGCCUUGGAGUCACGAGCUUCAUGAGGGACAAGGUCAGUGUUCGGCUCUAUCACCAUAGAGGUUGCAGCCCCCGAGGCGGCGUCUAACCAUCCAUCCUCGAUCUGCGCAGCCGGCUCUGAAUUGAAGAUCGGAGCAGGCUCAAGUGCGGCCUCCAGGGUACUGUCCGGUCGCAGAGCUAAAUCAUGCUCGUCGUGACAGUGCGGCACGCUCGGCUGUGGCUCGAAUCCAUCGAGGAUCAAGUCCCCACGGAUGUCAGCCGUGAAGUUCAAACUUCCAAAUCUGACCUGACGGCCAGGGGCGUAACUUUCGAUCUGCUCUAGAUGGCCAAGAGAAUUGUCCCGCAGUGCAAAGCCGCCGAAUACGAAGAUCUGUCUGGGGAGGAAGGUCUCACCCUGGACUGCGUCGUUGAUGAUGAUCGGAGAAGCCAUUGAGCCUAUCGGCGACUGCACAGAGGAACUCUCAAUGAAAGCACCAAUGUCGGUGUCAAAACCGGCGGAUCUCGGGUAGGGGGUCCCGAACUGUGUGUCUAGGCGGAUGGUAACAGGAGACGAGGGACACGAUGUUUUACCAAAGUUUGGGCCCUCUUGAUGGAGGUAAAACCCUACGUCCUGCUUGAUUAAUAUUGAUGAUGUGUGCUACAAGAGUAGAUCUACCACGAGAUCAAGGAGGCUAAACCCUAGAAGCUAGCCUAUGGUAUGAUUGUUGUUCGUCCUACGGACUAAAGCCAUCUGGUUUAUAUAGAUACCGGAGAAGGCUAGGGUUACACAGUGUCAGUUACAAUGGUAGGAGAUCUACAUAUCCGUAUCGCCAAGCUUGCCUUCCACGCUAAGGAAAGUCCCAUCCGGACACGGGACGAAGUCUUCAAUCUUGUAUCUUCAUAGUCUUGGAGUCCGGGCGAUGAUGAUAGUUCGGCUAUCCGGACACCCCCUAGUCCAGGACUCCCUCAACCACCUUGGUGAAAGAAUAUAAAGUUUAAUUUUACACAAAGCUAAUAUUUGAAGUAAAUAAAGAUGAAAUUGGGUGGGGGAGGGGGUGGGUUGACGACAAACCACGACAUUCUAGAGUGUCCUUUAAUUAAUGUUAUCUCGUUAAGUAAUACUUUGCCCCUAAGAUUCGUAGGAUUCCGAAGGCGUGGAUAUGAAAAAGUAGAUACAAGUACAAUGUGAUAUCCAACUGAAUCAUAAAAUAUUUGUGAAUUUUGAACCAAAGUUUGUUUGAUUGUACUCCCUUCGUUUCAUAUCAGUUGUCAAGUGGUUUGAGUCAAUGCAAAUUUCUUAUAUAAUGCAAGCACAAUGCAAAUAACUACCAUCGCAAACAAUUAUAUGAAAAUCCACUGAAUGAAAGAGGCCCAUCAACUUAGAAAUUCCUUGCAAUAUGUACUCAUAUAAGGCCUUCCUCCUAUGCCCUUGCCCAGGCAGGGGGCUGGAGCAGCAGCGGCCCCGUCCGCCCCGCGAUCCUUGGCUUCUCAAGCCGAGUCGGUCAUGCCGUGUCCAACAUGGAUGGUUCAAAGAGGAGUUCUGGGGGACCACGCACAGGAGGGCUAGGGCUUCCUGGCCCAUGCCGCAAGAUACAGUAGACUUCUGUGUACUUCAAGACGUCAGGGGCAUCGGUGGAACAUCAUCGGAAACCACGAAAGCCGCCAGAUCGAGCCAACCUCCCUACCGUGAAGCCUUUGUCCGAGCGCCCGCCCGACGAGAGGGCAUCGCCUGUUCUCGAAGGAAAAGUGCCGCCAGCGCUUGAGGAGAACCUGGUGGUUGGUGGGGGCGAUUAUGGGGCUCCCUCCGAGGAUGCUACCCGCCUGAAGCCUUCCAUCGGGGGAGCCGAAGAUGUUGUGGCGACGAACCCGUGGGUGCAGACGCUCUUCAUAUGCAAAGCCGGUACACCAAACAAGUGUCAGACUAUGGAGUCUCUGGAGGGGCAGCAGACUCGUGUGGAAGGAGAUAUGCAUGACCAGGACAUGCUGGAGAGAACAAACACCAUGGAGGCAGUCGGCCCAGGGGCCGCUGAUGAACUGACGGGGCUCGUGGAGCCUCGUCAAGAGCAAUGAACAUCCUGAGCUGGAACUGCUGAGGAGGUGGGAACCCUCAGACAGUUUGGGAUCUCGUGAGUCUAGUACAGGCUCACUCCCCUAGUAUCGUUUUUCUUUGUGAAACUAGGUAGUCGAAAAAUGAAAUGAAGAGAUAUCGUGCUCGUUUAGGUCUUAGUGGUUUUGAUGCUUCUGAUAGCAUAGGCUUCAGUGGUGGUCUUGCUUUGUAUUGGCACGAGUCAUUGAGUCUGGAUGUAAAAACUAUUAAUGAAAGAUACAUCGAUGCGUACGUGACUGGUAUGGCAGGUGAGCCACCCUGGAGGCUUACUUGCGUCUACGGCGAACCCCGGACGGAGGACCGUCCUCGCAUGUGGUCUUCCCUUCGGGAACUUCAUCAACAAACCAACAUGUCGUGGACGAUGAUUGGUGAUUUUAACGAAGCCAUGUGGAGUUUUGAGCACUUCUCCGAAACACCACGGUCGGCAGGUCAGAUGAUUGCUUUCAUGAUGUUCUUGAAGUUUGCGGCUUGGGCGACCUUGGUUUUGCAGGCCUUCCAUAUACAUAUGAUAAUCGCCGAGGAGGGCGGGCGAACGUCAAGGUCCGCAUCGACAGGGAUGUGGCAAACAAUUCCUGGAGGGAUAUUUUCUCUCACGCCAAGGUGGAGCACCUUGUGGCGCCCAGCUCGGACCAUCUUCCCAUUUUGCUGCAGUGUGUGAUGGAGGAGCCCGUGCACACAGUCGGGAGAAAAUGUCGCCAAUAUGAGGUUAUGUGGGAGAUGGAUCAUACUCUCCCUGAGGUAAUUAUGAAUGCAUGGACUGAGUUGGGUUCAAUGCUUAAUCUCGGUGAUAUAGCUACUGGUUUGGGUAAUAUGAUGAAUAAGUUGCAGCAGUGGAGUCGUAAGAAGUUUGGUAAUGUAAUCAAGGAAAUUAAUAAAUCUCGCUCUCGUUUAGAGGAACUUAUGUCUAUGAAUGCAGACAGGAAGGAGAUUAGAGCGGCAAUAGACCGGAUGAACGAGCUCCUGUACAGGGAAGAAAUGCUUUGGAUGCAAAGAUCGUGUAUUGCUUGGCUGCGGGAAGGUGACCGGAAUACCCAGUUCUUUCAUCGAAAAGCGGUAUGGCGUGCACGGAAAAAUCGUAUAGAACUUCUUGUCGAUGAGGCAGGAGUGACCCACAAGGACCAUGCUUCUAUGGCGGCUAUGGCUACUGCAUAUUUUUCGAGUUUAUUUGCUGCUGAUACUACCCUGGCUCCAGAACCUGUUAUCGAUCUCAUUAAUACCCGUGUUACUGACCGCAUGAAUGAUGGCCUAUGCGCAGAUUUUUCAGACAAGGAGAUAGCCGAUGCACUGUUCCAGAUUGGGCCUCUGAAAGCCCAGGGACCGGAUGGAUUCCCCGCUUGUUUCUUCCAGCGGAAUUGGGCGGUCAUGAGGGAACAAGUUAUUGCUGGGGUAAAGGAAUUUUUUCGCACAGGUAUCAUGCCCGCGGGAGUGAACAACACAUCCAUUGUUCUUAUACCAAAGGUGGAUAACCCGGAGAGGUUAACAGAGUUCCGCCCCAUCAGCCUGUGCAACGUUAUUUAUAAGGUGGUGGCAAAAUGUCUGGUAAACCGGUUGAGGCCUAUUUUAGAUGACAUUAUUUCACCGGAGCAGAGCGCCUUUGUUCCUGGAUGGAUGAUUACUGAUAAUGCUUUAAUUUCUUUUGAGUGCAUUCACUUUAUUCAGCAGGAGAAAGACCCUGACAAGAGUUUCUGUGCGUAUAAGCUGGAUCUGUCUAAGGCAUAUGAUAGGGUGGAUUGGAUCUUCUUGGAGCGAAUGAUGCAAAAGAUGGGCUUCGCUUGCCAAUGGGUGGACUGGAUUAUGGCUUGCGUCACCUCGGUGAGAUACACAGUAAAAUUUAAUGGAACCCUCUUGGAUUCGUUCGCACCGUCACGUGGGCUUCGACAAGGUGAUCCCCUAUCCCCGUUUAUGUUUCUGUUGGUGGCUGGCGGGCUUUCUGCUUUGUUGAAAGAUGGAGAGGAGAAAGGUGCUUACACACCGCUGGAAAUCUGCCGAAGAGCUCCGGGUGUGUCACACUUGCUUUUUGCGGAUGAUACUUUGUUGUUCUUUAAAGCAGAGGAGGAACAAGCAAAAAAGGUUCAGGAAGUACUUAAUAUGUAUGAACGGGUUACUGGACAGUGUAGUAACCCAGAUAAGUGCAGUGCUCUCUUUGGUCCAUCAUGUGCCGUGGACAUACAGGAUAGUAUACGGGUUGUCCUUCACAUUGGUGUGAGCACCUUUGAGGAAAAAUACCUAGGACUUUCGACGCCAGAGGGUCGUAUAUCACGAGGUAAACUUCAGAAUUUGCAGUCACGGCUGAUGAAGAGGACCAUUGCUUGGGGUGACACUCUUUCUCUUGCUGCCAAGGAGAUUAUGAUUAAAGCAGUCGCACGGGCUAUCCCAACUUAUAUUAUGGGUGUUUUUAAACUGCCUAUGUCAGUGUGUGAUGAUCUGAACAGAACGGUGCGAAAUUUUUGGUGGGGAUCUUCAGAGGGCAAGAGGAAAACUCACUGGUUGGCAUGGCCAAAAAUUCUGGCGCACAAAUCCCAGGGCGGAUUGGGUUUCAAGACUUCCGGGUGUUCAACCAAGCUCUUCUCACGAGACAGGCAUGGUGCUUGCUAGCUAAGCCUGAUAGUUUAUGUGCGCAGGUGUUAAAGGCUCGGUAUUAUCCUGAUGGACGCCUUGAGGAUACAGUAUUUGCCGGAAAUGCUUCGCCUACUUGGCAGGCCAUCCAGCAUGGCCUCGAGCUCCUGAAGAAGGGCAUCAUCUGGCGUGUCGGGAAUGGACAGAGCAUCCGCAUCUGGCGGGACCGCUGGGUACCCCGGGAGCCUUCACGCCAUCCCAUUACACAGCAAGGCACCUGUCGGCUGAGAUGAGUGGCGGAUCUUCUGGAUGAUGCCGGCGCUUGGCAGAUGGACUUGCUACGCCGACACUUCCUCCCGGCGGACAUUGACGCGGUCACCAGUAUCCGCACCUCGCCCCACAUCACCGACGACAUUAUCGCAUGGGCGCCGGAGAAGAACGGUAUAUUCAUCGUUUGAUCCGCCUAUCACUUCGCCAUGGACGAGCGGGAACGUCCACUGGCUACCUCCACGAGCAGGGCACCAGAUGGUCGUCGCGCCAUCUGGAAGAUCAUAUGGGGGUGCCCUGCCCCCCCUAAGGUACGCGUGUUUGCAUGGAGAGUAGUGACCAACUCGUUGGCUACCUGGGCCAACAAAUUUUCUCGUCAUCUUGAGCUUACUGACAUAUGUCCUCUUUGUGGUGUGGAACGAGAGGACGGCUUCCAUGCAUUAUGCAGAUGCCCACUUGCUAGAGAGCUGUGGCGGAAUAUGGAGACGGACUGGCCAAUCCCAAAGCUCGAGGGAAUUUGCAAUAACGACCCAGAGUGGCUGUUUUCCCUCCUGGAACCACUAGACGGAACGGCACGCCUGGUCACCCUCAUGAUUAUGUGGCGAACCUGGUACGUGCGCAAUGAGAUUACUCAUGGAAAGAAGCCACCCCCAACAGAAGCAUCCCGCCGCUUCCCCAACGGGCACAUUAAUUCGCUUCUAUGCAUUCAUCACUACCCAAAUGGAGACGUGGAGAAAGGAAAGAUGAUCCUGCAUGUUACCCCACCGGCCACAACUUUAUGUACUGAGCAGAAGCAGGAGCUACGUUGGGCGCCGCCCGGCCCGAGCUGGACGAAGUUAAACACUGAUGGCAGUUAUGUCCCAGCUACAGGCGUUGCAGGAGGGGGCAUGGUCCUCCGCGAUGACAGAGGAGAGAUCAUCUUCAGUGCGUGUAGGGAGAUACGCACAUGUGAUAACAGCCUGCAUGCGGAACUUGCAGCAUGCAGAGAGGGCUUGGAAUUGGCUUUGCAUCGGACCAACCUACCCAUCGUGGUGGAGCUGGAUAGUGUGGAAGCGGUCACGAGGCUUACAACACAUGUGAUGGACCGCUCACAGCACCGUGUUCUAGUUGACGAGAUUCGGAGGAUAGUUACAUAAGAGGAUAGAGAGAUUUUUUUUACUCACUGUAGACGAUCUCGGAAUAAAGUUAGUCAUGAGUUGGCCGCGUACGGCCGUAGUACCCCCCGCACUGCUGUGUGGUUGCGAUCAGGGUUGGAAUUUGUUGUAAACCUAUCCAAGGCUGAUAAGCCUCCUUGAGUAAUGAAAAUCUCCUUUCACCCUGCAAAAAAAUGUACUCAUAUAAGGCUAGCUUUUUUUCCUGUUAAAAAAGAUAAAUAAUGGAGAAAUAUUUGGGAAGAUAACACUUGGCACUCGGUUGGUGGAACACGUCACAAUAUUAUUUCGAAUUGAUCUGUAACCAGAAUCUCAAUGCAAAAUACCCCAAGCAUACAACCGAGACCACGCAUGCACCCCAUCGCAUGGCCUCCACACGCCUUGUCGAUAUCCAUGGUGGCAUCUGCGCCGGCCGGGUGUCACGGAUCCCCCUUCACUCCCUCAGCGUGUGAACGUGGACGCUCCAACCCAACCGUGCCCCGUGUUCAGGAUAAGCUGGCCGGCUCGUCCGCCCUUCUUAUUGCCGCUGCUUCUCAUCUCACACGCUCCAACACUAUCCUCUCCUCCACCGAGUAUCCGCCUACGGAGUAGUACCUCGCAAGCUAGCUCGCAGCUCCGCCGCAAUGGCCACCGUAUUGAGCAGCCUCCGCUUGCCCUUCUCCGUCUGCCCCGCCGCCCCUUCGGCGCCCAUGGCGGCAUCCCGCGUCGCGCUCCCGCUGUCGUCGACGGCCGCCAGGGGCAUGAGGCUCCGCGCGCAGGCGACGUACAAGGUGAAACUGAUCACGCCGGAGGGCGAGGUGGACCUCGAGGUCCCCGACGACGUCUACAUCCUCGACCACGCCGAGGAGGAAGGGAUCGACCUGCCCUACUCCUGCCGCGCCGGCUCCUGCUCCUCCUGCGCCGGGAAGGUGGUCUCCGGCCAGCUGGACCAGUCCGACCAGAGCUUCCUCGACGACGACCAGAUCGAGGCGGGGUGGGUGCUCACCUGCGCCGCGUACCCCACCUCGGACCUCGUCAUCGAGACCCACAAGGAGGAGGAGCUCACCGCUUGAAUUCACUGAUUUGUUUAGUUCGACCCGUUUCCACCGUGCGCGUGUACCAUGCACGACAUUCGAACUGUAUCAGGAUAUUGAGGAGUUGCAAAGUACAGUACGUAAUUAGUACUUGCUGUUGUGGUCGGAUUUUGAUUGCUUUUGCUUAUUAAUGCCUAGUGUUAAUUUUCUCAAGUCAAUCAAGUAAUAAAAGGAGAUGAGAUUGUACUCCAUGUCUCCGUUACGCGUGCCUCGCGAUUCACUUAUGAUUUAGAUCCUUUUUAGUUUGCAUAUAAGUU
rnacentral:lncRNA from 1 species